rnacentral:lncRNA from 1 species
AGACAAUAACACAUGAAAUACUAGAAAUAAUAGGAAAUAUGGGUAACAAUAUUGCACACAUAGUUGAUAGACCACGUGUCAAGCACCCAUUUAUUUCAAAGCACUUAUUAUUAAGUCCUAGACUCCUCCUCUCAAGCAUGGCUAUCAGGUACGUGGGAAGUUUGUCAAAUGCAUGGGUUCUUGCUCGUCUUUGGGAGACAUAUCAGCAUGCUUGGAAAGAGAUACACGCAAGACAAUCAACACAAGAUUUGUUUUAUUUCUAGGAUGCAUGGGCAUGCACUCUACUUAUAGAACUCCAUAACCCAGAGACUACCAAUAGCAAGUUCACAACUGAUCCCACCAAAACCAGCGCCAGUAGCCAGGGUCAUGAAUUCAUGCCUUGUUCUCUCCUUUCCACCGGGACUUUGAAUCAUCAUAAGCACGUCCAAAUGGGAAUUUGAUUUUGAUUCAAUGCUUGUAUUAGGAACUUCUGGAAGCAUUGACUCCACAACGAUUACCUUUCCAUCUUCUGGGAUGCUUUUGUAGCAAUUCUUCAACAACUUCAAGCAAUGUUCAUCAUUCCAAUCGUGCAGUACCGACUAUUUAAAAAUUCUCAUAUUAAUCAAACUAUUGUUUGUAAAAAUUUAAUUUAAGGAACUCCUCAUAAUAUGUCCGCAAAUUAAAUUAAAAACUUACCUUCAUAAAAAUGGCAUCACCUUUUGGAACACUUUGGAACAUAUCACCCCCUACAUGCUCAAUACCUGUAAAAUAUUAUACAAUUAAGAAAUCAGACAAUUAGAAUUAUGCCACUCUAUUUUCAUUAGCAAGAUGUAUUACGUCAAGAACUGUUUGCUCAAACUUAAUUAUGCCAAUGUUAUGGAAGUUCCUGAUAUACAGGCACACACAACAGAUGUUCUCAUUUUUUAAAAUAUAAAUUUGGGGUUUUACAAGAAUUUCACAAUAGUAAACCACUGAAGAAUUAUACACACGCAUAUAUGAGAGCAGGUUCAAGGGAUUUUUUUUAAUACAAUUUUACAUAUAAAUUUCUAACAAUUAGGUUAAAGUUUAUCACAUGGUUAAUAUUAAAACUGCAUGCAGUUUUAUAAUUCUAAAAAUUAAUUAACUACACGCCAGUCCCUACAUCAAACAAUAAACGUGAAACACAACGCUCUUUCCUCUCUCUUAUCAUCUUAAUUUAUUUAAACUAAGUAAUUUCAUUCAAAGAUUGAAAUUACACUUCAUUUCGGAGGAAGAUCUUCCAAUCAAAUUACAGGCAACUUAAAAUUAAAAGCUGCCUUAGCUAACACGAGUAUGCGUGUUGCAGACUCUUCGGAUGAACUGAAUUCUAAAUCAGCAUUGUCCUUAAUUUCCUCUUGAAUGUCCAACAACACUUAAAAGACUUCCUUUGCUUGACAUCAUGUUUAGGACAUUCAUAUAUUUCUCUUUUUAACUUAUGUGCUCAUCUCCUUCAAUCCGCCCUCUACUCAUUAUAAAACAUUUUUUUUUAUUCUGAUGGCUGUUGGAUGGAUGUUACUACUACAAAUUAAAAUAUAGUACUUCCCUAGUUCUCUGUAAGUUUACUUUAGUUAUCCAGUAAAUCGAAACGUGAUUAGAUGACUAUGCUUUGUUAAUCUUUAAAAAAAUAUAUGUAGAAACGAUUGCCAACAUUUUUUUUCCAAUAUUUACAUUUGGUUUAAUAAACAAAUUUAUGUAGAUAACAUCUUUUUUUAUGGCUACAUGGAUGUGUACCUUAGUUCACUGGUAAUUUAGAGGGAGAAAUAAAGGGUAAUACAAAGGUGAGAGAAAAAUAUUUUACUUAUACGAUUAAAUUUAAUAAUAUGGCACCUAAGCGAAUUAAUUAGUUUUUUAAAAUAACAAAAUUACACGUGAGCUUUAAUAUUAAUCCUUGGAUGAACUCUAUUAGAAAGAAAUUUGUUUCUAAAAGUAUCUUUUUUAAACUUGCCCCCAAAAUAAGGAAUCUUCUAAAAAAAGGAAAAAAGAAAACAAACAUUCCAACUAUUAUCCUUAGUUUAUCCUUUAUUUUAAUAAAGUAAGGAAGCCUUAUAUAUAUAUAUAUAUAUAGUAAUGAUCUAAUCCAAAAUUUUGGGUUUUGUUAAAAACCAAAAAAAAUCAUAAUUUCAAAUGGUUCAAUAGUCCAUUAUACUAUUAAAUCAUAUGACUUACUAGAUUUUUCGGACUUUAACAAAAUUUGUGUAGUGAGAGAGAGAGAGAGUCCUUCUCUAGUAAUGAAAUCUUCACUUUUUUAAAAUGAGAAUGUUACUAAAAUAUAAAAAAAAAACACAUAUUUCAAUACAUUAGAAAUUGUGUUUUUUUUUUAAUUUAUUAGUAGCACUCUCAAUUUAACAAAGUAAAACACACACACACACACACACACACACACAUAUAUAUAGUCCUUCUCUAAGGUGGGUGCCCUUAUUUUUUUUUAUAAAUGAGGACACACUAUUAAACCGUACGAUUUAACGGUGUUCUUCAUUAAUUCUAUUAAAUCGCACGGUACAACAAAGUGUUUGCAUUAAAAAAAAAAUGAGGGUGCCCACCCUAGCGAAUGACUAUAUAUAUAUUUAUGAGAGUUGUUGCACUUUAAUAAAGUGCAAGAAAAUUGUUACCGCAUAUGGUAUAAUAGUGUAAUGUCUCGACAAGUACUCGUAUAUAUAACAUGAGAUUAAUAAUCAUACGUGGAUGUGGUGGGGCAUGGUCAAUAACAUGAGGCUGGUCGAAAUUGAUGCCCUUAAUAUAGGGGUACUUGGUAGUGAUGGCUUGAAGAGUAAUGCCGAGACUACCACCAACAUCGACCAGUUGCUUGAUGUUGUCGAAACCCUUGUAAGAUUCAAGAAUGUUGCUCAUAACCAGAGAGGUAUAGUUAUACAUUGCUGUGUUAAAAUGUUUAUUGAACUUAGGGUCCAAUCCUGCGUACUCAAAUACAUGCACUCCAUGGGCUCGAUUAAAUGGAAUUCCUCCUUCAAGAAUAGCAUCUUUGAGUUGGGACCUAAAUAAAUUCCGAAAAACCAAUUUAUCAUGCAUCGUCUAUAUAUAUGCUCCAUGCAUGCAUGCAUGGUCUAGCUGAUCAUUUACUGAGAAAAAGGGAGAAAUAGAAAUUAAUUAAUUACCAGCUCUUCAGAAAGACCUUGUCCUGAACUAUUUGUAUUAGGGGUCCUAGUAAGACGCCAUCUUUGUUAGGCACAUAGUAUUUGGAGACAGAAUUCAAACUAUAUAGUCUCCGGGCACCAGAAGCAUCAAGUGAGCAUUCAACAACGCUGUAGCUAGCCAGAAGCCUGAGAAUCCGAUCCAGCAUCAUGGGUGCGUCUUUGUUCUUGGUGAGCAAUUGGGCUGCAAUAUCUGAAGCACAGAGCUUUGCACCAGGACCAACUUUGUCUAGGAUCUCGAAAAUGCCUAGCUCAUACACCGUUUGAAUGGCCAUGGGUAGCAUUGUACCCAUCGCCAAUUGAUUAGCAUAUGCAAAGCUUUGGUCUCUUUCUCCAUCAACUAUAGAAUCCAUUUUAAGUUUCUUGAAUUUCUCCUACGCUUUGCGGGGUUUCUUGUUUGGCCAAGGGGUUAUAUAUAGACUUGUCAUUCAAAACUAUCAAGAGUUUGCCAAUAUAGACUUGGUCAUUCAAAACUAUCAAAAGAGAGAUGGGAUUGACUAAUGAAUUAAAAUUAGAACUUUGCCAAUAUUUGAAAUUUUCUUUGAGCUAUAUAAUUUAUGCAAUCUUUGAGGCUAUUUUUAUGUUUUAUUUAAAGUUUGUUGUUCUUUUUAUUUAUUUAUUUUUUAAAAAAAAUGAUGUUUGUGGGUAUCGUCACUAAAGCCAUCACGAGACUAUAACUCGUCCACUAGGGCCGUCUAGGGGUUUAAAGGCUUGUUGCAUACACUAAAUGCAUUCGCGAUUACCUGCGAAAGUAGUUUAGUUAGGAUUUACUUUUUGUUUCAUUGUUUUUAUUUUUGUUUUAAGUUUUAGUUUUGCUCGAGGACUAGCAAAAUCUAAGUUUGGGGGUAUUUAAUGAGCAUAAUUUAUAUACAUAUUUUACCCUUUCUUAUAUAUUUGCUAGUUAUUUUAUUUCUUAUUUUUAAUUAAUUGAAUUAUUUUAUUGAAUAGGGAAUUAAUUUGAGAUUAUGGAUAAAAAGGAUAUAAAAGAGCUCAAUUUUGGAAGCAUUAAAGAGGUUUUGAUUUGUUUUCUAAAUUGACAUGCUUCAGAAAUUCUAUCCUUUUGAAAACAAAUUUUUGGAAGACCUUUAACUAAAUCAUUUUUCAAAAUUUUUGAAAUUAAAUCCAUGCUUGCAUGUCCUAGUCUUCUAUGCCACAACCAACCAUCAUCAUGCAAUGCCGAAAAACAUUUAUCAUGAGUAGAUGCACACUCUAUAUUAAUCGUGUAAACAUUGCCACAUCUAUUUCCCAUAAACAAAAUAUUCCCAUCACAUGCAUUCUCAAUAACACAACUUGAUUUAUCAAAGGCAACUUUAUAACCUUUGUAGUUUUCUAAUUUUUAAAGCAUAAGAGGGGUUUUAGCCCUCUGAACCAUUUUUUUUUUAAGUGUGCCCUGAGCACCUUCUGAAUGAGUUAAAUGAAAAAAAUUUAGAAAUAUUUUUUAAAUAAUAAAACACUUGUAGCCCAAUGGUACACGUGUUACUUAGUGGUUUUAGAGACUUGAUUUGAAUCCCAAUAAUUUUUUUGAAUGUGUGCAUGGUCCUCAAUAUUUUUCACGUUCAAUAUAAAAUUAAUUGAAGAAAAAAUGUUGGCCUAGUUAGAGGUAGGUUAUAGGUAGGUAGGGUUUAAAAAAAAAAGUAAAACUUUAUUUGCGGGACGCAAUUAAAAAACAUGGGUCCGAAACAUUUAUUGAAAACUAAUUUAAGAGAAAAUGUUGGCUUAGUUAGAAGUAGGUAACAAAUAGGUACGAUUUCAAGAAACAAGUAAUACUUUAUUUGCAAGAUCCGAUUAAAAACAUGGAUUUGAAAUACUAAAAAGAGUAUUUUUUGUAUAAAAAUUUGAGGAGUGUUAGCGACAAUCGCCUAUCGUGACUAGUGUCUUGGUCCUUAAUUUUUUUUUUUCACGUUCAAUAUAAAAACUAAUCGAAAAGAAAAUGUUGACCUAGUUAGACAUAGGUAACAAGUAAGGUUCUAAAAAAAGAGUAAUACUUUAUUUGCAGGGCCCGAUUAGAAACACAUGUCGAAACAUUAAUUAAAAACUUAUUUUUAUAUAAAAUUUUAAGGAGUGCUAGCAACAGUUGUCCUUACAGAUGAUUGAGACAGUCAUUACCAAUCCCUCUCAAAUUUAAGUGUUUGGUCCAGCCACCGAAGAGAACCCAUGUGUGAUUAUGUACUAUAGGUGCAUUUGGUACAUUGUUAUUAUAUUAUAUGUUUUGCAUUAUUUUAAUACAAGCAUAUUGUAUUAUAUUGUAUUGCAUUAACACUUUAUUUUAUUAAUAUUGUGCAGCAUUUAGUGCUAUAUUGUACUAUAUUAAUUUUUAAUUAUACUAUGUUUGGUAUUGCAUUGCAUUGUACUAUAUUUUUUUGGUUAUCAUAAAAAUUAUAUUUUUAGAAAAUAAAUAUUUACUUUUUGAUAAAUUUGUCAAAAAUUCUUUUUGUCAAAAAUAUUUUAAUAAACUUUUCAAUGAUAUAUCUUUUGAAGUAAAAAUCCAAGUGAAUAAAAUAGAUAACUUAAAAAAUAUCCUAACAUAAAUAAAUAAUUAAAACAUAUAGGCUUUGUUUAAAAAAAAGACAUAAUAGAGAUAAUUAGUACAAAAGUUUGCACAUACUAUAACAUAGUCACAAAUAAAAGGAGUUGCAUUUUUAAAACGGGUUGCUUUGUCUCAUACAUCAAAUCAAGAUAAAUAAUUGUGCAUGGAUAGAGACAAACACAACUUUCACUCAAUCCUUCGAUAAGAUGUAUUCUUUCCCAACUAUCCAAAUGUUAGUUAAUUUGUGACCACUACUCAUCCUCGCAAUCAAGAAUUUAUUCUAUUACAUGUCUAAGAAAAAAUGUUAUUAAAUGGACAGCAAAAGAACCACAACUACAUCAUUUCGAAGCAAUGUACAUAACAAAUGGACUUAUGUACCAAGCUUGGCCGACCAUGCAUGUAUGUUAUGCAAAAUAUUGCACAAUAUGCAAAAAUGUGGUUGCAUGUGUGGAAAUUUAACCACAUAGGUAUAAUAAGUGCAAUUUUACUAAGUUGGACGAACAUGCCCCAUAAGCUAUCUAGAUGUAAGGGGAUGCUGAGAUGGGCGAUAGGAGAAUGCAAAAUGGAAGCUGAUGCCAAGUAGUUGUCGAUGUAGAGUUUAUGUCAACUUAGGAGUGCUUACAAGUUCCAAAGAUGAACCAACAUAAUUUUAGUUCUAAACAUGCACUGAUGUUGAAAGAAACAUGUGAGAUGAAAAGCUGAUGCCAAGUAGUUGUCGUGUAGAGUUUAUGUCAACUUAGGAGUGCUUACAAGUUCCAAAGAUGAACCAACAUAAUUUUAGUUCUAAACAUGCACUGAUGUUGAAAGAAACAUGUGAGAUGAAAAGCUGAUGCCAAGUAGUUGUCGAUGUAAAGUUUAUGUCAACUUAGGAGUGCUUACAAGUUCCAAAGAUGAACCAACAUAAUUUUAGUUCUAAACAUGCACUGAUGUUGAAAGAAACAUGUGAGAUGAAGUGCCUCGAGAUGCUGUAAAUGCAGUGGGAUCUCAAUCAAAUGCAUGAUUUUUUGGGAAAAAAGCUUCUUACAAUAAGAUCACUGAAAAACAUCGAUCAUAAUAUUAUCACCAUCAUUAUUUUCCCCAUUUGUGGAAUGUGAGAGUUGAUUGUGAGAAUUUUUUUAUCUUUGUAUCAUGUGACUGAGAUGCUGGAACAACUUUAACCAUCUUUCAAAUACAACUCAAAGAUCAGAAAAUACAAACUGUUGAUGAAGAAAUCUGGUCGGCUAUUGCGUGAAUAGGUGCCCACACCAACACUUAAAUUGUUAUUGAGGAGAUGAUUUAACACUACAACUUUACUGAAUUAGUAGUUGUAGGCAAAUUAACAUGCAUGAAAACCAUGUGCGAACAGGGUGGAUAAAAAAGCCCAUCUGGCCCAAGCCCGCAAGCUUUCGGCCAAUCUUUCUAUGCGAGGAAUUAGAUAAGAGCUUAAGAGAAAAUGCUCGGACUAGGCCCAGCACUCUAUUUUUUUUUUACAAAAUAAAUUUAUAAUUAGAACAAUAUAUUAAAAUUUAAAAAUAAAAAAAAAACUUAAAUUCUUAAUUCAUAAAUCAAUAAUGAUUCACAAAACCUAAAAUUAUAAUAUUAAUCUCUCUCUAAAGCAGUAAUUAAUUAAGAUGAUGUUUAAAUUAGAAAAUAUAGUAUUAAAAAAAUUAAAUCUUUAGCAUUUAUUUGCUUAAUUUUCUUCAUAUAUUAUUUUAUUUUAAAAUAUUUAAUUUUUUUAAUUCAUUGUUAAUUAUAACAACUUGUUAAUUAUAACAACUUGUUAAUUAUUAAUUCAUUUCAAAUUUACAACAAUUAAAAAAAUAAAAAAUAAGUGAAACUCCAAGCAUAGUCCUCAUGCUUCUACUAAAAUGGGCUUGGGCUCGGAAAAGCUCGGCCUAAGCCCACAUUUUGUCAUCCCUAUGUUCAUAUUAGGUAGGAUUCUCAACUUCAAAUUAUUAAUAUUAGGGGCUGCAAAAUGAAUAAACGAAUCGAAUUUGAAUCAACUUAAUAAACGAAUUGGGUCAAAUUUUGAUGGAUUCGAAUUUGAUUUAUUUAAUAAGUAAAUCGUAAUUUUAUAAUUUUAAUUCAAUUUAUUUAUUAAAUGAAUCAAAUAUUCAUUCACAAUUCAUUUAAUUCAUUUAUGUAGAAUAAUUAUUUUUGUCUUGUUAUUACAUCUUAUAAUUACGAAUAAAAAUUUAAUGGUAAAUAAAUAAUUGAAUCAAACGGAUAAUAAAUGAAUAGUGUCAUAUUCGAUUGAUUUAUAGCAGUUUAUUAAAAGAAAGAAUAAAUCAGGGAUCACAAAUUUAGAUUCGAUUCGUUUAUUUAGUAAAUUGAAUCAAAUUUAUUUAUUUAUUAAAUGAAUUAAUAUUUUCAAACUCAAAUCUAAUUUAAUUUGACUCCAGUUGGAUUGAAUCGAAUAAAUAAAUUUUCGUCUAAAUUGCCACCCCAUAUUAAUAUGCCUACAAUACCAAGUGGACGGAAGAUGUCAUAAAAAUCUUUAUGGACUCUUAAAGCAUUUGCUAUCGGCUGACGCUGUUAAACACAUAAGAAAUUCAAGAAAAUUAAUUAAACAUGGCUUCAUAUCAUUCUACUAAUCAGCCAGACCCAGCUGGAACUGAUCACCCAUCAGCCAAUUGGUGAUGGGUACUAACAAGCUUUAAUUGCAAGCAGUGAUUGAGCGACUUCCGGCAUUUCAAUUGUGAUGCCAAUCUGGAACUUGGUUGGAUCUCGCUCGUGUCUUUGACCAAAAGCAAAGGGCUCGUGGACAUUAAACAAAAAGAAUUGUUUUUUCAGACCUUAUCAGGCCAUUUACUUCGUUGUGUUGAAGGCUUUGUUUCAAAGCCAGAGACAAAAUCAAUAUAUAUAUAUAUUGUUAGGUACAGAUAUUCGUAUUUUUUAAAUAUGAAUUUAUUAUACAAUAUAGUAAAUUCUUAUUUAAAAUAUGAGAACAUUCGCACUAAAAUAUAUAUAUAUAUAUAUAUAGAGAGAGAGAGAGAGAGUCUCCUUCUUUUCUAGCGAAAACAUUUUCACUUUAUUAAAAAUUAAAAUGUCACUAAAAUAUAAAAAUAUAGAUUUAAUACAUUAAAAAGUUUAUUUUUUUCUUUUAGUAUAUUAAAAUUUAUGUUUUUUAUUUUUAUUUUUUAUUGAUAUCCACACCUUAAUAAAGUGAGGAUGUCGGCCUUACUAUAUAUAUAUACUAGGAAAUAAAACCGCGCUUCGCGCGACUUUAGAAAAUGAAUUUAGUAUUAUCAAUUUUUCUUUCUUUACACUUGAUAAAACUGAUAAAAAAUAUAAAUUAUUAUUUUUUAAAUAAGGCAGCCUUAUAAAACUAAUGUUAUUUAUGAAAGUUAACUAUUUUUUUGUUAACUUUAAAAAUAAAUAUUAACGUGUAUAGUCUAAGUGUACAGACCUUAUACCUUUUGUAGUUGAUAAGUUCCAAAUUAAAUUUUGUAAUUGAGGAUCCUUAGCGUUGAAUUAUAAAAGAAAUAAGUAAAAUACAUGUAAAGACUUUUGUAAGUUAUUUCGCAUCGUUUGUAGCUGCGUAGGUGAGUAGUUGUUUAUAUCAAGCUUGCAGCUAUGACAAGUUCCAAUGGGGAUCAGCAACACCUAGUGCCAAAAUGUUCUUUAUCUGUAUAUAAACCAUGUCUCCAUGGAUUAGAGAGAAUGAAAAGAAUGCUUCUUCACGUACUAUGUUCUUUGGCAAUUAAAUCCUCCAUAACAGCUUGGAAAACUCAACCAAACUAUCAUUUUGCUGUCUCGAUAGUUCCUUUGAUUUAUCCAUUUGUCUACUAAAUAAUUAAAACACAUAAUAAAAAUCAUUAUUAUAGGGUGAAGUAAGAGCUUGCAAUGUAUAAAUUAAAUUUUAAAAUAUAAUCUAAAAAUAAGAUACCUUGAUUUUGUGAGCUGAUGUGUGAAUAUUUUGAAAUACUUCUUUGUAGACAAUGUUUUUUAUGAAGGUUCGGUCUUCUACCUCUUGAUCGGCAUUUAGUAUGGUCAAUCCUUCUCUUGUGGUAACUCGAGACAGGGCGACAUAUAAUUGACCAUGAGUGAAUACUUGCUUAGGGAGAUACAAGCCAACAUGUUUAAGAGAUUGUCCUUGGCUUUUGUUGAUCGUCAUGGCAAAACAUGGUGCCAAAGGAAGUUGUCGUCUGUUAAGCUUGAAUGGUCAUCUUGAUUCAUUCGGAGACAUAAUAAUUCUUGGGAUUGUGACAUUUUGUCCAAUAUUUGUUCUAGAAAUGAUGUCACCUCUAAUGGACCAUUUACCAAGACAAGUGACAAUCAAUCUUUUGCCGUUGCAUAUGCCUUCUAUUUGAUUUAGAUUUCUAAGAAGCAUUACGGGAGCACCUUCCUUAAAUCGUAUGUCAUGAUUAGGGAUGCCAUUGAAUUUCAAACUAUUCAAAAAUUCAGUUGGAUACAGAACAUCUUCAUCAUUUGUGUUUGCGCUUGCUUUGCAUAUACUGUCUGAGCUAAAAAGGUUCUCCCUUGACCAGGUAUUAUAUUCAUAAUCAUCUCAUUCAAUUCAUGCACCAUUUCAUUUUUUGGCGUUAAUAUUGCUCUUUCUUUCAAAUAUGCUAGAUCACUGUAGUUAUGCCGAAUUGAUGGGUAAAUAGUGUCGACUAUUGAUUUCAUCAGAUUUUCUGAUGGUUUUUUACAGAUAUCAGAAGGUAGUUUAACUAAAUCUCUAUCAAUGUCAUCAUAUAAUGAACCAUCUCCAAUCUGCAACAACCAUUUGUCAAAAGAAGCUAUUUUAGCAGCCUCAGAGCCACUUACGCUUCCAUUAUAGAGCCUCAUAUUUUGUUUGAGCUUAUAAAUUUUAAAAAAUGGCCAUAAGUAGGAUGAGUUAAGUGAAGCAUCAACAAUGUCUGCUCUUGUCCCCUUUGGCACAACUGGCAAUAUUUGUCAGAAAUCGCCACCACAUACUAUUGUAAGUCCUCUAAAAGGUUUGAUAGAACUAUUUUCAUACCUUGUUCUUAGAAUAUCUCUCAAGGUUCUAUCCAAAGCUUCAAAGCAUAACUUAUGUGCGAUAGGCGCUUCAUCCCAAAUGAUCAAAGAAGUUUUCAUAAGAAGUCCAGCUAAUAAGGUGCCUUGUCGGAUUUCACAAGUGGACUCUUCUGUCACAUCUAAAGGAAUAUGAAAUCACGAAUGAGUUGUCCUACCAUUAGGCAAUAACAAAGUUGUUAUACCUGAAGUUGCAACAGGCAAGACUAUUUUAGAAUGUGAUAUGAGCUUUGCAAUAAUUGUAUUCCACAAAAAUGUUUUACCAAUACCACCGUGUCCAUUGAUAAAAAAUAAAUGCCCUUUUUCAUUCUCAACAGAAUGCAUUAUUGCUUCAUAGGCUGAUUUUUGGCAAGCAUUUAGAGCAGCAAACGAUUUCUCAUGCAACUUCUUUAAUUGAUCACGAUCAUAAUCAAGCUCUUCAUUGACCAAUCGGUUACCUGAAUCUCUUAUCAAAGAAGAAUUAGGAAGUGGCAUUCCAUCUAUGUCUCUCAAACUUUUUCCCAUUUUCAACAUGAUAGUUUCAAUCUCCAACAAUGUGUAUGCUUCAACUUGUUGCUCGGUUAACUGAAGAUCUUUCAAUCUGAAUCUUUUCCUUUGCAAUGAAGUUAUGUCUUCUGAUAAAGUAGUAUAAUUAGAUUUCCAAAGUUGGGAUGCAUCAGAAACCUGACAAUGAAUGAGUAUCGUGACAAAAAGAUGUCUUAAUUCAUUUCCAGUCGCCUAUAUUGCAGCUUCAGUCAAGCAGUCGAUCCAUUCUUUAUCAUCUUCUAAUAAUCCCAAAGCAUAGCACGCAGCUUUAAAAGUUGGAUAUGUCACUCCAUUUACUGUUCUAAUACUUUCAAAUGAAGUGCUUCCUUUUACAAAAUUGAGCAACAUUCUCAUAUAAAAUCGUUCUCCACUUGAGGGAUGUGCAAAGUAAAUUCUUCUGAUUGCUAAGCCAUUUUUUCUCCUAGUCCAAGUUUUGUCUUUUGAAUUCCAUACCCAACAUGUAGGGAAAUCAGAAUAAGUUAACUCUCGUACAUCAUCAUAUAUCUUGUUUGCUUCCAACCAUUCUGUGAACUUUGUUUUUUCUAUUCCAGGUAUGGUAAGCACAUUUUGUAAGCACUUGGAUUCUUUGAAUAUUACUGUAUGCUCUCCCAGUAAAUGGAAUGGUAAUCUUUCAACUGCCGGCUUUCUGUAAUGUAUGUCAAAUUGGAAGAUUCGCCAGCAAGCUUCGGUUGCUGAUAUAUAUCUAUAGUCCAAAUAUGUUUUGAUCUCGUCCAUUUCUUGGGUAGUGUCAAUAGAUUCCAUUGUUGCAGUUGUUCUAUCAGACCCUUUAUGGACAUACUUGAAAAGAUAUUUAACUGAUCUCGAGUAAUUACAAAUCUCAAUAUUAAUAUGUGCAUCAAAUUUGACAAUUAAAUUCCUGUGAUAAGGGACCACAUAUCGAUUAUCCAAGAAGACACCUUUCUUUUCGACAUGAAUACCUGUAUUUCUCCUUUUAUAGACUAUAAAGCCAUUUGUAUCCACUGUUGUCUGAUCAUUAAAUUUUUUUGGAAAAUGUUUUGUGCACUUGUCUUGCAUCAUGCAUGGAGAGUGAGAAUUGUGUUUUCCACACGGUCCAUGAAUCAUAAAUUUGUUAACUGCAUUAUAACCAUCAGAAUCAACAUUUAAGUCAGGGAUUUUUGCACUUAUUAUUUUAUCAAUAUAGUCUGCAGAAGGAUUUUUCAUUGUUGGAUGCAAAAAAAGUAGUAUGUGUGCAUGGGGCAAGCCUCUUUUUUGAAACUCAAUUGUAUAUAGACCUGCCACAACAUGGGGUAAAAUUUAAAAGUUAGAAAUAUUGAUUUCAAUUGUGAAAUUAUUGUUCUUCCCUGCACUUUUCAAUAACAAAUGAGUUGAAUUUGUUAUGGAUAUGAAUUUGAAGUGAACUUACAUGCAAUUAUUUUUCCAAACGGUUGAUCCUUUUUCAGAUCUUGCAUUAGUUGGAAUAAUUUUAUCUCGAAAACUCUGCAUAUGAUAUCGACUUGAUUGUCAUCAUUCUUUUGUCCAACUAAUCGGAGCAUGUUAUUUAUUUCUUGCCACUUUGGGUUGCAAGUGAAAGUAAAAAAUAAAUCAGGAUAUCCUGCCCAUUUACAAAUUGCCAUAGUAUCUUGAUAAUUUUGUAUUCUAUAUCGUGGUCCCCCCGUGUGUGAUGAAGGUAGAAUAAUCAAUUUUCCAACUUUCGAACAAUCAAAAUCACCUCGAUGAACAGCAUCCAUCAAACCAGAGAAAAGGUUUGAUCUAAGUUUUUGUUGAUUAUUCUGGAUCCAACGAAAUCUUUCUUCUUCAAUUGCCAUGUAACAAUCAAUUAUAUAUUGUUGGAAUAGUCUACCAGCUUGAAGUAGAGUGUGUCCUUAAUUUAAUCUUUGUUGCAACCUAAAGCAAUAAUAUUGCCUCAUUGUCAGCUUUUGCCUCUUAAAAGGGCUAUCAGUUACGUCUCUUAAAGAUAUGUCAGGUCUAUAUCCAUCUUCGCCAUAAGGAUAUAUUAACGGGUAUGUCAUGGGCAUGAAACUUGGAUGCAAAUCUGUGAUUCUUCGAAGUCCCUUUGUACGAUGCUCUAUAAUAACAUCGCGUUGAAAGUUCGCUUCACUGAAAUCACCAACUAUUAAGCCUGUAACUUAUGAAACUAUUGGCAUAUUAUAUCGACGGCCAUCUCUUGCUCUACUAUUAAGGAGUCGUAAACGGAAUGUAGAUUCUGGUUGUGUUUUGUAUCUAUCCCUUGCCAUUCUAAAAGAUUUGACCAAAUUAUUAUGUUGGUCCAACAUUUUAGAUAGUUCAUGAAGAAUUUCGUGAUCAAUUUCUGUCUUCAUUCCAUGUUUUAAUAGAGUGUUGAUUCUGUUGUCUGUCUCAUUUUCAGUAUCAUAGAUAUAAAGCUGAGCAAACUGUGGUUUUUUCCCAACUUUUGGCAACAAAGAACCAAUGUGAUGAUAAUUCUGACCGCUCAUCCUGAAAACAUAAGGACCUUUUGAUCGAUUGAUUGAUGCAUCAACUCAACCUCCCAUAGAUGUGAAAGCAAACAUGGAGUUAAAAGCCCUGAUAUUUUUUUGAAAUUUGGAACCCUUUUGUCCAGAAUCCGCCUCGAGAAGAUAUUUGAGUAAAGGAGGUGUUUCUUUCAUGAAUGGAAUCUGUACACGACCUUCCAUACAACAAAAUGUGAAUUUGGGAUGUGAGAUGAUGAGCAUAUAAUACAUACAUAUUUUACCAUUAAUUAAAUAAUUGCUAGUUAUAUUUAUUUUUUAUUUUUAAUUAAUUGAAUUAUUUUAUUGAAUAGGAAAUUAAUUGGAGAUUAUGGAUAAAAAGAGCAUAAAGGAGUUUAAUUUAUAAGCAUUAAAGAUUAAUUGAUUUUUGGAAGGAAUUAGACAUACAUGCAUGUGGAAAUCAAGCCAAGGAACCGAAUUCAACAAGUUAAUUCAUCAUGCACAUGCGGACAAAAGAGAGAAAUUGAUUUUAGCUUUAAGAAGGGACCCCACGUGGCUUUCAUAAAUGGAAAAAGUAAACCUAUUACAAUUCAAAGUGCCCACGUGAGUAAAGCAAAACAAAUAACUUCCAAACCCUUUUGGCUUUAGGAUUGACAAGGUGGGGCCCAUUUUAAAGGCUAUAUAAGAAAGCUAAGCUCUUGGCUUUUAGAGGGAAGAUGAGCCGCCAAGAAGGGAGCUGCAAACGCAAGACGCAAGACUGGGCAGCAGCAGUUUGGCUUCCAUGAGUGAUUUUAUUUCUUUUGUUGCUCCCAAUUCAAGUAUGUCUAACUAAUUUUUUUAUACUGAUGUUAAAGAUGAAACCCUAUUCAAUGAAAUAAUUAUCUCUUUUUAUUUAAUUAAUUCCCUAUAUAUGUUCUUUGAUGAUUAUGGUUUUUAUUUCACAUGAUUAAUUGGAUGUUAAUAAAAUCUUUUCAUCAAUUCUGUCAUGCAUUAUUGAUUGUUAGGAUUAAUAUUCGAUUAAAUCUAUGCUUGGAUUUAUAAAAUUUUUACAUGAUUAUCUUUGAUUCUAUGUUUUUAAUUAAAUUGUUUACAUGGAGUGCUUAGGAAACUUUGACUCUUUGUUAUUCAAUAUGUUUACAUGGGAUGCUUAGAUAUCAUACUAUUAAGUAGAAAAAGAACCUACAUUAGAUUUAAUUACUUGGGCUUAAUUGCUAUAUCCAUGAGAUGACAUAAAUUGAUUUCGAGUUGUCACUCUAAAAUUGGGGAUUAAUUAAUAAUUAGAUAAUUACUAGUUGAAUAGUGGUAGAUUCUGAAACCUUGGUAAUUCUUAUUUUAUUGAAUUUUCCUUUAUUUUAAUUGCUUCCUUAGUUUAAUUGGUUUAAUUUUCUUAGAAACUCAAUUUGGUCAACUAGGUUAGAAUUAAUAUUAAUUUUAGAUUUAAAUUAGACUUUUCAAUUUAUAACAAUCCCUGCGGGAUCGACCUCGUUACCACUAUUCUAUUUCUAGAUUCGUGCGCUUGCGAAUAUAUUAAAAUUUUCACAACAUGAGACCCUUUUGGUUUUCUUGUUCCGUUCCUCGUACCAUAAAAUGGCACCACAAUAUUGACAUGUGUAUGUAGGGGGUCCAAAAUUCCAAGGCGUUGUAUAAUGAACUGUCAAAUUCAACAAAUAAUAAUAUUGUAACAAAGUAUCUUAUUUCGUCUAAGUGAAUAUGGUAAGAAAAAAUAUUACUAAAUAUAUUAAUAUUUUCAUUGUACAUGUAGUUUCAUGCAAAUAUGCACCAUUAUUUGAUGUUACACCAUCCAAUGGAAAGCUUGUGGACUGAUCUAUAUUCUCAUCAAAAGAGAGACACGCUCUUUUUAGUUGUCCAUGUUCAACUGCAUAUUUUUAAAGUUCCAAAAGCAAUGAAUAAGUUAUUAGUUUCAAGUAUUACAAGCAUGAUGAAUAACUAAUAAAGCUCGAUAAAUGUAAAUAUAUAUACGUACCUGUGUGAAGAAGGCGAUUUCCUCUGUUUGUUUGACUCUUUGGAUUUAUAUGUGAUGAUGUUUUAUUAUUAUCAUAUCCAGCUUUACCAGGAGAUUGAAGGAAAUUCCCAACUGAAAUAUGUUAGAAAUAUAUAUAUUUGUUAAUAUAUAUUAACAUAAAUAAUUUAAAUUAUAUAGGGAUAAUUUUUGUAAUUUGUAUAGUAGGAAUAAAAAUAAUAUUUUCAAGAAUCACAUACCGUUUGAGUGAAGCAAUUUAUUAUAACUUCUAAUGUCGUCCAACUUCAUAAAUUUUGUGUAAAAAUUCACAAUUUGUAGCAUCAAAAUUAUUCUCCUUUUUAAAUCAUGUUUGUAUCGAUUAUGAAUAAUCAUAAUUUUCCACUUAAAUCUUGCAUGCUUGAAUAUGGCCUUCUGCACGACAACAUAUCCAUUGUUUAUUGUGUCACACUGGAAAUUUGAUGCAUAUUUCCUAAGCUUUAAUUUCAUAAUCCUUUCGUGCCGAGCUAAAGAUGAAAGUUGAUGCCGCAAGAGACAAACUUCUGGCGGAAUAUUCCUUGAGUCAUCGAAAUCAUUAAUAGUUGCAGAAAUCAAUUCCAUUUAUUCUGGUGAACAACAAAGUGAAUUCAAUAUCACAAAAUAUUCUAAAAUUAACAAAACGUUUUAUUACAAAUCAUAACAAGAGAAACCGAAAAUAUAAAAUGUUUUUUUCAAAAGAGAUGAAAAAAAUAUUUUUCAAUUAUUGAAAUAAGAAUUGCAAUGAAUUUUUCAAACGAAUACAUACCAUAUGUUAGAAAGAACAAAAAAAAAUCACUAAAAACAAAACAAAAUAAAAUGGGAUUUAAUUUAACCAAUUCAAUUUAAUUUUAAACUCAUGCAAGUGUCACAUUGGCUUAAUUUUUGUUGUGCUUAUAGCCAGGAAUAGAGGCUUUUAGAUUACUUCUUUAUUAGGUUAUUAUUCUUCGAAUUUGGUGGGUACAUUGUGAGCUUUUUCAGUUGUGAUAUUAUCAAAUCAAUCCAUGCAAAAUAAUCAUUAAUGUAAUGUUUUUGUUAUUUUCAAACCGAUAAAUAAUUAUGAAUUGUUUCUAUAAUUGUGUAUUUAGAAACAACGUUAACACAUUUUUUCAGAACAAACUUCUAAGUUUGAUUGAUUUUAGAUCUAAUUACGAUACCCUAAAUUAAUAUAGAAAGUCAACAAAAAUCUACUUUAACAGUUCUAAUGUAAAUUUAAAGGCAAUUAAUUUUGAGUAAAUAUGAACUAAAACAAAACUUGAACAAAAUCUGAAUUUAUGUAUAAUAUUAAGGUAGCCACAUUGCAUUUGAAAAUGUCAAUUAGUGGGAUCUAAAUAAAUAAUCACCUUGGAAUUUUUUAAUGGUUGUAGGAGUUAAUAUUACAAUACAUGGGCUGUCAUCUUUGUUGUACAAAUUUCGAUCAAACAUCUCCCCCAACUUUUUCCAUAAAGUAAUCUUUGAUAUCACCGAGCUAUCCAUAAAAAUUGCCACAAGUGAAUAAUAUAAAGAGAAAAACUCAUUAUAAGGAUAUCGUAUUAUCAUUAAAUUUGAAAGUUUUGAAUUACGUUAUUAUACAAUUGGUUACUUUUUUUAAUUCCAAAUCACCAAUAUUAUUAUUCCCUAUUUCAAUAUGAAUAUUACCACUUGACUUUUUUAUUUGUGUUUAUGAAGAGGUGGGGUGUGAGGAAAAGAAAAAAAAUGUUUUUCUUAAGAAUUAGAAAAAAUAAUUAGGCAAUAAUUCAAGGAAUUGAGGUUGUUCAUUCUACAUUCCAUUUGGAUUUAGAGUGAUUUUCAUAGAUUUUUCUUUUAUUAAUUAUGCUAACCGUCAAGUACUGUUGUUUAUUCUAUUGCGUUUGGGAGAAGAUGCUUGGGCUGCCUAGAACUUAUUUUCUAAUUAAUUUUUCUUGUGAAUACAUUGAAUAAUCUCAAAGGGCUAUAUCCUUUUUCAUUUUACUUUAACGGUUUUUCUUCAACAAAUAUUGGAUGUAUUUAGUGAAAAAGAAAAUUAAAAAUUAGGAAAGAACUAAUAAAAUUAGUGAAGUCAAAUUGUCGAUCAAUUCUUAUGAUAAAACAAUAAUUAAAAAAUAUAUAGUCAUAGUUUUCUUGAUUAUAUUCGACUUAUUAAUCUGUUAAAACUUUUUAUAUCUUUUUUUCCAACUUCCCCAUUUGGUGAACUGUAAAAAUGAUAUGUUUUUUUCCACCAUUUGUCUCUAUCUUUUUUCACUCACAAAGAGUUAAUAGUUAUUAAUCAAUUAAUUUUUUUUGUUUGCAUAAGAAUUAAUAAUAUUGCAUACAUGUAUUGUGAAAUAAUUGUUUGUUCAUAAUUAUUUUUUGCAUUUUUUUAGAAGUCAAUAGUCAAAUUAAUGAUAUUGAAUUAAGACAUUUCGAAGUUUGCUAUUUUGUACUUCUAAGAUUUCCUAGAAAUGCUUGCAAAUGGGAGGCAUUAAUUUUUCUGUUUACUUUAUUGAAUUUCAUAAAAUUCAAUUCAAGCCAAAAAUUGAAGGUUAGAAAAGCAGUUGGAUAGUUUCAUAAAAUUAUUAUUUUAUCAUUUAAAAGAUAUGUACCACAUCAAUUAAGACUAAACAUUAGAAUCAUUAGCAUUGUUCCAAUCACACAGGCAAAAUCUAUCACUCUAAUAGUCAAGUACAUUGUACAAUGCAGUCGAGAACAACUUAAGCAUUUAGUUAACCUUUUCUAUCUGUUUAUUUCCACAAAACACCAAAUAUCCAAAUUGACACUGGAUCCUCCGAGUCAAAUAUAGCUAGCUCACGUUCAGAAAAGACCUGCCUCUUUUGAUUGUACCUCCUGCAUGCGAAUUAUAUAACAAUUAAAUAAAACUACACCAGAGAUUAAUUAGUCAAUAAAUAUAAACACGAGCUAAAACAUGUGUCUACUAAUAAUUCUUAAACGGGUCAAAGCUUUCAAAGUUUGCAUUGAAAAAUUAAAGUGAAAAUCUUCAAUACCUCCACGUGUAAAUCGUAUAAAUUAGACAACCAAAGAUUUUUCUUUCUUACCUUAUGCUUUUUCGCAAACAAGUAGAUAGCAACAAUUGUAAAGACAAGUGAGCAGUAAUCUGUUAAAAUAAAGUAAUCCGAUGUUAAUGAAAAUAAGAACAACAUAUUAUGUUUAAAACUAAGUUUUUAUAAUAAUGAAAUCGAGUAAAGUUAUUCGAUAAGGAUAAACAAAUAGAACGCAUUGACAAAUUGGCAUCAAAUUAAAUUGAUCCAAAGAAAUUGAGAUGCUAAAAUUUGAUUACGUACACAUUGAUUUUCAAAUAAUUAAUCCACACAUUGUUUUAUUCUUCAAACAUCUUUAAACACAAGAGCCAACACUUUCACUCUUAUAUAUUACUGCCAUAGUAACUUGAACUUGGUGAUCAGCUUUUUAAUUGAUUUGCAGUAGCUCACAAUUAAUUAAGCUUGAUCAUCAGUAGCUAGUAUUGAUCAUAAAAAUAUUUGUUUAAUUUACAAUCUAAAGUUACGCUCCAUACUCUAUAUAUGUGAAUUAUAUAUUUGCAUCAUCAACAUUAACAUUAUAAAAUAAUCUGUGCAAUAGGAUGCUCUUGGAGUAUUUUAUUUUCAUCACAAAAUAUAUUAAAAUUAUAUUAGACAGAGAAUAUAUCUAACACUUUCUAAACACUAAUAUAUAAUAGUUUCUACAAAAUAUGAAAUAUCUGUACUAAAAUACCAAAAUAUAAAUAUAUAUAGCCUAAUUGGAAUCAAUAAUCAAACUUCAAACAUGUCAUACUCUAAAGAAAUUAAAGCAUGAUAGUCUGUGUGUUUGACAUAUUCAACUAAAUGUUUGAUGAGAAUCUGUGAUUGUUAACAGCCAAUAAUGGUUUCUUUAGCAACUCAACUCAACUCAGCAAAACCACAACCAAUUACAUUUACCAACUCAACUCCUCGCUUCCCCAAUUUCCAACAUUCUCUUCACAUUUACAAAUGGUAGGUGGUCCUAUAAAUCCCAUUCAAGAAUGAACAAUUUUUUUCAGUUCCUAGUAGGUGAAGUUUCUUCCACAUUUACAAAAAUUUCGACAGCAUCUCCCCAUAGUUCUCCAAGUACACGACCUAGAUUUAUCCAUUCAUCUAGUAUGUACCCAGAGAACAUGAGGAGCAGCUAUCGAAAUUUCCUUUUACGUGAAACAAAACUUCACCUACUUUGAACUAAAAAAAAUUAUGCAUUCCCAAACUAUCCAAGUCGGGACAAUUCAAGAAUUAUUAAUAGACAUAUGAUCCUCUUGUCAUCCUAAGAUGACACGGAUAAAACAUGUGUCUACUAAUAAUUCUUAAACGGGUCUGAGCUUUCAAAGCAUGGAUGAAAAAAAAACGUAAAUCAAUAUAUAUAUAUAUAUAUAUAUAUAUAUAUAUAUAUAUAUAUAUAUAUAUAUAUAUAUAUAUAUAUAUAUAUAUAUAUAUAUAUAGAUUGCUUACAUAGAUUGCUUGGAUCCGAGAACUUUACAAUGAAAAUGUUUACAGUUUUGUAGAAAGGAAAAAUAACAAGACAGGAAUAGUUUUCCUUGACGUCUUGAUCCUGAUUUCCCGAAGAGAGAGAGAGAGAGAGAGAGAAAGUCUAGAAAAUGUAAACAAAGCUCUCCCCUUAAAUGUUACAAAGCUUUGAAUUUAAAACAACUGAAGCUUGAACUAUGGCGAGUUUGUAGCUUCAACUGUAGUGAAACUAUAGCUUUAUUCGUCCACUGUAGCGAAGCUGUAGCUUUACACAUGCGUGGUUGGUGAGUGGAGAUAGCAUCAUUGUGAAUGGACUUAGCUUUAUUGGCUUUUGCUGUAGUUUCACAUGCGUAGAUGAUGGAGCGGGAUCGUCAAGACAUGUGGGGGACAACAUCAUUCUUCUUUACAACUUUGAAAGAAAAUAAAAGAUGGGUGAAGAGACAUGUGCGCUCUCACUUGUGUCCAGAGGACCACCCAUAAAAAUAAUAUAUUAUGAAAAUAAUUACAACAGAGUAAUUUUUACAAAGGGGAAUACAAUCGUUAAUUACAUGAGUAAUAAAUACAAGGAAAUAAGGGAAAUAGGACAAUCUUUACUUUUUUUUUAACAAAGCUUUAAUGCUUUAAUGGAGAGAAUAUUUCGAAGCAGUCAUCUUCGUUUUCAUCUCCGAGGGAGAUAAACGGUUCAGCUUCUCCUGAGGAACUUGAUGAAGAACUUGCAGCAGAUGCCUUUGAUCUAGUGGCAAGAAGUUGCUGCAUUACUUUGAAACAUUCAUCCUCGGUUUUGGCACUAGCCAGUAGGGAUUGGGCUUUUGCUCUUUGGGCAAGGAAAGUGCUUUGGGCUUUGGUUACAUCUUUACUUGGGGCAAGGAGGCCUCUUGUAGAAAGCCAGGAUUGGACCGUGGCUUCAGACAAUUUUGACUGUUCGUCAAAUUUAGACCACCAUUUGACUUUAAAGGUUCUUAGUAAAACUAGUUGGGUGUCUAUGGUGUGGUAUUGGAAAUUCCACAUCCAAACCCAGGGAAGGAAAAAGUUUGUACAAAAACAGAGAAAAAGAGGAAACCUCUUCUCAGGCUCAGAAGGAACAUAGUGGGCUUUAAAUAAAUUUAAACAUUUGAUGGCAUUUUGGGUUAGAAUUUCUGGGUUUGGCCCAAAAUAGUUCCACCAAAUUUGGAACCAAAUUGGAAGGCUUUGAACGGUUAUUUUUUAGUUGAAGAAAAAUAACCAAGAGUGAGACUUUUUUGGAUUUUGGAUAAAAAAAUGUAUUAAACCAAGCCUACUGAUAAUCCCAGUAGGAGAAAGAUAAGCAGUGGUUAGGCUUCUUUGAAAAUUGGCGGGAAAGGUUUUUGGUUUGUGGAGUUGUUCACCCCACUGAUUUGGACUUAAGACUUUAAGAAUGGUAGCCGUGGAAUAGGCUAGCUCAGAAUGAGCUUCACUAAGAAAGAAAUGUUUAAACUUUACUGACUCAGUGAACUCAAGUAUGCUUUGGUAGAAAGACUGGAGUUUAGAUAAAUCCCAUGGUUUGAAAAACCAGCCUUUCGGAAAAAUCUUUGAAAUUGCUUGAAAUGGAUCAGAAUGAUAAAACCCAUCCUCCAUAGAUAAAACAUUUUGUUGAUAGGCUUUAUUAAACCAAUCCGAUGAUUUUUGUGAAAGCUUUGAUUCAGAAACAACAAUUUAUGAAGAAGAGCUUUCACAAGAAACAAUUUCUUUAGAGGAAGGGGGUUUUGAAAUUGUUUUAGAACUAAGUUUUUCUUUUUCAAGGAUUUGAGAAAGGGCUUUAGUUUGAGAAAUAUUUUGUAAGGCGAGCAUAAGCUCUGGAGACUUUGUAAUGGAGUUCAUCCAUUCUUUUACCUGAUCUUCUGAGGUAAUGGCUUUAUAUUGGGCUUCUUGUUCUUCAACCAUUUCAAUCCAAGAUUUGAUAGGCAUGGCAGAAGAAAGUAAUUUUUCUUUGGAUGGGGUUGAUUGGGGUUCUUUGGAGGUUGUUUGUGAGUCAGUGUCUUUAAGAACAGCUUUACCCUUGUCUUUUUUCUUGGGCGGCAUUAUCUGUUUUGAAGAAAUUCCCUAGUUAAAAAAUCAGGGAUAGAAUUUGUAUCUCCUUUAAUAAAUUCAAUAUCAAAAUCAAAAACACUUAAAAUGGCUUGCCAUCUUGCAAAAAUUUGUUUUGAAGCAAUAUUUUGAACAUCUUUUUCCAAAACAUGUUUUGCAGCUUUGCAAUAAAUUCUAAGCAAAAAUUUUUGAUUUAACAAAUCGCUUUGAAAUUUAGAAAUGCAUAAUACAAUGGAAAGAAUCUCUUUUUUAAUAGUAGAGUAAUUUCUUUGACAUUCAUUCCAAUGAGCAGAAAUAUAUUGUACUAUUUGUUCUUUAUUAUUAUCGGAUUGCUUUAAUAUACCUCCAUAACCUAAAUCUGAUGCAUCAGUUUCAACAAUUUUAGGCAAUGCAGGAUUUGCAAGGAAUAAACAUGGAAUAUUCUUAACAUAAUUCUUUAUUAGUCUAACGGCUUUCGUGUGCUCAUCAGUCCAUGCAACAGGGUUCUUUUUCAAUCUGUCAUGCAAGGGUUUUGACAUCCUGUUGAUAUUGGGACAAAAAUCAAGGACAUAAUUUAAACUUCCUAGAAAUCUUUGCAGUUGAGUUUUAUCAAGAAUUUUAUCAAGAAAUUUAUCAGCAAAUAUAAGAGAUCGCUCAAUAGGAGUAAUGGUUCCUUUGGAAAUGUAAUGACCUAGAAACCUGAUUUUUGUUUGAAACAAGGAAACUUUAGAACUAGAAAUGGCUAAGCCGGCCUUUCUAGUGGCAAGGUAGAAAGUCUUUAAAUGUUUGAAAUGUUGUUCAAUAGUUUGGGAAAAGAUUAACACAUCAUCAAUAUAGACAAUGCAAAAAUCAGAAAAAGGAUUAUAAAUAUCAUUAAUAAUUCUUUGAAAUUCUGAAGGUGCAUUUUUUAAACCGAAUGGCAUCACAAUCCAUUCAUACUGUCCAAAAGGAACAGUGAAAGCAGUUUUAUAACGGUCUUUAGGAUGAAUUUGAAUUCGCCAAAAUCCCGAUUUCAUAUCAAAUUUUGAAAAUACGAAAGCAGAAUGUAGUUUUUGGAGUAAAUCUUUUUUGUUAGGUAUGGGAUACCUAAUCCAUUUUAAUGCUUUAUUAAGGGGUUUGUAAUUUAUUACGAGUCUGGGUGUUCCUCUUUCUAUUUCAGAGUUUUUGUUAAUAUAGAAAGCGGCACAAGACCACGGAGACCUAGAUUUUACAAUGAGUCCUUUUGACUCCAAGUCUUUGAUUUCAUCUUUGUAAUGCUGUUCUAAUUCCAUGUUCAUUUGAAUAUGAUGGGCUUUAGUAGGUAUUUGUUUUUCAUCAAAAGAAUUUUCAUAAGGCAAAUCUACCAAAUGUUGUUUUCUAUUCCAGAAAGCAGAUGGUAGGUCAGCACAUAUUUCUUUUUCAAUGAGAUUUCUGAAAUCAGAGAUUUUUCUUUUUAUAAAAUCAUUUUGUAAUUGGGUUUUGAUUCUUUGUAAACUCAAAUAUUUUUUUAAACAAAUAAGGUCAUUUUUUUUUGAUUUAAGGAGUGUAUAAAUUUGAUUCUGAUAAACAGAACAAGCUUUAACAAUAUUCAAAUUUCUUGUUUUGGGUUUUUCAAUAAAAGAGAAAACAAGUUUUUUGAUUUUUGCUUUAAAGGAUAUACUAUCAUAAUUGACAGUAUAAGGGGUAAUAAGGUUUAUGAAAGGAACAAGCUUUAACAAUAUUCAAAUUUCUUAUUUUGGGUUUUUCAAUAAAAGGGAAAACAAGUUUUUUGGUUUUUGCUUUAAAGGAUAUACUAUCAUAAUUGACAGUAUAAGGGGUAAUAAGGUUUAUGAAAGGAGUUCCUAAUAUAACAAAAUGAUGAAUGUCAUUUGUUAGAAGAAAGGAAGUCCGAAAUUCAAAACCAUUAUUAUGCACUGAGACAUCAACUUUAGAUUUGACUUUUAACUUUGAAUUAUUAGUGGCAGAAAGUCUUUCAUUUGCUUUUUCAUGAAAUCUUUUAGGGAUAAUAUCUUCUUUAAUGCAGUUUAGAUCGGCACCGGUGUCAAAGAGGGCAAUAGUGUCAAUCUCAAAGGCUUUAGAAAGAAUUAAGGUGAUUUUAAUCAAAUAUUUUUUCGUGGUGAUUUGCUUUAAGACAAUCAGAAAAUCAUUGGGUACAGAUUCAAUGUUUUCAAGAUUUUGUUCAUUAUCACCGUCAGAUUCAAUUUCUUUAUCAGAAUUAUCCUCUAAUUAUUUUUGUAAGAGGAGUUGGAUGGUUUCAGAAUCAUUCUUUUAUUUUUCUUUUAAUUCCUUUAUUUCGAGUUUGAUUUCUUUAAUCUCUUUUUGAAGGUCUUGGAUAUUGGGAAUUGUUUUCUUUGUUCUCUUUUUAUCCAAGAUUUCAGUUAGGUCAUAUGUAUUCUUUUUAAUUAUUGGAGUUUUGGAAGUUUCUGUUUUAUUGUGUUCUAAGGUCUUUAAAAGCUUAUCGAGGUAUUCCUUUUGAAGAUUUAGAUUAGAAAUAUGUUUAACCAAUUCAAGUAAAGUUUCUUGUUCCUUAGUCAACACAUUGAUUUUCUUUAAGUAGGAUUCUGAGUCAGAAUCACUAUCACUGGAUACAGAUGUAUCUGAGUCAAUUAACUCAUCAACCUGUAGAGGUUCACUGUCUCCCGUCAUGGAAGACUCAGAGUCAGAAGACUCUAUCAAUAAAGGGGCUACUUUAGAAAGGAUUUCUUCAUCAAGGCCAAGCUCCUGGAGCUUUCUGUUCAUUCUGUAAAAUUUUACAGUGUGGCCUUUCUUUCUACAUUUGUAACAUGUGGCUUCUUUAUAAUUAAAGGGGGUUUUUGUUGUGUCUUUAAAGGUUUUCUUUUUAGAGAAAUAGGGUUUCCUAUAAGGCUUCGAAGGUUUCUUAUGGAAGGGUUCUCUAAAGUUUUGGAAGGGUUUCCUAUAGCUUUUAGAUUUGUGAUGUUUUUUGUAAGGUUUUGAAGAACACUUUCCAUCACAUUCUUUAGAAGUGGAAGUUUUAAAGGGAUCAUAAUUGAAUUGCUUGCAGAAACUGCCUAAUUCUUGCUUAGAUUUCCUAAGCUCCCAUUUUAGACGUUUCUGAAGUUUCAAAUCUUGACAAAUCUUUAAACCUUCCUUGUUAACAAAACUGACAAGUUCACUGUAGGUGAGCUCAUCAUAAGGAAUACGGUUGUCAUAUAAGGCUUUAAUAGAAUUCCUAACCUUUUCUCCUAAUAGGGUAGGUAAACCUGUAAGGAAUUUCUCUUUCCAGGUUAUAUGAUUUGCAUCAUCCCUAAGGAAGAGUCUGGUAAAGAAUGUGGUUUUGUAACUUUGGAACUCACUAAGUUUCCUACACCUCAAGUUAUGUAGUAACUCAAUAUUUUUAUCUUUUAGGUGUGAAGGAUCACCUAUGAAAUGAAGAGAUAUAGUCAGAAUCAGGGUAGCAACAACAUCCUGAAUAGGACUAUUGAAUUCAUCAAGGAUGGGGGCACCAUUUUCAUCUGUCUGAAUUGCAUUGAGGAUAUUUAAUUGUUGCUGUUUAGUGAGAAGGUGAUCCCACCAACCUUUAAGCUGACCAGUAAAACCAGCAAUGAGAAUUUCUGUAAUGGCUUUGUCAGAAGUUCCCGACUGAGUUUUAUAGGCAUUAGCUGCCAUGGUCAUCUGUUGCAACAAUCCUAGUAUGUUGUAUUCAGACAUACCAUCAAUAUUCCACUCAUAGACAGAAGAUGCAUUGAAUCGUGAUUGAUUUAAUGCUGCAGUCUGUUGUCUAUGGCUAGGUCAGGUGGAGACUUGACAGUAGGUAGAGCUAAUUCCCAAUGAAUUUUGUUGGCUUUGGAAACAGGUUCUUCUUUAAAGGCUUCUAUAUUAGAAGAGGCUAUAGACACAUUGUCUUGUUCUAGUACAGCAAUUAUGCUAGAUUGGGCACUGUCAGGGGCUAUUUGGAUUUUACUAGAAAAGAAAGAAGAAGCUUCUAUUCUAUCUAGUUGUUCUUUAAUGGCUUUAGCAAAAUAGCUAUAGUUGACUUCUGGAAUUGGUUUUCUAUUCUAGUGAACUGCUUUCCUAUUGUGUUUAGAUUAGCAUUACAGAAAUUAUUCUGUUGGAUAAUACUAUCUAAAUCUGAUUCUGGAUCUUUAUGGAUUUUAUAGGGUGAGGCUUUAAUUUCGAUAGGAGGCUCACCAUGUUCAAUGAUUAGACUCCUAAGAGGUGGAUGCUCAGAUUCUAUGACUCUACCAUUACCAGAGAGGUUCCACUCAGUGGUUUUCUUUCUAACAGUAAUGGGAUUUGAUUCUUUAAAAGGAUAUGAAAUGUUGUUAUUUGAAGCAUACAUCUCAAACCAAUCAAAAAAUAAUAUAUGAACUUUAUGCAGAUUUACAAACUCAUAGUAAGUUUCUUGAAUUUCUUUUCGUUGGUUUAAGAAAUGUUUAAAAAAUCAAAGUCUUUUUUCUUUAUUAGUGUCAGAAUAAAAAUCAUUAUGAAGAAGAGUUUUAUCUAAUUCAAAGUCUUUUUCAAUGACACGAAUCACAUUUUCUGUGACAGCAGAAAACGUAGGAGAGGUUGGAGGAGAAGGUUCCUUCUCUUCCUGGCUUUGUUCAUGUUGACAGCUAGUGUAAAUUGGGUGAGGAACACUAGUGGUAUAGUCAACAGAGUGAAUAGAGGAACUAGGUAUAUCUGAGGUAGAAAACCUAGGUUGACUCUUUACUGGUUGGAAAGGGAGAUUUAUAACGGAAGGAAUCUUUGAAAAUUUCCUUUCUAAUGAGGGAAUACUUGAGCAUGAAUCUUUAUCAGAGAAUCUAGAUGAUGUAGAUCUCCUAAAUGAUAAUUUGACUUUACCAUUUGAAUACUGAGUUACAUUUUGCAACUCUGUAUUAGGCUCAAGUUGUUUUGGAAUCACUGGUGCAGUGGCUCCUUCAAGAAUUCAUUCGUCUGGAAGAUUGACAUCUUUCCAUUGGAUUGGUUUUGGAAUAACGGUAUUAGCUUUAGACAAGUCAGUCUGCAAGAGAAGAGUCUCAUCUCUUUUUCACUGGAAUUUAUGUUGCGUGCUAAACGCAGAGAUCAUGUCUUUGUAAGAAAUUUUAUAGAUUAAUGCAACUGGAACAGAUCCCUCAAUCAUGUGAUAAUUAUGGGUCUUGAUUUGCAAAAUCAUGCUUUUUAAAAUGUUUUUGUCUUUUAAAGAAAUUGUUAUAUUCGGGUAACAAUUAAAUGAAAUUGGACCUUUACAAAGGCUUGAUUCUUUACUACUUAGUAAAGAAUCAUCGAAAAAGAUGAAUCGCCCAUCUCUUAGGACAGCAAGAAUGGAAGUAUUUAAACCUUCUUUUGUUAAGGGGUUUAUACCAACUUGUAUUAAACCAAUGUGAAUAUAAUUAAAUUUUUAUCUUUUAGUUUCUUUAAAGAGUGCUCUGAAAAGAGAUGAAUAGUUUCAAAUGGCUUUGAGAGAGUUAUGUCUCGUUCUUCAGUUUUUAUAACAUAAUCAUUGUUUAAAAAAUCAAGCUUUUUUGUUUUGUAAAUCAUUUCUAUAUUAACUUUUGGUAAUUCCCAAUUAUCAAUUGCUUUAUUAAAGUCUUCAAUUAUAAAUUCUUCCGAAUUCACAACAUUCUUUGAAUCACUAGUUCUUCCAGAAGAAGAGCUAGAAAAGGAUGAUGCUCUAUAGAGUAGAGAAUCCAUGGAUAAAACCUAUAUUCUAGUUUUAGUCUUGUCGGUAUGGCUACAAUCCAAGGCUAAGAAUUGGUUUUACUGCCCUCAACCAAAUCGGGACUUACGACCAAAUACUACCAAGGCACACAGAGGUAACACUCACCACAUAAACAAUGUUCAACCAAAACACAAGUCUUUAAACACAAAGUCUCUAUCCUAUAUUACACUAUCCUCCCCUUGGCUCUGAUACCAAUAAGAAAAUAGGAGAGCUUUGUUUACAUUUUCUAGACUCUCUCUCUCUCUCUCUUCGAGAAAUCAAGAUCAAGACGUCACGGAAAACUAUUCCUGUCUUGUAAUUUUCCCUUUCUACAAAACUGUAAACAUUUUCAUUGUAAAGUUCUCGGAUCCAAGCAAUCUAUGUAAGCAUCUCUCAUCUAAUCUAUUCAAAGUUUCAAAUGUAUGUUUAAAUUUCUGCAAUUUAUUUAAAGCUUUUAAUUUUAUAAAAACUGCUACGUUCCUCUAAGGCAAAGAGACCGGAUCUCUGCCCUUAGUUGUAUCUUCUCUUCUCCCUCUAUCCAUUCAGAAUACUAUUUCUGGGAUCCAGAUCUAGUAUUAUCUUUGAGCCUUUAGAUCUGUUGCUAGGCUUGCUUAAAGAAACUUUUUAAAAUUAUUUUGGUAUAUCGGCUAGAAAACAGAACGUGCGAGAUAUUGAUCUGUUCUAAGUCAGAUCUGGUCUUAAAGGCAGAUUAAGUUCUGCAUCGAUCUGGUAACAACGCAACGUACCGAUCUAAUUAAGCUUAAUAAAUUUAAUUUUCUACUUAUUAAUUGCAUUUUAAAGUUGUAAAAUUUUAAAUUAUACCUAAUCACAUCCAUCAUUCGAUCCUAUUUCCUUACUAUAGAGACUUUGUGUUUAAAGACUUGUGUUUUGGUUGAACAUUGUUUGUGUGGUGAGUGUUACCUCUGUAUGCCUUGGUAGUAUUUGGUCGUAAGUCCCGAUUUGGUUGAAGGGCAGUAAAACCAAUUCUUAGCCUUGGAUUGUAGCCAUACCGACAAGACUAAAACUAGAAUAUAGGUUUUAUCCAUGGAUUCUCUGCUCUGUAGAGCAUCGUCCUUUUCUAGCUCUUCUUCUGGAAGAACUAGUGAUUCAAAGAAUGUUGUGAAUUCAGAAGAAUUUGUAAUUGAAGACUUUAAUAAAGCAAUUGAUAAUUGGGAAUUACCAAAAGUUAAUAAAGAAAUGAUUUACAAAACAAAAAAGCUUGAUUUUUUAAAGAAUGAUUAUGUUAUAAAAACUGAAGAACGAGACAUAACUCUCUCAAAGCCAUUUGAAAUUAUUCAUCUCUUUUCAGAGCACUCUUUAAAGAAACUAAAAGAUAAAAAUUUUAAUUAUAUUCACAUUGGUUUAAUACAAGUUGGUAUAAAUCCCUUAACAAAAGAAGGUUUAAAUACUUCCAUUCUUGUUGUCCUAAGAGAUAGGCGAUUCAUCUCUUUCGAUGAUUCUUUACUAAGUAGUAUAGAAUCAAGCCUUUGUAAAGGUUCAAUUUCAUUUAAUUGUUACCCGAAUAUAACAAUUUCUUUAAAAGACAAAAACAUUUUAAAAAGCGUGAUUUUGGAAAUCAAGACCCAUAAUUAUCACAUGAUUGAGGGAUCUGUUUCAGUUGCAUUAAUCUAUAAAAUUUCUUACAAAGCCAUGAUCUCUGCAUUUAGCCCGCAACAUAAAUUUCAGUAAAAAAGAGAUGAGACUCUUCUCUUACAGACUGAAUUGUCUAAAGCUAAUACUGUUAUUCCAAAACCAAUCCAAUGGAAAGAUGUCAAUCUUCCAGACGAAUGGAUUCUUGAAGGAGCCACUGCACCAGUGAUUCCAAAACAACUUGAGCCUAAUACAGAGUUGCAAAAUGUAACUCAGUAUUCAGAUGGUAAAGUCAAAUUAUCAUUUAGGAGAUCUACAUCAUCUAGAUUCUCUGAUAAAGAUUCAUGCUCAAGUAUUCCUUCAUUAGAAAGGAAAUUUUCAAAGAUUCCUUCCGUUAUAAAUCUCCCUUUCCAACCAAUAAAGAGUCAACCUAGGUUUUCUACCUCAGAUAUACCUAGUUCCUCUAUUCACUCUGUUGACUAUACCACUAGUGUUCCUCACCCAAUUUACACUAGCCGUCAACAUGAACAAAGCCAGGAAGAGAAUGAACCUUCUCCUCCAACCUCUCCUACAUUUUCUACUGUCACAGAAAAUGUGAUUAGUGUCAUUGAAAAGACUUUGAAUUAGAUAAAACUCUUCUUCAUAAUGAUUUUUAUUUUGACACUAAUAAAGAAAAAAAACUUUAGUUUUUUAAACAUUUCUUAAACCAACGAAAAGAAAUUCAAGAAACUUACUAUGAGUUUGUAAAUCUGCAUAAAGUUCAUAUAUUAUUUUUUGAUUGGUUUGAGAUGUAUGCUUCAGAUAACAACAUUUCAUAUCCUUUUAAAGAAUCAAAUCCCAUUACUGUUAGAAAGAAAACCACUGAGUGGAACCUCUCUGGUAGUGGUAGAGUCAUAGAAUCUGAGCAUCCACCUCUUAGGAGUCUAAUCAUUGAACAUGGUGAGCCUCCUAUCGAAAUUAAAGCCUCACCCUAUAAAAUCCAUAAAGAUCCAUAAUCAAAUUUAGAUAGCAUUAUCCAACAGAAUAAUUUCUGUAAUGCUAAUCUAAACACAAUAGGAAAGCAGUUGACUAGAAUAGAAAACCAAUUUCAGAAGUCAACUAUAGUUGUUUCUCCUGUUACAUCAAAAUCGGAUUCUGACAAAAAACUUAAAGAGCCUAUUUUCAAACCUUUUCAGGUUUUGAAAACUAGUCAAAAGCUUGUACAAGAGUCAAAAUCAGAUUUUUCUAAAGCCAUUAAAGAACAACUAGAUAGAAUAGAAGCUUCUUCUUCCUCUUCUAGUAAAAUCCAAAUAGCCCCUGACAGUGCCCAAUCUAGCAAGAUUGGUGUACUAGAACAAGACAAUGUGUCUAUAGCCUCUUCUGAUAUAGAAGCCUUUAAAGAAGAACCUGUUUCCAAAGCCAACAAAAUUCAUUGGGAAUUAGCUCUAACUACUGUCAAGUCUCCACCUGACCUAGCCAUAGACAACAGACCUGCAGCAUUAAAUCAAUCACGAUUCAAUGUAUCUUCUAUCUAUGAGUGGAAUAUUGAUGGUAUGUCUGAAUACAACAUACUAGGAUUGUUGCAACAGAUGACCAUGGCAGCUAAUACCUAUAAAACUCAGUCGGGAACUUCUGACAAAGCCAUUGCAGAAAUUCUCAUUGCUGGUUUUACUGGUCAGCUUAAAGGUUGGUGGGAUCACCUUCUCACUAAACAGCAACAAUUGGAUAUCCUCAAUUCAAUUCAGACAGAUGAAAAUGGAGCCCCCAUCCUUGAUGAAUUCAAUAGUCCUAUUCAGGAUGCUGUUGCUACCCUGAUUCUGACUAUAUCUCUUCAUUUCAUAGGUGAUCCUUCACACCUAAGAGAUAAAAAUGCUGAGUUACUACAUAACUUGAGGUGUAGGAAACUUAGUGAGUUCCAAAGUUACAAAACCACAUUCUUUACCAGACUCUUCCUUAGGGAUGAUGCAAAUCAUAUAACCUGGAAAGAGAAAUUCCUUACAGGUUUGCCUACCCUAUUAGGAGAAAAGGUUAGGAAUUCUAUUAAAGCCUUGUAUGACAACCGUAUUCCUUAUGAUGAGCUCACCUACGGUGAACUUGUCAGUUUUGUUAACAAGGAAGGUUUAAAGAUUUGUCAAGAUUUGAAACUUCAGAAACGUCUAAAAUGGGAGCUUAAGAAAUCUAAGCAAGAAUUAGGCAGUUUCUGCAAGUAAUUCAAUUAUGAUCCCUUUAAAACUUCCACUUCUAAAGAUUGUGAUGGAAAUGUUCUUCAAAACCUUACAAAAAACAUCACAAAUCUGAUUGUGAUGGAAAUGUUCUUCAAAACCUUACAAAAAACAUCACAAAUCUAAAAGCUAUAGGAAACCCUUCCAAAACUUUAGAGAACCCUUCCAUAAGAAACCUUCGAAGCCUUAUAGGAAACCCCAUUUCUCUAAAAAGAAAACCUUUAAAGACACGACAAAACCCCCCUUUAAUUAUAAAGAAGCCAUAUGUUACAAAUGUGGAAAGAAAUGCCACACUGUAAAAUUUUGCAGAAUGAACAGAAAGCUCCAGGAGCUUGGCCUUGAUGAAGAAAUCCUUUCUAAAGUAGCCCCUUUAUUGAUAGAGUCUUCUGACUCUGAGUCUUCUAUGACGGGAGAUAGUGAACCUCUACAGGUUGAUGAGUUAAUUGACUCAGAUACAUCUGUAUCCAGUGAUAAUGAUUCUGACUCAGAAUCCUACUUAAAGAAAAUCAAUGUGUUGACUAAGGAACAAGAAACUUUUCUUGAAUUAGUUAAACAUAUUUCUAAUCCAAAUCUUCAAAAGGAGUACCUCAAUAAGCUUUUAAAGACCUUAGAACUCAAUAAAACAGAAACUUCCAAAACUCCAAUAAUUAAAAAGAAUACAUAUGACCUAACUGAAAUCUUGGAUAAAAAGAGAACAAAGAAAACAAUUCCCAAUAUCCAAGACCUUCAAAAAGAGAUUAAAGAAAUCAAACUCGAAAUAAAGGAAUUAAAAGAAAAAUAAAAGAAUGAUUCUGAAACCAUCUAACUCCUCUUACAAAAACAAUUAGAGGAUAAUUCUGAUAAAGAAAUUGAAUCUGACGGUGAUAAUGAAUAAAAUCUUGAAAACAUUGAAUCUGUACCCAAUGAUUUUCUGUUUGUCUUAAAGCAAAUCACCACGAGAAAAUAUUUGAUUAAAAUCACCUUAAUUCUUGCUAAAGACUUUGAGAUUGACACUAUUGCCCUCUUUAACACCGGUGCCGAUCUAAACUGCAUUAAAGAAGAUAUUGUCCCUAAAAGAUUUCAUGAAAAAACAAAUGAAAGACUUUCUGCCGCCAAUAAUUCAAAGUUAAAAGUCAAAUCUAAAGUUGAUGCCUCAGUGCAUAAUAAUGGUUUUGAAUUUCGGAUUUCCUUUCUUCUAACAAAUGACAUUCAUCAUUCUGUUAUAUUAGGAACUCCUUUCAUAAACCUUAUUACCCCCUAUACUGUUAAUUAUGAUAGUAUAUCCUUUAAAGCAAAAACUAAAAAACUUGUUUUCCCUUUUAUUGAAAAACCCAAAACAAAAAAUUUGAAUAUUGUUAAAGCUUGUUCUAUUUAUCAGAAUCAAAUUUAUACACUCCUCAAAUCAAAACAAAAUGACCUUAUUUGUUUAAAAAAAGAUUUGAGUUUACAAAGAAUCGAAACCCAAUUACAAAAUGAUUUUAUAAAAAGAAAAAUCUCUGAUUUCAGAAAUCUCAUUGAAAAAGAAAUAUGUGCUGACUUACCAUCUGCUUUCUGGAAUAGAAAACAACAUUUGGUAGAUUUGCCUUAUGAAAAUUCUUUUGAUGAAAAACAAAUACCUACUAAAGCCCGUCCUAUUCAAAUGAACAUGGAAUUAGAACAGCAUUGCAAAGAUGAAAUCAAAGACUUGGAGUCAAAAGGACUCAUUGUAAAAUCUAGGUCUCCGUGGUCUUGUGCCGCUUUCUAUGUUAACAAAAACUCUGAAAUAGAAAGAGGAACACCCAGACUCGUAAUAAAUGACAAACCCCUUAAUAAAGCAUUAAAAUGGAUUAGGUAUCCCAUACCUAACAAAAAUAUUUACUCCAAAAACUACAUUAUGCUUUCGUAUUUUCAAAAUUUGAUAUGAAAUCGGGAUUUUGGCAAAUUCAAAUUCAUCCUAAAGACCGUUAUAAAACUGCUUUCACUGUUCCUUUUGGACAAUAUGAAUGGACUGUCAUGCCAUUCGGUUUAAAAAAUGCACCUUCAGAAUUUCAAAGAAUUAUGAAUGAUAUUUAUAAUCCUUUUUCUGAUUUUUGCAUUGUCUAUAUUGAUGAUGUGUUAAUCUUUUCCCAAACUAUUGAACAACAUUUCAAACAUUUAAAGACUUUCUACCUUGCCACUAGAAAGACCGGCUUAGCCAUUUCUACUUCUAAAGUUUCCUUGUUUCAAACAAAAAUUAGGUUUCUAGGUCAUUACAUUUCCAAAGGAACCAUUACUCCUAUUGAGCGAUCUCUUAUAUUUGCUGAUAAAUUUCCUGAUAAAAUUCUUGAUAAAACUCAACUGCAAAGAUUUCUAGGAAGUUUAAAUUAUGUCCUUGAUUUCUGUCCCAAUAUCAACAGGAUGUCAAAACCCUUGCAUGACAGAUUGAAAAAGAACCCUGUUGUAUGGACUGAUGAGCACACGAAAGCUGUUAGACUAAUAAAGAAUUCUGUUAAGAAUAUUCCAUGUUUAUUCCUUGCAAAUCCUGCAUUGCCUAAAAUUGUUGAAACUGAUGCAUCAGAUUUAGGUUAUGGAGGUAUAUUAAAGCAAUCCGAUAAUAAUAAAGAACAAAUAGUACAGUAUGUUUCUGCUCAUUGGAAUGAAUGUCAAAGAAAUUACUCUACUAUUAAAAAAGAGAUUCUUUCCAUUGUAUUAUGCAUUUCUAAAUUUCAAAGCGAUUUGUUAAAUAAAAUUUUUUUGCUUAGAAUUGAUUUCAAAGCUGCAAAACAUGUUUUGAAAAAAGAUGUUCAAAAUAUUACUUCAAAACAAAUUUUUGCAAGAUGGCAAGCCAUUUUAAGUGUUUUUGAUUUUGAUAUUGAAUUUAUUAAAGGAGAUACAAAUUCUAUCCCUGAUUUUCUAACCAGGAAAUUUCUUCAAAACAGAUAAUGCCGCCCAAGAAAAAAGACAAGGGUAAAGCUGUUCUUAAAGACACUGAGUCACAAACAACCUCCAAAGAACCCCAAUCAACCCCCUCCAAAGAAAAAUUACUUUCUUCUGCCAUGCCUAUCAAAUCUUGGAUUGAAAUGGUUGAAGAACAAGAAGCCCAAUAUAAACCCAUUACCUCAGAAGAUCAGGUAAAAGAAUGGAUGAACUCCAUUACAAAGUCUCCAGAGCUUAUGUUCGCCUUACAAAAUAUUUCUCAACUAAAGCCCUUUCUCAAAUCCCUGAAAAAGAAAAACUUAUUUCUAAAACAAUUUCAAAACCCUCUUCCUAUAAAGAAAUUGUUUCUUGUGAAAGCUCUUCUUCAUAAAUUGUUGUUUCUCAAUCAAAGCUUUCAAAAAAAUCAUCAGAUUGGUUUAAUAAAGCCUAUCAACAAAAUGUUUUAUCUAUGGAGGAUGGGUUUUAUCAUUCUGAUCCAUUUCAAGCAAUUUCAAGGAUUUUCCCGAAAGGCUGGUUUUUCAAACCAUGAGAUUUAUCUAAACCCUAGUCUUUCUACCAAAGCAUACUUGAGUUCACUGAGUCAGUAAAGUUUAAACAUUUCUUUCUUAGUGAAGCUCAUUCUGAGCCAGCCUAUUCCACGGCUACCAUUCUUAAAGUCUUAAGUCCAAAUCAGUGGGGUGACCAACUCCACAAACCAAAAACCUUUCCCGCCAAUUUUCAAAGAAGCCUAAAUCACUUCUUAUCUUUCUCCUACUGGGAUUAUCAGCAGCCCUGGUUUAAUACCUUUUUUAUCCAAAAUCCAAAAAAGUCUCACUCUUGGUUAUUUUUCUUCAACUCAAAAAUAACCGUUCAAAGCCUUCCAAAUGGUUCCAAAUUUGGUGGAACUAUUUUGGGCCAAGCCCAGAAAUUCUAACCCAAAAUGCCAUCAAAUGUUUAAAUUUAUUUAAAGCCCACUAUGUUCCUUCUGAGUCUGAGAAGAGGUUUCCUCCUUUUCUCUGUUUUUGUACAAACUUUUUCCUUCCCUGGGUUUGGAUGUGGAAUUUCCAAUACCACACCAUAGACACCCAACUAGUUUUACAAAGAACCUUCAAAGUCAAAUAGUGGUCUAAAUUUGACGAACAGUCAAAAUUGUCUGAAGCCACGGUCCAAUCCUGGCUUUCUACAAGAGGCCUCCUUGCCCCAAGUAAAGACGUAACCAAAGCCCAAAGCACUUUCCUUGCCCAAAGAGCAAAAGCCCAAUCCCUACUGGCCAGUGCCAGAACCGAGGAUGAAUAUUUCAAAGUAAUGCAGCAACUUCUUGCCACUGGAUCAGAGGCAUCUGCUGCAAGUUCUUCAUCAAGUUCCUCAGGAGAAGCUGAACCGUUUAUCUCCCUUGGAGAUGAAAACGAAGAUGACUGCUUCGGAAUAUUCUCUCCAUUAAAGCAUUAAAGCUUUGUUAAAAAAAAAAAAGUAAAGAUUGUCCUAUUUCCCUUAUUUCCUUGUAUUUAUUACUCAUGUAAUUAACGAUUGUAUUCCCCUUUGUAAAAAUUACUCUGUUGUAAUUAUUUUCAGAAUGUAUUAUUUUUCUGGGUGGUCCUCUGGACACAAGUGAGAGCGCACAUGUCUCUUCACCCAUCUUUUGUUUUCUUUCAAAGUUGUAAAGAAGAAUAAUGCUGUCCCCCACAUGUCUUGACAAUUCCGCUCCAUCAUCUACGCAUGUGAAACUACAGUAAAAGCCAAUAAAGCUAAGUCCAUUCACAAUGAUGCCGUCUCCACUCACCAACCACGCAUGUGUAAAGCUACAGCUUCGCUACAGUGGGCGAAUAAAGCUACAGUUUCGCUACAGUUGAAGCUACAGACUCGCCACAGUUCAAGCUUCAGUUGUUUUAAAUUCAAAGCUUUGUAACAUUUAAGGGGAGAGCUUUGUUUAUAUUUUCUAGACACUCUCUCUCUCUCUCUCUCUCUUCGAAAAAUCAGGAUCAAGACGUCAAGAAAAACUAUUCCUGUCUUAUAAUUUUCCCUUUCUACAAAACUGUAAACAUUUUCAUUGUAAAGUUCUCGGAUCCAAGCAAUCUAUGUAAGCAUCUCUCAUCUAAUCUAUUCAAAGUUUCAAAUGUAUGUUUAAAUUUCUGCAAUUUAUUUAAAGCUUUUAAUUUUAUAAAAACUGCUACGUUCCUCUAAGGCAAAGAGACCGGAUCUCUGCCCUUAGUUGUAUCUUCUCUUCUCCCUCCAUCCAUUCAGAAUACUAUUUCUAGGAUCAAGAUCUAGUAUUAUCUAUGAGCCUUUAGAUCUGUUGCUAGGCUUGCUUAAAGAAACUUUUUAAAAUUAUUUUGGUAUAUCGGCUGGAAAACAGAACGUGCGAGAUAUUGAUCUGUUCUAAGUCAGAUCUGGUCUCAAAGGCAUAUUAAGUUCUGCAUCGAUCUGGUAACAACGCCACGUACCGAUCUAAUUAAGCUUAAUACAUUUAAUUUUCUACUUAUUAAUUGCAUUUUAAAGUUGUAAAAUUUUAAAUUCUACCUAAUCACAUCCAUCCUUCGAUCCUAUUUCCUUACUAUAUAUAUAUAUAUAUAUAUAUAUAUAUAUAUAUAUAUAUAUAUAUAUAUAUAUAUAUAGUUGAGUUUAUUAACAUUGCCUGGGUUUAGCGGAGAAAAUAUGAAGAAGAAGAAGUAGUUUGGGCAAAAAUCAAAGGGUUUUGAUUUUCAUUAUUGAUCAAUUGAAAUAGUAGAGUAGUGGACCUUCUCAGCUAGUUCCAUAGAUGUUAAUAAAUCUAAAAUUUGUUAGCACUUAACAUUUGCUAAAGAAACCGUUUUAAGUUUCAAUUCUUUAAAUUAAUGUUAAUUAGAUUUGACAUUGAAGAUUAAUUAUUCACUAAGGCUUAUCAUAUUUAUAAAAAAAUAUAAAACGUUGCAUAAUUAAAUAUGGGAUUAUGGCAUUAAAAUUAGACCUUAGUAAUGGCAUUGGUGAGGGAAGAUGAAAGAAUUCCUUCCUAUAUUAAUUAGUUGAUGUAUUUUAAGCCACUCAAGUUCAAUUGUUGGCUUAAUAAAAUAAAUGAAUGUUUCAAGACUUAUAAUUAAUUAUUAUUAAUGGUUAUAUAUUGUUGAAUUUAAAUAGAAAUAGGAAAAGACAUGUAAUCUUUUGUAAUCUAAUAAUCAUUUUCUAUUUAUUUUCUAUUUUUAAUAUUUUGUAAUGUAAUUAUUUUUUAAUUUAAGCUAAUAUAUUAGAUAUUAGAGAAUAUAAAGAGAUGAGAAAUAAUGAUGCCACAAAUCUUAAAUACUUAAUAUUUAUAGAAUUUGAAGAAGCCAAAAAGCACUAAACAAAAGGUUGCAUAAUUAAAUAUGAAAUUAUGACAUUAAAAUUAGGCCCUAGUGGCAUUUUUUAUAAGUUGAAGGAACCUUCCUUUCUAUAUUAAUUAAUUAAUGCUUUUUAAAGCCAUUAAGGUUUAAUUGUUGGCAUAAUAAAAUAAAUGAAUGUUUCAAGACUUAUAAUUAAUUAUUAUUAAUGGUUACAUAUUGUUGAAUUUAAAUAGAAAGAGGAAAAGACAUGUAAUCUUUUGUAACCUAAUAAUUAUAUUCUAUUUUUAAUAUUUUAUAAUGUAAUUAUUUUUUAAUCUCAACCAAUAUAUUAGAUAAUAGAGAAUAUAAGAAGAUGUAAAAUAGUGAUGUCACAUCACCUCUUGUAGUUAAGGCUUAUAAUUAAUUAAUAGAUAUGGAUAACAACGUGGGUGCUGUAAUAGUAUUGAUUUCUCAACCAAAUCUUCUGUCUUUUACCCGACUUUCAUUUUUCUAUUGACGGUAGCUAACUAUUGUUUUCUUAUUAUUUCUUUUAUCUAGGUUUAAAUUUUAUGAGAAAUUUGUCAAUUUUCAAUUAUUGGGUGAAAUUGGUACGCAAAUGAUGUGUUUUAUAGCAAUUUGCGUCUUUCUCAUCUUCAAGACUAUCAUUAGUCAAUAAUGUUGCUAUUACCUCAGGCUCUCGUGAGUCUAAACGUUUUCUAAUUAAUUGAAAAUGAUAUAAUGAUUAAUUAAUUGUUGAUAAUAAAACCAAUUUAAUACGACGUCUCCGCAUUUCUUUCUUUAUUUCUUUUAAACCUCAAUCAUUGUCAAAACUGUUAAUGGGUUGCAAUUAAACACUUAACAAAUCUUAAACUUGUUGUUAGCAAUUAACAUUUGCUAAAGGAACCGUCUUAAGUUUCAAUUCUUUAAAUUAAUGUUAAUUAGAUUUAAGACGAAAAUUAAUUAUUCACUAAGACUUGUCUAUAAAUAAAAAAGUAGAUACAAAAUGUUAUAUAAUUAAAUAUGAGAUUAUGGCGUUAAAAUUAGGCCUUGGUAGUGGCAUUGUUGAGGGAAGAUAAAAGAACCUUCAUUCCUAUAUUAAUUAAAUUAUAUGUUAUGACGUGAAAAAAUAAACAGUCCAUUUUUGUAUUUUGUAUUUUGUAUUUUCUGAAGAUUUGAAACAAUGUGCUUUCUUUUCGGAGUGAUAAUAAUUGGAUCCAUUGCUUUUUCCUUUUAAUGUUUUAUAAACAUAUAUUGUCUAUUUGCAUCAAAUAAGUCCCAAUCUCUUUUACAAUCGCUAAUAAAACACCUUUUAAUUAUUAAACUAUAAAUAUGUGUCAUUCAAAAUCCAAUUUUGUUGAAUCUAGAUUAAGUGUUAAUCUUUUUUUUAUUUAUUUUUUGAUAUGUGUAUAUUUAUAACAAUAUAAUAUUAAAAUUUAGUUGUAUCUAUAUUGUUAUUUAAAAACUAUUAAUCAAACGACAAACCUUUAUAAAAUUCAUCACAAAAAUUAGAUCAACAUUGAAUCUUUAUUCAAUCUCGGUUAGGAGCCUAUUUGAUAUAAAUUGAUAAACAAUAUCCUUAUUUGAUAAAAUAUAGGGACAUUGAUAUUAUUAUUAUCUAGAUUUCCUUUUGGCUCUUUUUCAAUGCUAUUUUUAGAUUUUAUACGUUAUCAUCUUUUCUUAACUUUUUUAUUCUUGAAUACAAUAACUGUCAAAAACCAACGGUUCAAAUGAGCUUUUUUUGUGUUUGAAUUUUCAAAGUUCCCACUUAUUUUAUUUAUUAUUGGAGGACAAUAAUGUUUUCUUAGGCAACUAAAAUGUAAAUUAAGUAAAACAUUCCUCCUAAAUUAGUUUUGGGUAACUUUGGAAUUUAAGGCUAGGAACAUGUUGGAUGUUAAUAUAUCAAAAACAUAGCAAAACACAGAGUUUUCAGGUGCCCAAUUCAUUAGUUUCAUCAUUUAAGUCCUCGUGCGGGGACUUGAGUCACUUAAUUUGACCAAGUUGAUGGCUGGUUAAAAUGGUUCGAAAGAGCAAGCGAGGGCAACAAAUGAACGAAAAAAAGAUUUUCGAUUUUGCAUUACAAAUUUUAAGUUUAUAAAGCCGAUCAACAACAGACUUUGGGAGAUUGAUUUGUGAUGGAAGAUAGAGAAUUAGGAAGGGUUUCUUCUUUGAAGAGUUAAAAAAUUUGAACUUUAAAAAUUUUCAAUAAGUACAAAUAUAAUAUGAAUAGUUUCAUUUGUUCAGUAGACCAAUCAUAUUAAAAUAAUGUUAGUAAGGAAAAUAAUUUAAAAACUAUUCGUAAUUAAAAUAAUUUUAAAAAUGUAAAUUACCUUUCUCCCCUCAUUUUUUAAGCAAAAAUAAAAAUAACUUGAAGUUUUUAAAAAUAAUGAAGUAAUUUAAAAAUAAUCAAUUUGGAAUAAUUCAAAAUUUACCCAAGAGAUUAUUCACAAUAUCAAUCAAUGAAUUAGAAACAUUAUGUGUUAAGUGGUAUAAGCAUACAUAUAACUAUUAUUUUUAACUUAUUGAUCUCAAUCUUGAGUGUUCGGAUUAGAUCUUUGGGGUUUCAUUUUUCAGAUUUCGGUGAUUGAAAGUCUGAAACUCAAAGUAACAAAAAUUAAAUUUAUAUUUUAUCGCAAGUGAAGUGUAGAGAUUAAUCCAAUUAUUUGCGUCUAGCGUUUCUUUUUGUUGCUAUCACUCUUGUUGAUGAUGAUAAGCCUUUUUUUGCAUUGUCACUACCAAUUUAUUAUCUACAUUCAUCUAUAGAACGAAGCAAGAUGCCAAGAAAGAAAUCUAACACAAGAAAAAUAAGUUCUCUCAAUCAUUCAAAACAAAUACAUACAUAGACAGAAAAAUAAGACAUAUCAUAUCACACUUAAAUAUUACCACUCUAAAAAGAAAAAAGGUCAAAAGACUAACACACAUGUAAAAAGACGACCAACAACAACACUAAACAUGUUUUGUGUAUUGAUUACUUCCACCAUCACUAACUUCAUCAUCAUCAAUAAUUUGGUUUUUUCUCUUUCUAUUCUUACCAGCAUUAGUAACAUGAAAAUCUCCUAUAGAAUCUUCCAAAUUAUUUGAUAAGAUAUCAUGAGGAUCCUAUAAUUUUUUAAUCAAGGAAAUUAUAAUUAUGAGUAAAUUGAACAUGCUAAUUUUAAUCAUAAAGGAAAACAACUGGGAAAUAAGAGUAAAUAAAAUUACCAUUUCUUGGGAAUGUCCUUCCUUUCUUUCACAUAUUUCCACAUUUUCAUGAUCUGUAUUGUUUUUUUCCUACAAAAAACAACAAUUAAAUAUUUUUUUUUAACAUUACAUAUAUUGCCUACAAAUUGAACCUAGCAUAAGUAGAUAAUACCUUUUUGUCCUUCUUCAAUUCUUGUUCUAGCUCCAAUUUCUCAUUAGGGGUGAAAAGUUUUGACACAGUAAAAUUCUCAAGUCUCUCUUUCAAUUGUAAUAAUUCAAUUUCAGUUUGUAAACAAAAUCUUUUCCACAAAGGCUUUGAAUUUCUGCAGGGACAUCCUUUACUAUAAUAAAGGUAGUCUAUUAAACAANNNNNNNNNNNNNNNNNNNNNNNNNNNNNNNNNNNNNNNNNNNNNNNNNNNNNNNNNNNNNNNNNNNNNNNNNNNNNNNNNNNNNNNNNNNNNNNNNNNNNNNNNNNNNNNNNNNNNNNNNNNNNNNNNNNNNNNNNNNNNNNNNNNNNNNNNNNNNNNNNNNNNNNNNNNNNNNNNNNNNNNNNNNNNNNNNNNNNNNNNNNNNNNNNNNNNNNNNNNNNNNNNNNNNNNNNNNNNNNNNNNNNNNNNNNNNNNNNNNNNNNNNNNNNNNNNNNNNNNNNNNNNNNNNNNNNNNNNNNNNNNNNNNNNNNNNNNNNNNNNNNNNNNNNNNNNNNNNNNNNNNNNNNNNNNNNNNNNNNNNNNNNNNNNNNNNNNNNNNNNNNNNNNNNNNNNNNNNNNNNNNNNNNNNNNNNNNNNNNNNNNNNNNNNNNNNNNNNNNNNNNNNNNNNNNNNNNNNNNNNNNNNNNNNNNNNNNNNNNNNNNNNNNNNNNNNNNNNNNNNNNNNNNNNNNNNNNNNNNNNNNNNNNNNNNNNNNNNNNNNNNNNNNNNNNNNNNNNNNNNNNNNNNNNNNNNNNNNNNNNNNNNNNNNNNNNNNNNNNNNNNNNNNNNNNNNNNNNNNNNNNNNNNNNNNNNNNNNNNNNNNNNNNNNNNNNNNNNNNNNNNNNNNNNNNNNNNNNNNNNNNNNNNNNNNNNNNNNNNNNNNNNNNNNNNNNNNNNNNNNNNNNNNNNNNNNNNNNNNNNNNNNNNNNNNNNNNNNNNNNNNNNNNNNNNNNNNNNNNNNNNNNNNNNNNNNNNNNNNNNNNNNNNNNNNNNNNNNNNNNNNNNNNNNNNNNNNNNNNNNNNNNNNNNNNNNNNNNNNNNNNNNNNNNNNNNNNNNNNNNNNNNNNNNNNNNNNNNNNNNNNNNNNNNNNNNNNNNNNNNNNNNNNNNNNNNNNNNNNNNNNNNNNNNNNNNNNNNNNNNNNNNNNNNNNNNNNNNNNNNNNNNNNNNNNNNNNNNNNNNNNNNNNNNNNNNNNNNNNNNNNNNNNNNNNNNNNNNNNNNNNNNNNNNNNNNNNNNNNNNNNNNNNNNNNNNNNNNNNNNNNNNNNNNNNNNNNNNNNNNNNNNNNNNNNNNNNNNNNNNNNNNNNNNNNNNNNNNNNNNNNNNNNNNNNNNNNNNNNNNNNNNNNNNNNNNNNNNNNNNNNNNNNNNNNNNNNNNNNNNNNNNNNNNNNNNNNNNNNNNNNNNNNNNNNNNNNNNNNNNNNNNNNNNNNNNNNNNNNNNNNNNNNNNNNNNNNNNNNNNNNNNNNNNNNNNNNNNNNNNNNNNNNNNNNNNNNNNNNNNNNNNNNNNNNNNNNNNNNNNNNNNNNNNAAAGUCAUAGUUUCUUGAUUAUAUUCAACUACUAAUCCGUUAGAAUUUUAUAUCUCUUUUUUUCCAACCCAGCUCCAACGAUCUCAAUAUCACCCAUAGCACAUAAACUUCUGAUAACAUCUGUAAUAUUAUGGAAAAAUAACAUAAACAUGUUAAAACAUAAGGAUUAAUAAUUUCUAAUAUACACUUAAAGAUUAACAAAUAUUAAUAAUUAAAAAAAUACUGAGAGGAUUGUGUUAUCAUUCACACGUAAAUCAAUCAAAUUCAGAGAUACGAAUUGAAAUCCAUUAAUCGGAAUCUUGACAGUUCCUUCUUCUACCCUCUUAAGAGAAGUUAUAACCAAGAAAAUAAUCUUAUACUGAUUUGAAAGUGGUAUGUACUCGCCUAUAGUUGAAACAACUUUCAAAUUCUUGACAUUGUACAAAGAACCCUCACUCAACAUGUGCUUAAACCUUGUCACUAAAGUUUUCCUGAUUGUUGCAUGCAUUAGAUUUUCCUACGAAAAAAAAAACACAUACUACAUUAAGUGUGAAACAAUUGGGAAAAAAAUUAGAGAAAACAAUGGGAGAAUGAAUUUUUUAUACAACAUUUUCAUCAAUAAAAAUCAUAUCAGCACUAAUCAAUUCUCCAUUUUUUUUAGUAUUAGUAGACUCCCACUUCCUACAAAGCCUAACCCUUAUCAUCCAACUAUCUUUAUCAUUGUUCAACUCAUGAAGAAAAGAGUACUCCAUGAAGCACACAAUACCAAAAAUUCAAAUAAAUCAAACAAUAAAAAUACAAGUAUUUUUCUAAAGAGUGUGUUGAUUAAAUAAAUAAAAAGACCCUAAACAUAACAAAUCUUAAAUAUUUAGUGUUUAGAGAGCUUGAAGAAGCCAAAAGGCACUAAACAAAAGGUUGCAUAAUUAAAUAUGAGAUUAUGUCAUUAAAAUUAGGCUCUAGUGGCAUUGUUGAGGGAAGAUGAAAGAACCUCUCUUCCUAUGUUAAUUUAUUGAUGUAUUUUAAGCCACUAAAGUUUAAUUGCUAGCAUAAUAAAAUUUGAAGGAGCCAAAAGACACUCAACAAAAGGUUUCAUAAUUAAAUAUAUGAUUAUGACAUUGAAAUUAGGCCCUAGUGGCAUUGUUGAAGGAAGAUGAAAGAACCUCUCUUCCUAUAUUAAUUAAUUUAUGUAUUUUAAGCCACUAAAGUUUAAUUGCUAGCAUAAUAAAAUAAAUGAAUAUUUCAAAAUACUUAUAAUUAAUUAUUAUCAAUGGUUACAUAUUGUUGGAUUUAAAUAGAAAGAGGAAGAAACAUGUACAAAGAAUAUCCACUAAUAUUUUAGAUAUUUUAAAUAAUAGAAAAUAUAAAAAGAUGAGGUUGAGGGAAGAUGAAAGAACCUCUCUUCCUAUGUUAAUUAGUUGAUGUAUUUUAAGGCACUAAAGUUUAAUUGCUAGCAUAAUAAAAUUUGAAGAAGCUAAAAGGCACUCAACAAAAGGUUGCAUAAUUAAAUAUGAGAUUAUGACAUUAAAAUUAAGCCCUAGUGGCAUUGUUGAGGUAAGAUGAAAGAACCUCUCUUCCUAUGUUAAUUAAUUCAUGUAUUUUAAGUCACUAAAGUUUAAUUGCUAACAUAAUAAAAUAAAUGAAUGUUUCAAAAGACUUAUAAUUAACUAUUAUUAAUGGUUACAUAUUGUUAGAUUUAAAUAGAAACAGGAAGAAACAUGUACAAAGAAUAUCCACCAAUAGUUUAGAUAUUUUAGAUAAUAGAAAAUAUAAAAAGAUGAGGUUGAGGGAAGAUGAAAGAACCUCUUUUCCUAUGUUAAUUAGGUGAUGUAUUUUAAGGCACUAAAGUUUAAUUGAUAGCAUAAUAAAUUUUGAAGAAGCCAAAAGACACUCAAUAAAAGGUUGCAUAAUUAAAUAUGAGAUUAUGACAUUAAAAUUAGGCCUUAGUGGCAUUGUUGAGGGAAAAUGAAAGAACCUAUCUUCCUAUGUUAAUUAAUUCAUGUAUUUGAAGCCACUAAAGUUUAAUUGCUAGCAUAAUAAAAUAAAUGUUUCAAAAGACUUAUAAUUAAUUAUUAUUAAUGAUUACAUAUUGUUGAAUUUAAAUAGAAAGAGAAAAAAAAGUACAAAGAAUAUCCACCAAUAUUUUAGAUAUUUUAGAUAAUAGAAAAUAUAAAAAGAUGAGGAAUGAUAUAUAUUAAUAAAGUUACUAUUUAUUAAAUGAGUUAAAUACAAUCAAAUUAAUUAUGAGAAGAUGAAAAGUUAAUUUUUUUAAAAAAAUUCUCUAUUUAUUAGAUAAUAGAGAAUAUAUAAAUAAGCAAAAUGGUGAAGCCACAUCACCUCCUCAAGUCCCAGCUUUAUAUAUAUAUAGAUAGAUAGAUAGAUAUAAUCUUUUAAUAUUUUAACUUAAUUCCCGCAUUAAAAGCUAACUCUUGCAUAAUUACCCUAAAGAAUCAGCUUAACAGAAGUACCAAUUUGUGAUAGUGUACUAUGUGUCGUACGUUUAUGCCACUGGAGCCACAUUCAAUUUGUGCUUGGUCCUCAAUUUUUUUCACGUUCAGUGUAAAAACUAAUUGUAGAGAAAAUCUAGGCCUAGUUAGAUGUAGGUUAGAGGUAGGUAGGUUUUAGGAAUAGGGGUCCUCUUAAUAAUAUACAGUGCUGUAUGAGAUACAGCGGAAGUUUAGUUUUUGUUUUUAAUAAAUUAUAAUUUUGAGUAUGUUUUAAAAUAUAUUUUUAUGUUGAGAGGGAUUUUGAUAGUCUCCUAAAUUAAAUGAAGUUUUUAAUAUUUAGUUAAAAGAUGAGGUAGCAAUGUGUAAUUACCUUGAUAUCUGCCAGCUAUGAGGUUAUACCAUUUAUUUCGGUGACCAUUUAAUGCCUAAAAUCAUCACCCAGCCGUUAUAUUAUUUUUUUAUUUUGACAUUAUAAAUCUAUAAAAAUUUUGUAAUAUAAAAAUUAGUGAAACCUCUUUGAUUUUUAUCGUUUUGGGAGUUUAUGUCUCUUUGAUCAAUUCUAUGAUGGUGCAGUGCAGUCUACACAUAUAGACCAAUAACAUAUCAAUUUUGUUUUUCUAAGCAUUUAGAAGAAAUCAACUCCAAAAUGCACCAUAGAGGAAUUCAAAUUGUAUCCAUCAAUAUUGAUAUGAGAAUUAAAAUAGUUUAUCAUUCUAAACCUCAGAUAGUUUUCAAACAAUUAUAUUAUUUGAUAGUGCCAAGUAUCAUAUUGUCCAUAAAAUAUUGUUGUUUUUAAUAUUAUUUGUACUAAUGACUCAUAUAAUUAAUAAUACGAUUUAAUUCUUGAUAUGGACAACUAUAAGAUAACAAUAUCUAAUUAAAAAUAUUUCAUACAAAUUUCUAUCAAAUUAAUCAAAUUACUUUUUAUGGUUUCAUUUACUCACUAAUUUGAAAUCACAAAAAUUUCUUUGAGUUGUUAUCGGAGCUUAUACAUGAUUACAUGUAACUUUAAUACUUGACGAUAUUGUUUUACUACUAGCAUUAUGAUUUAUGAUACUAUAACUCUUAACAUAUAUUAUUAACAUUGUUAAUAAGUAUAUUUGUUAGCCAGUACUAUUAUUAUUAUUUGUAAAUAGAACACAUAAAUGAUAAUUUUAUCAGGCCUCCAAACUCGAACUCAAAAUAUUUUUUUAACUCAUUUUAUUUUAAUUUAACCAAAUAAUAAAUAAUAAAAAAUAAGACCCUAGGUCUAAACUCACGGCCUCUCUCAAAGCACUAGACUCUACCCAUCAUCACCUCCAAGUUCCCAACGGAGCUUCCUUUCCUGGCCGUGUCCAAAAGACCAAGCUUUGCCGUCAACACCAAAACACCAAGUUUUCAAACUUUUCCGUUAGUUUGUGUGUGCUCCAUUGAAAUUGUAUGGCACAGUGGCCACUGGGCAGAAGAAAACAUGUUAAGGAAAAAAAAUUCUCACAAGAACCAACUAGCUAUAAAAUGCAAGAAAGCAUCAAAUGCGGCAUAUUAUUUAUUAGCAUACCUUUCAAUAUUCCUUUUAUUCACCUCUUGGUUAUCGGCACCGACAACACCUAGAUAUUAAAUAACACGAAGCACUGAAAAUGCAUCUCCAACUCUUUCACCUUCAAAUUUAAAUGGUGAUUUGUCGGGACAAGAAAUCCUUUGGUGAAAACCAUCACCUAUAUCCAAAAAUAUUCAUGUUAUAUCACAAAAAAUCAAUAACAAAAUUAUGCGGAAGCGUACUUGAAUCCAUAACAUUGAAUUGCUCUCUAGGAUUGUGUGGUUGGCCUUCCAAAUCUACAUGUUCUCCUAGAGAAUCCUUUAAGUUUCCUCAAGGCUAUCUUUCUGACGAUUGGAUUUCAGAAAGAAUAUAAAAAUAUGUGUGACCUGAGAACCAUAACCACUUAUCUAGACAACUUUUUUUCUAUUGUCUUUACAUAUUAAAUGCCCAUAUCCUAUUAGAUAUAUUAAAGUCCAUAACACCGAAAACUUAAAUAAACCAUUUUUAAUUGGGCUUAACCUUAUAUGACAGUCUGUAACACAUAAUUAUUCACAUAUAGGCCCAAUAUUGGAUUAAGGAUCCAACAAUAUUGGAUUAAGGAUCCAACAAUAUUGGAUUAAAAAUCCAACAAUCUCCCACUUGUGCUAUAUGUGUAACCUUAUAAUUAUGCUUUGUAAAUGUAACUCAAGAUCGAAAUGCACCACUAAUGUCAUUUUAAUCCUGAAAGAGUCUUUCAAAGAAACUAGAGAGAAAGUUUCUUUAUAGUCAAUGCCUUCUUUCUGUGUAAAAUUGUUUGCGACAAGACGCACCUUGUAUCUCUCUACAUUACCUUUCGAAUCCCUCUUGGUCUUAAAUAUUUAUUUGCAACCAAUAGGUUUCGCACCUUCUGCCAAUGGGACAAGAUCCCAUACGUCAUUGUCUUUCAUGGAUUUUAUCUCCUCAUUCAUGGCAUCAAUCCACUUCUGAGAGUUAAAACUUUUCAUGGCCUAACAUAAAUUGAUUGGAUCAUCUUCCAUCACUCCAAUGUCUACCUCAUGUUCUUAGAGAAAUAUAAUAUACCCCUAAAACUAAGCAAACAAACCCCCAACUCCCAAGCAACAGUCGAACAUCUCCACACACCACCAAAACACUCAUCAUUUCACCUCUCCCAUAUUAUCCAACUAUCACUCAACCUCCCUUUUAUCGAUCUCACAUUCAUCAAACUAUUAUAUUUAUCUAAGUAUUGAAGACAAAAUCAAGCAAUAAACUAAAGAAUAAUAAGAAGUUAUGGUUAGUAUUUCUUCAAUAUCUAUCUUUUAUUUUUUUUGUUGGGUUUCAUACAAAAGAUCCUCAUUUUACUACAAUAUGGGUACAUUAAAUGGUUAAUGUGAGGUCAUAAAUUUAUAAAUUAGUAAAAUUCUAGUAAAAUUCGACAAAAAUGGGUUUUAAACAAUGUUGAAGACGAAACCCAAAAUCCAAGUGACAAGUACCUGUCGCCCAAACUUAGAAUGACUUGUCGUACCGGUCGCUUGGAUGCCGGUAUUCAUCACCCAGAUGACAGAAUACUGCAUAUUUGGCAAUUAGUACUCAUGUCACCCAAUAAACAAUCGCUUGUAAUUUAGGCGAUAGUGCUGUCAUUCGGAUCACCUGAAUUUGUUGAUAAUUGGUUAUUUAAUUAAUAUAGUAAUCUUAUUGUUUGCAGUGUUUUUAAUAAAGUAUUAUUAUUAUUUUGCAUAAGGUUAAUAUAUUUGGUAGUUCUUAUGAUGUAUUUUGAUAUAAUGUGGGAGACUUUGAAGGAUGGUCGUAUGGACUACGAGAAUGGAAAAGUUACUGCAUUUUGGUUCCAAAAAGAUGUAACAUUUGAACAAUUUAUUGCAAAGUUGUAUGAAAUUUUGAAGAAAAGUCCAGAUGAAUAUUCCCUUUUGGUAAAGACAAAUGUGAAAUCAACUCAUCUGACGCAACCCAUUAAUUCACUACCUAUAGACAUAAUGGACGAUGAAAUGGUGAGAGUGAUUAUACGUAUGAACUCUGAUCCAAUUAACUAUGAGUGCACUUCUAUUUAUGUAACAACAAGUCCUAAAGUUCUGAUAGAACUUUCUUUGAUGCCAUCAAUUCAAACUUCAGCCUUUAAACACUACUCCCCAUUCCGCUCUUAUAAUGAUCCUAUUGAUGACAAUGUUGUCAAUACAGAUGUGAAUGCAUGCAAAAACAUAUAACAUUGAGUCCCAAAUGUAUUCUAAACAUUGCAAUAGUCCAAUCAACAUUUUGAAGGAUGUAGAUUGGUUUCAGGAAGUUAAUGAUUCAUCUUAAAAUCAUCUUAUCAGUCCAAGGAUCGGUAGCCAAAGUUGGUUUAUCAGUCUAAUGGCUCGUAGUUGAAGUCGAUCUAGAGUUCCAAGUCCAAUAGACCCACUACAGUUGAAGGCUCCAAUUGUGCCAUCAGAUUGGGUAGCUUCAGACAUGGUUGAUGGUUCUAUUUACAAGGGUAUUUGUGUGGGCCAGACCAAUUAUUCAGCAUGAAAAAACUUAAAGUAUUGUGCUCCACUGAAAUACUGAUCACGUAUUUACCAACCAAGUGUUUUUUGUGCAAAUGUUCCACAUUACCACAUUUCAAUCAUGUCACCAAGCACUAUUCUUAAAGAGAGAAACGUAACAUCUCGUUUGACUAAAAAUGAAGUUGGGGAAGAUAUUCCAAAACCUUUACGGGAAUGAAAUGAAUUUGAAAAGAGAAAAGCUUCUCUAAAUUCCAAGGCCAUGAAUACCUUGUUUUGUGCACUAGAUGAGAAAGAGUUUCAUAGAGUGUCUAGUUGCGAAAGUGCUAAUGAGAUUUGGCACAAACUUGAAGUUGUCUAUGAAGGCACGAACCAAGUGAAAGAAUCUAAAAUAAAUAGGUACACUCGACAAUAUGAAUUAUUCCAAAUAGAACAAAAUGAGAAUGUGUACUCUAUGUAUACUAGAUUUACGGACAUAGUGAACACUCUAGAAGCCCUAGGAAAGACCUUUUCAAAUAGCGAGAAAGUUAAGAAAAUCAUUAGGUUGCUACCUAAGGAAUGGAGACCAAAAAGGACUGUCAUUGAAGAAGCCAAAGAUUUAAAUGUUUUACCUAUUGAUGAUUUAAUUGGUUCUCUCAUUUCAUAUGAAGAAGAUUUGGCAGCUGAAAAAGGGCAUGAGGAAAAGAAGAAAAACAUUGCUCUCAAGGCUUUAAAACGUGAGAGUGAUGAUGAAAGCGAAAUGGAUGAUGAGGAGUUAGCAAUGUUGGUUAGAAGAUUCAGAAAAUUCUACAAAAAAAAUAAUGAGCAGAGAAAGUUCAGAGGCUAUAAGAAUAAGAAGGAGAAGAAGGAGUUAAUCACUUGUUAUGAAUGCAAAAAGCCUGGACACAUACGACCGGAAUGUCCUCUUCUCAACAAACUCAAGAAGAAAGCUAUGGUGGCCACAUGGGAUGAUAACGAUGAGGAAACAAGUGAUGAUGAUGAGCAACAAGAAAUGACAGAUUUAGCUCUCAUGGCCGUUGGGGAAGAAUCAUGUGAUGAACUUGAUGAGGUAAAUGUUCUUCCUACAUAUAAUGAAUUACAUGAUGCCUUUAAGGAUUUGCAUGAUGAGCUGAUGAAGAUUGGUAAAAAGAAUAUAUGUCUUAAAAAGAAGAUGAUAGAGCUUAAAAAUGAAAAUGAAUCAUUUAGUGCAAAGAUUACUUGCCUAGAAUUAGAAAAUAAAACAUUGCAUGAUAGCAUUGUAUUAUUUAAGAAUUCUAGCACUCCACAUGAGCACUUAGAGUCACACUUGAAUGACUUGAAAAAUGAAAAUGAAAUGCUUAGAAAGAAGAGCAAUGAACUAAAUGAAAUUGUGUUAAAAUUCACAAAUGGACAAAAGAUGUUGGACAAUUUGCUAAACUCACAAAAAUGUGUAUUUGACAAAAGUGGCAUUGGUUAUAAACCAAAUUUGAAACAAAAAUUUUACAAGAGUUAUUUUGUGAAGAAUACAUCUAUUAACAAUCAAAUUGUAUGUCAUUAUUGUAAUCAAGAUGGUCAUAUGAAAAAUAGAUGUGCAGUGAAGAGAAAUGCAUAUUAUGGUGUGAAAUGUGUUUGGGUUCCGAAAGGAACCAUUGCUAACUCUCAAGGACCCAAAAAGGUUUGGGUACCUAGAACUUGAGAUUUUUUCUAUAGGGCUUGAAGAAGAAGAAGAAUAAGUGGUACUUGGAUAGCGGUUGUUCAAGACACAUGACAGAGAAUUAUUCUUGGUUUUCAAGUUUUACUAAGAUCGAAAAUGGUGGAGAUGUAUCGUUUGGAGAUAAUUCAAAAGGAAAAACCAUUGGGAUUGGAAAUGUCGGUAAUGUAUCCUCUACUCUCAUUGAAAAUGUGUGUUUGGUUGAAAACUUGAAACACAACUUGCUUAGUAUUAGUCAAUUAUGUGAUAAAGGAUAUAUAUGUUAUUGAGAAUGCAUGUGAUGGGAAAGUUUUGUUUGUAGGAAAUAGAUGUGUUAAUGUCUAUACCAUUAAUAUAGAUUGUGUAUCAACAAAUGAUAAAUGUCUCUCCGCAUUGCAUGAUGAUGGGUGGUUGUGGCAUAGAAGAUUAGGUCAUGCAAGCAUGGAUUUGAUUUCAAAAAUCGUGAAAGAUGAUUUAGUUAAAGGUCUUCCAAAAAUCAGUUUUCAAAAAGAUAGAAUUUGUGAAGCAUGUCAAUUUGGAAAACAAAUCAAAACUUCCUUCAAAAGCAAGAAUCAUGUCUCUACUUCAAAACCACUUCAAUUACUUCACAUAGAUUUGUUUGGACCUUCUAGAUAUGCUAGUUUAAGUGGCAAAUUUUAUGCAUUUGUAAUUGUGGAUGAUUAUUCUAGAUACAUAUAGAUAUUGUUCUUAGCUAAUAAAGAUGAUGCCAUUGAUGCAUUUCGAAUUUUCUAUAAAAAGGUUCAAAAUGAAAAAAGGUUAUUCUAUUACUUGUAUUAGAAGUGAUCACAGUAGAGAAUUUGAAAAUCAUGUUUUAAAAAAUUUUUGUAAUGACUUUGGCAUUGAACAUUAAUUUUCAUCACCUAGGACUCCACAACAAAAUGGAGUAGUAGAGAGAAAGAAUAGGUCUAUUCAAGAAAUGGCUAGGACAAUGUUAAAUGAAAACUCUUUACUUAAGUAUUUUUGGGCCGAAGCCGUCAACACCGCUUGUUAUGUUUUAAAUCGUGUGUUGAUUAGACCUAAUCUUAAUAAAACUCCAUAUGAGCUUUGGAAAGAUAGAAAACCCAACAUUGGCUAUUUUAAAGUUUUUGGAUGCAAAUGUUUUGUUUUGAACACAAAAGAUAAUCUUAGUAAAUUUGAUCCAAAAUCUGAUGUUGGUAUUUUUCUUGGUUAUUCAAAUUCAAGCAAAACUUAUAGAGUUUAUAAUAAAAGAACUUUAGUGGUGGAAGAAUCUAUGCAUGUUACAUUUGAUGAGUCUAACCCCUCAUCUACGGAGAAAGUCGUUGUUGAUGAUAAUGCAGAAGAAGAAUAACAAGGAGAAGCAUCAAAUGACAACCAAGAAGACGCACCACAUGGAAUUCAAAAAGAACAUCAUGAAGAAACAAAUGUAGAGCAAAAUGAAGGUACUUCUCAAACACUCCCCAAGGAGUGGAGGUAUGUUUCCUCUCACCCUAAGGAUGUAAUUUUAGGAGAUCCCUUACAAUAUGUUACCACUAGAUCAUCUCUUAGGAACACAUGUGAGCAUGCUGCAUUUAUUUCUCAAAUUGAACCAAAAUCCUUUGCGGAUGCGGAAAAUGAUGAAUCUUGGAUUAUGGCAAUACAAGAGGAGUUGAAUCAAUUUGAGAGAAACAAUGUGUGGGAGUUAGUUCCUAAUCCAGAACAUCAAUCUAUUAUAGGCACUAAAUGGGUAUUUAGAAACAAAAUGGAUGAAUCCGGUAUGGUUGUAAGAAAUAAAGCUAGAUUAGUGGCUCAAGGUUACAACCAAGAAGAAGGAAUUGAUUUUGAUGAAACUUUUGCACCUGUAGCAAGAUUAGAAUCCAUUAGGAUGUUGUUAGCAUAUGCAUGUCAUAAGGAUUUUAUUUUAUAUCAAAUGGAUGUCAAGAGUGCUUUCUUAAAUGGUUAUAUUAUGGAGGAAGUUUAUGUGAAACAACCUUCUGGCUUUGAAAAUGAAAAAUUUCCAGAUCAUGUGUAUAAGUUAUCUAAGGCUUUGUAUGAUCUAAAACAAGCACCUAAAGCUUGGUAUGAUAGGCUUAAAAACUUCUUGUUGGAUAAUGAUUUUUCGAUGGGAAAAGCGGACACAACUCUAUUUGUUAAGCAUAAGAACCAAGAUAUACUUAUUGUUCAAAUUUAUGUUGAUGAUAUUAUUUUUGGUUCUACUAAUGAGUUGUUGUGUAAAGAUUUUUCAUCAUGUAUGAGCAAAGAAUUUGAGAUGAGUAUGAUGGGAGAGUUGAAGUACUUCCUUGGACUUCAAAUCAAACAAAACGAGGAAGAAAUUUUUAUAAAUCAAGCCAAGUACGUGAAAGAUCUACUCAAAAGAUUUGGCUAUGAUAAUGGAACGACAAAGAGCACUCCUAUGAGCACUACCAUCAAGCUGGACAAAGAUGAGAAAGGUAAGGAAGUUGAUAUCAAGACAUAUCGAGGUAUGAUCGGAUCCUUACUCUACUUGACUGCUAGUAGGCCUAAUAUUAUGUUCAGUGUAUGCUUGUGUGCUAGAUUUCAAUCUUGUCCUAAAGAGUCACACAUGCUUGCUGUCAAACACAUUUUUUUAUAUUUGAUUGGCACCAUUAAUCUUGGGCUUUGGUAUCUUAGGGGAACUCAUAUUGAUUUAACUUGUUAUUCGGAUGCUGAUUUUGCUGGAUAUAAGGUUGAUAGAAAAAGUACUAGUGGAACAUGUCACUUCCUAGGCCAUUCUCUUGUCUCUUGGUUUAGUAAGAAACAAAACUCGGUUGCGCUUUCAACCACCGAGGCAGAAUAUAUUGCCGCAGGUAGUUGUUGUGCACAAAUUCUUUGGAUGAAACAAACCCUUAGAGACUAUGGUAUUAACCUUAAUCAAAUACCUAUCUUGUGUGACAAUACUAGUGCUAUAAAUCUUUCCAAGAAUCCCAUUCAACAUUCUAGGACUAAACAUAUACAAAUUAGACAUCAUUUCCUUAGAGAUCAUGUUCAAAAAGGAGAUGUUGUAAUUAAAUUUGUUUCUACUGAAAAUCAGCUUGCAGAUAUCUUUACAAAACCUCUUAGCGAAGAGCAUUUUAUAAAGAUAAGACAUGACAUUGGAAUGAUGAAUGUUGCAUCUUAACUUAUGUUUUACUACAUGGCUUGAUAUAUUUGUUAUUAUAUGGAUUUAUGCUUCAUGUAUUAGAUAGCUUGAUAUGCUUGUAAUUUUAUGAUUUUAUGUUUCAUGCAUUAAAUGGCUUAUUGAAAAGUUUUAAAUCUCAAAAUGAUUUAAAAUUAAUCAAUUUUAAAAGCAAAAAAUAAAAUGGUGUGUGGAAUACAAGUAUAAGAGCUAGCCAAUAUUCAAUUAGAGACAAAAAGAUUUCCAAGUCUAAACCGGUAUACCACUUCCUCUCAUUCGAAAAACCGUUUUUCUUGUUGAUUUCUCUCGGGACAAAUUCCGGAUAACCAGAUUUUCUAAACUGGUGAGCCGCAUUAUCUUUGGUUGCUCCCGGGUCAAUAUUCGGAUAACCGGAUUAUCAAUUUGGAAAACCGGAUUCACGUAUGGCCUUCACUGGAUUUAACCGGAUAGCCGGUUCUGUAAAUCCGGAAAUCCGAAUUCAAGCUGCACUUUGGCAGCAUUCUGGAUUCAUUCGGCCAACCGGUUAAGGAAACCGGUAAGCCAAUUUUAACUUGCUAUCUUCUGGAUCCAACCGGCAAGCCGGUUCGUGAUAUCCAGAAAACCGAAUUCGAGUGAAGGACUUGCUGGAACAUAAUCGGAUUUCUGGUUAAACACAUCCGGCAAGCCGCUUUCAGCUUUAUAGCUUCUGGACACCAACCGGUUAGCUGGUUAGUGACAUGCGGCAAGCCGGAUUCGAAGGCAUUUUUAAAGUGUUCAUCUUUCUUCCUCAUUCGGCAAUCCGGAUCUUGUUCUCUCUCUAAAAACCGAUUCCUCUCUCUCAUUUUUCACUCCCAAAUCAACAAUUUCUACUCGAUUUUGAUGCAAAUCAGUCCAUAAAUCCUAAUCCCCAUCCGUUCUUAUGCCUAAAAUCACACUCAAAAUCCAUUUUCAACAUCUAAAUCUUUAGAUCCGAAUUUCAACUUAAGGUUUAACUGAACUUUUCUCUCUAUAAAAUUCGUCCCCUCAAGUUGUUUUUUUUAUCCAAAUUGCUUCCCAAAAUUACUUUCAAUCUUCAUCAUCUUCAUUUUCUUUGCUGUUUUCAACUUCAAAUCCAUCAAAAUCACAAUGUCAAGCUCUCGGCCGGUUAGAAGAAAAGGCAAAGAACCGGUUCAACCAACCAACCGGUCACGGCAAGCAGGGGGCACCUCUAAUCAAUCCAAUUUCGAGUCCACACACUUUCAGAACAAGAACCAUCUGGCCAAACAUUUUCACGAACAGUUCCUAACUCGUGAGGUACUCAAAACCUUUUUUGUUUUACCGGAUUGGUUAAAUCAUCUUAGUAUUAGCAAUAGAACUUUAUUGCAAUUAUUGGAAGAUGUUAGUUGGCUUAAUGCACUUGUUGUUGAGGAAAAUGUAUAUCCUGACAUGGUGAAAGUGUUUUACUAGAAUAUGGAUUGUUCCGCGGAGAAAGAGAAUCGAGUAAUCACCACAGUUGGAGGAGUUUUGAUUGAGUUUGAUGAUUCGGAGUUGAACUCCAUCCUAGGAUCUUCCAAUGAUGGCCUAGAAAUUUUUUCACCUAGGAAACCUCCUGACAUUGAUGACUAUGUUUCUAUUGAUGCUGUUAAGAAUAUAUGUCAUCGUGUCAACCUUUCCGAUGAAGAUUGUACUAUCCAUUUUCGCACCCAAUGUCUUUGUCUUCAAACUCGGAUAUUACUUCGUUUUAUUCAGAGUAUUGUCCUCCCUAGAUCAGGCCAUUUGGAUGAGGUCUCUCAUAUGGAUGUCGCCUUGAUUGAUUGUAUUCUUAGACAUCGUCCAGUCGACUUAGGAUAUACCAUUGUCUGAAACAUGCUUAGUAUACCUAAGUUGAUUACCCGUUCCCUUCCAUAUGGUCAUUUCAUUACCUGAAUCCUGAAAUUUUUUGAUGUACCGAUUAAAGAAUCGCCGUGUAGACCAUCUAAGGGUAUCGGGGAUGAUGCUAUUUUCGGCUCAGGCUUUGAGUGGAAAAAUGGCACUUGGGUCAAAUACACUGAGAACAAGUUUACCUUUCUUGCUCCAAGUGAUGAUCGGCCACUUAAUGUUGUGGCUCCAGCCGAUCAGCUAACCAUUUUCUCACUCUCAUUUCGGGGGCAGUGUAGACGCCGAGAUCCUCCCGUGAUUGCUUCACCUCCACAGCCUCCUACCUCUGAAGAUGGUACUCUUCAGCAGCUUAUGGAUGAGGUGCGGACACUCUCGGUGCGGCAGACUGAGUUUCAGCAACAGCAGCAGCAGCAGCGGCAGCUACAACAGUAGCUCAUUCAUGGACAACGCCUUCUCUUUGAGCACUUUAGCAUUCCAUAUCCGUAUCCACUUCCAUCACCACCUCCAUAGUCUCUUAUGCUUGUAUUUGGACACACCUACAUUUCAUUUUCUGCAUUAUGUUCUUUUAUUUUCGACUAUAUGGAUGUUUAUUAUGCUUUUGGAUUAUGUAUUUGUUUUGGAUGAUAUGGAUUGUUUUGAUUGUUUGUUAUGGAUUAUGGAUAUUUUUGAACUAAUGUUCUUAUAUUGCGAUUUUGAUGAUUGAUAGAGGGAGCUCUUAUUCUCUUAUUCUUGUAUUCUUUUUUAUGAUGAAGGGGGAGAAUAAUUUAAUAUGAGUUAUAAAAAGUGUUAUAAAAAUAUGCAUUUAUCCAGGGGGAGUAUGCAUGUAUGCAGGGGGAGUCUUUUUAAAUAAUUUUCAAAUAAUUUUUUUUUACCUUGCAUUGAUUAAGGGGGAGCUUUUCAUAACUAGAUUAAAUUUUUAUAAUAUGUUUUGUCAUCAUAAAAAAGGAGGAGAUUGUUAGCCUAUAUGGCUAUAGAUAUUGAUUUUGAUGAUAACAAACCACAUGUGUUGAUUAAACAAAGAUUUAUGAAUUGUGCUUUUACAAUAAGAAAAUAAUGUUAUGGAAUUAAAGUAUUUUGGACUAAAAUGAAAGUAUUUUAAAACCUUUGAUAUUGUUUUAAAAUUUCAGAUUUGGACCUAUUUUAAACUAUUUAAAUAUUUUAGGUCAUUCUAUAAUUUCACAUAGUUUGGGUGAAAUCAUAAUUUCAGAAAGUUUUGGGAUUGACAAAGCAUUACUUAAAAAUUCCGAAAUUGGACCUAUAUGAAAGCUUUCAUAACGUUUUGGGCCAUAAUAUAGUUUUAUAACGUUUUAGGGUAAAACUGUAAAAUUAGAAAAUAUUUCACUGUAGCAAUUACUAUAGCAAGCGGCUAGCCGGAUCCUGACAAACAAUAGACCGGAUUCGGGCAGGAUGUUUCUGGAACUUAAACGGCUUACCGGAUUUCACAAGCGGCAUACCGGAUGUUCAGAAAUUCAAAAUUGUGGCUGUAACGGUAACAUUAAGUGGCUAACCGGAUGUUCAUAAACGGCAAGCCGGUUAUGACCAAAAUGUGCAUAACGGCUAGUUUUUGAGCUCAAACUAUAUUAACUCAAAUCCAACUCAUUUUUAAGCUCUCCAACAAGCAUAAACAAAAAGCACACGAGAUAUCUUGAGCUUCUAAUUUGCAAAACACAAAACAUUGAAUCAUUACUUGUUCUUCAUUUUUGAAUAUCUACUCUUUGAGUGAGCUUUAUUGUAACUUUCAUUUCCUCAUCUCAAUUGUAAGAGUUUAAGUGUGUGAGACACUUAAAUGAAGAGAUUGGGAGAUAAUCGCUUUGUUGUAAAGGUUCAUUGACACAUUGAAGUCAAUUGUAAAUGGUUGAAGCCUUGGAAAGACUUGGAUAGUGAAAUCCUCAAGCUUGGAUCGCUUGGAGGCGUGGACGUAGGCGGGGUUUGCCGAACCACGUAAAAUUUUGUGUGUUUGUUUCUCUUCUACCUUACUCAUUAGUUAUUGUGCUUUUAUUGAACUUAUUGCUUUCAAUUUUUAUUAAGACAUUAGAUUGCUUGUUGUGUGGAUUGGCUAGGAUAAUUUUUAAAAUUCCAAUUCACCCCCCCUCUUGGGUUGCACACUUAAAUUUCAAGCUUAACAUGGCCAAAUUUUAGGCAACACGAGCAACCACUCAUGUUCUUGAUUGGUGGGCACACCAACCUUCUCUUUAACCUCAAAAUAAUUCUAAGUUUAGAUCAAUAAUUUCUUAAAGACAUUUAAAUAAAUACUUGGUGUGCCAUUUAUUAGAUAUCUUAAUCUUAAGAAAACUCUAAUAUUUUCAUACCCAAUACACAUCCUAAUGAUUAACUAUGAUCAAUGAUGAAUCAACUAGGCAAUUUAAACAAAAAAUUAUUCUAAAUUAAUGAAACAAAUUGUGAAAGUACCUAAGCCGCCAAAACCGUAAGUGAAUAAACUUGUUGGAACCAAACUAUAACUCACGUAAUUGCCAAUAGAAGUGAAAGAAAUUGCUACCGGAAGUGAAGGUUACUCUAUCAGAGCGAUGUAGCUAAAUUGGGCCGAGUAUUGAGAGGUUUUUCCCAUACUCUACUCGUGCGAUGAUGAUCCCGACGAGUAUUGAGAGUUAUUUCCCCUGGGUACUAUUUGGUGCAGUUUGUGAUGUAUGUAUGUAUGAAUUCCAUGUUUGCUGAUGUAUGUUAUUCAAUGUGGAGUUAUGUCACAUAAUUAUGCAUAAGCGCUAGUACACUAUAUUAUUAUUAUUAUUUUAAUAUAUAUAAUUACAUCCACUCACUGAGCCGCAAGCUCACUAUUUUCCUAUUUACCCCUUUCCUCCCAGGAUUUCGCAGGAUUUCGUUCAGAUCAAUUCUAGUUAAUUAAGGUUGGGCCACGAGAUGUAUUGCUACAUGUCUUGCAUUUUGAGCACGUUUAUGUUGCUUAUGUUUUAUAUGUAAAUAUACAUGAAAUGUCAAUAUGUACAAUGAGACAUAAGCUAUGCAAGUUUUGAAUUCAUAUAUGGUUUUAGAAAAGGCACAUAGGUGGUUAUGUGUUUAUAGGAAAGACCAUAUUUUAUACACAUUUUCAUGAAUUAAAUUUGUGCUACAAGUUUUAAUUAUUAGUCCGUACGAUUCACCUCAAUUCUAACAUGCAGUUUGGGGCGGGUCGUGUUAGAUUUGCCCUUGAGCUCAGUGGCAACGGCUUUAUAUUAUGGAGCAAGUUUCUUGCUCUGGGGGGCCCAUGGUGCAUAAAAAAGGACCAUCACAUGCUGAUUCUUGGCUAUAACAUGACUAAAAUUCUUGUCACUCGGUUUCACCGCAUCUUCUUUUUCAUCAAUUGCCGGCGGCAACUUGUGCUUUUGAUCAUUGAAACUGUUGUAAGAAUCUGAAAGUUCAACAGUGUUUCCGUAAGAGACUGGAGGAAGUUUCUUGAAUACGGAAACACACAAUACAUAGCCUCCGUCAUAAUCUAUUUUGUAAACACAGAAAGGCGAAAGACAAAAAAGAACGAACAAAAGAAAAAUUGUAGUGGAGAGCAUAAGGAGAUAAGCUUUUGUUGACAUUGUUUGAGCAGUUGGCCUUGUAUUUGAGAUCUUCAAAUAAUUGUUAGCUAAUGACAAGAGAGAAGUAAUUAAAUGCUCCUUGUAUUAUUUAUUUUCAAAGAUGCAGACAAAAGGCUAAAAAAAUUUUUUUUUUAAAGUAUUUUGACUUCUAUUCAGAAAUUACAUUAUUAACACAUUGUUGAUAGAAACAAAACCCUCUAGCUUGACAAAGCACAAUCGAUAAAGACAAGAGCCACGUCUCUAUCUCAUAAAACCAGUGUUUCUGUAAACAUCACUAUGGAAUAGUACUAUCACCGAAUCUUGAUCAUCUCUUAUUACAAUCUUUAAAAUGCAUCUGCUUGGACUUUGUAUUAAAAACUUUCUGUAUGUGAAUGGAAUGACUACAUUUGUUCGCAAAUUUAAUUAAAUUCUCCAAUUAGUUCUUUCUUGAUCAACUUCAUUAUUUCAGAGGCUUAUGCAGAAUUACACAAAUUUACCACUAAUCGGAGCAAUAAUGUCGAAGACAUCUUGUUACAAAUAUCACAUACUAAUGAAAACUUGCUUCUCUUGCUUCCUUAUUUCAAUUGGGACCAAAGUGACAUUUCUUUUGAGUUCAAAAAGGGAAAACAUCUCUGUGUACCGUUUGUGUCACGUUCUCUUAAUAGAAAAAUAUAACCCCAAAAGUUCUUGAUUUUGGUAGUUUGGUCUUUGUAUUAGAACUUGCAACCUGUUUCAUGAGAAAAAAUAAUAAAAAUUUGCUCUUAUUUUUCUUGCAAUCUAACAAGGUGCUUAACAAUUUUGGUUACCAAUUGAUGUUUAUCUAUUGAAUGCAGUUAUCAAUGAGUUAAAUGAAUAUAAUUAAAGGUCUAAUACAUAUUUUUAUAUAUAGAAUAUAUGCCAUAAUUUAAUGUGACCUCUGCCGUACUCGGAGCAAAAGAAACCCCUGCUAAUGGCUGCAUGUUUAUACAACUCCUCAACGCAAGCGAUAUCGUAAACGACGUCGUCCCAGUUGUGGCAUAACAACAUCGUCACCUCGACUUCCUCGAACCUCCCUUGCAAAUCCUUCAACACGCGCAGCAACUCCAGUACAGUCGCCACACGCGGCCUUGGCACCAUAUUUAUUUAUUUAUUAAUUCUAUUAAAUCCCAUUUAAUUUAAAUUAAAAAAUAAUUAAAACAAAAGUCACAUUACUUGUUUUUGUGUUAUAGGGGCCCACCUUGUAAAAUAACACAAGGUCCCUUACAGUUAUAGUUAUCUUGCUUAUUAAUCCAGUAGUGGUGCAGUCAAUUAAAUAAGCUAACUCGAAGAUCAUUUGGGAACAUACAAUAGUGGCUAUAAUAAUUAGGCAUGUAAUUAAACUAGCCCAAUUAUUUAAUUCCAAAUCUACUCCACUAAAAGAUUGGAACUGACCUCCAUAAUUGUAUACUCGAAUAAUAAUUCGUCCCAAGACACAUCAAUUUCUUUACUGCAUAAUCCUUUGUACUAUAUCAUUAAUUAAAUCGAUAUCUUAAUUGUCCAAUUGAUUUAAUUACAUCUUAUUCCUUGAUACUUAUUGAUUUUCUCUAAUGAUCAUUUUCAACAUACUAAAUAUGUUGACACACUCUGGCCAAAGAAUUCUAUGAUCAAGUGCUGAAAAUCCAUCAAGAGAUGUGUUGUACAAAUUCUAUAUUGUUAAUCUAUAACUCCAAUACUCAUAAUUGCUCCCACCAAGAUACUGGGUAAUCUUGACCACAAUUGUGUGUCUUUCCCAUUGGUAACUCAAAUGGAAUAACAAUUACAAUCAUGAAAUCAUAACUAAGUUAAGAUUAAGAUUACGGUAAAAGCAAUGCCUAUGAGAUUUAAUAAGUCUGACAGUUAUUUCAAGGUUAAUUAAAUCUCAUAUGUGAUCUAACUCAAUGUAGUCAAUCUACAUCAGUAAAUUCAUACAUGAUUAAGAUAAAUUAUUCAAUGAAUUUACUACAGUCUAAACAUAAAUAGAGCGCCCAACUUUAUUUAUCAACUACGAAUUUAAUUUAUCUAAUCAUAAAAUGACUUGUAUUUAUGUCUUCUGUGAAUCCAUAUGAUGAUUACAUAAAUACAUAUAAUAUGAUUAAACGGACCUUAUUCAAAAUAUUAUACAAUUGAAAAUAUCUCAAAUAUUUUAUUAAUCAGAAAAUAAAUUAAUAUGCUUUAAAAAAGCAUAUAAUCCCAACACUAUGGCCCCACCCAAGGACUCAAAAUAUAAAAACGCGGGCAAAUCCGGCGCAUGUCUUGGAAUGACAUACCAUAUGUAAUGCUAAUUAUUUGGGAUGAAAUUUAAAAUAAAAUAAAUUUAGUAUGCUUACUCUUGCAUAAAACAUUUCUUCUUUUUUUUUUUGGUAGAGUUAUUUUGCAACUAAUAAUUUAAUUUAUAAAUAUAUUUUUGUUUUAUCAAUAAUAACAUUUAAUUUGCAACUGUUGGGGAUUCCUAUUCCCUAGUGUUGGCUCGAGGAGAGCUUGGCAACAACCAUUUCAACGAAUCUAUGACAAGUUUUAUCGUGACAAUUGAUUUCUUUGCACUUGUUAAUUGAUUUCUUUGCACUUGAUAUACAAUACAUAUCAAAUUAUAUCAAUUUUAAAGCUAUAUACUAAGAAUUCUAACAUAAUCAAAUGCAGAUAGGAGCAAUUAAUUGACAAUCAACAUGCCAAUUGGAAAAGUUAAACCUGUGUAAGGAAUUUGUUGAGUAUCCGCAACAUAGUAGAAAUAUGGUAAAGUUAUGAUAAGACAACUGUGACAAAAUAAUAUGUCAAUAUUCAAUUAUUGAAUAUAAAUUAUGACUCUAUUUGGUAUUGAGAUGUUAUGAUAUAAAAAAAUGAUAAAGUAUGAAUACGUAAUAAUUUUGAAAGUUAUUAUGACUUUUUAUUAUAUAGAUAAAACAAAUUUGGUUUUUAGAUUAUAGCAGUAAGUAUUUAUUAAGCUAAUUAGAGUUAGAAUUUAAAAGCUAUAGCUUCCAACAAUAAUUAAGCAUGGCGAAUAUCUAAAAACAAGUCUACUAGAAAAACUUUUAUUUCUACAAAAUAAAAAAUGCAUGUGAUAUGUAAUUUUUAAGGAUUCGAAGUUAUCGCUGCAGAGGAAACAAAAGAAUUUUAAAAAGAGAAUUGCUUUAUGAAAUAAUUUGUUUGCAUCCUUUAUUCAAACAGCUUUAGGCUUUUUAUAAGAGCCAAUUGGAAACACGCAAUCUACACUAGUAAUUGCACUUGGAACAACAAAAGACACCCUAGACAAUAACACAUGAAAUACAAGAAAUAAUAGGAAACAUGGGUAAUAAUUUUGCACACAUAGUUAAUAGACCACUUGUCAAGUGCCCACUUAUUUCAAAGCUCUUAUUACUAAGUCCUAGACUCCCCUUCUCAAGCACAUGGCUAUCAGGUACCUGGGAAGCUUGUUAAAUGCAUGGUUCUUGCUCAUCUUUGGGAGACAUAUCAGCAUGCUUGGAAAGAGAUACACGCAAGACAAUCAACACAAGAUUUGCUUUAUUUCUAGGAUGCAUGGGCAAGCACUCUACUUAUAGAACUCCAUAACCCAGAGAUUACCAAUAGCACGUUCACAACUCAUCCCACUAAAACCAGCGCCAGUAGCCAGGGUCAUGAAUUCAUGCCUUGUUCUCUCCUUUCCAUCGGGUCUUUGAAUCAUCAUAAGCACGUCAAAAUGGAAAUUUGAUUUUGAUUCAAUGCUUGUAUUAGGAACUUCUGGAAGCAUUAACUCCACAACGAUUACCUUUCCAUCUUCUGGAAUGCUUUUGUAGCAAUUCUUCAACAACUUCAAGCAAUGUUCAUCAUUCCAAUCGUGCAGUAUUGUUAGAGUGCAAUUUAUGCACUAGUUUUGCAUUGCUUACUUCUUUUAAUAUCGAUGUUUUGCACUUAAUAAUAAUGAUUUACUUGUGUUUUACUUUUAUAGGUGCAAUUCUAUUGAUUUGUGAUAAAAUUGAGGUAUAAGAUGAUGUUUAAAGAUGAUUGUUCUCUUGGAGAAAUUAUGAGCGGUAGAAGAACUUUGUUGAUAAGGCGUGGGCGCGUGCUGUCAACUGCAAACCUGCAGUUUUUAGUUUAACGUGUUUUGUAUUUUUGGUUAUUUUUGUAAUUACGAAUUUAAUAUUUCAGAUAUUAGUAUUUUAUUUUAAAUAGAAUUCUAGAGUAGAAGAGAGAGAGAGUAUUUAAGGGAGGAAUCUAUUGUGAAAAAGGGGGAUUUUUUGGAGAAAAAGAAAGAAACCCUAGAUCUUAAUUUUUCUCUUAUCUCUAUAAAGAACUAAACCUAUUUUUCUGGUUGAAGGAUAAUGAAGCUUUGAUUCAUCACUACUGUGAGAUCUUUCUUGUGCUUUAAUUGUUUUAUUGCUUUUUGGGUAUUUGUUUAUUCUCUGAAUUAUUUUCAUGAUUAUGUUUGUUAAUUAGGUAAUUGGCCACUAUUUAAUUAUCAACUUAAUCUAUUGUCAAUUAAAGGAUUCAUCGUAUGAAGAAUUUAAUGUUUGUGACAAAUAACAUAGCAGAGAGUUGUGUUGUGAGAAUAAACAAUCUAAUUUAAAUGAAUCAUCAUAUGUGUUGAUUAGGAUUUGGGUCUCUCUGAUUUUUCAGGCUGUCAAUUGAUUAAAUCCUAUGAUCGUAUCUAGGGUUGUCUAUUGAUUAGGGAAAUAUCCAACGGUCGUACCUUGGUUAUCGACUAGUUAAGGAGAGAUUGGCUAUUAGAGGGUCUCAAUAGCUAUAACCGGUGUAUUCAUAAGUAAUAAUAAUCUAUAUUUGAAUCAAUGAUCAGUAGUCGAAUCAAGCUGAGUUAAUUCCUUCAACCAUAGCUUUCUCCAAUUUGAAUUACAACUUUAAUUUGCAUUCUUGUUAUUUUGAUUUGAUUUUUAUUAUUGUCAAAAAUUCCCCCAUUUUACGUUUUACGUUUCAAAAAGAUUUAAAUAAUUAUCGAUCUCUGUGGACACGACCCUGCUCAAUCACUAUACACAAUUUAUUUAGAGUAGGAAUUUAUUUUUGUUGGCUUCGACAACCAUCAAACUUUGGCGCCGUUGCCGGGGAUUGGUGUCAUUUAUUUAAUCAUUUUUACGUUUUACUUGGUGUAUGGUUCGUUCUUCUCGUACAGGUACACUUUCGUUUGAUCCUGAAAUUGAGAAGACAGCUCGCUAGUUUAGACAGCAGACGAAGCGAGCUAAGCAACGGUCCUCGUCGCCUUUGCUUUCUGAAAUAGAUACAGUACCUAAUUCAGUUGAAUCAUCUAGCGAUUUAGAAGAACAAAUGAUGGAUAGAACUGCACCUAUAGAAAGAACUCUUAGAGAGUUAGCUGAACCAAACUUGAAUCAGCAACCACUCUGCAUUCAAUAUGUAGACUUAGAGGUAAAUUUUGAAUUAAAGUCUGGUCUUAUUCAUUUGUUACCCAAGUUUUAUGGUUUUGCAGGUGAAGAUCCUCAUAAACAUCUUAAGGAGUUUCAUGUUGUGUGUUCAAGUAUGAGACCACAAGGCGUGACUGAAGAGCAGAUUAAGCUGCGUGCUUUUCCGUUCUCUUUAGGUGGGUUAGCUAAAGAUUGGUUGUACUACUUGCCUCCUGGAUCGAUUACAACGUGGAAUGGUUUGAAGAAGCAGUUCCUCGAGAAGUACUUUCCUACUUCAAGAGCUGCUAACAUCAGAAAAGACAUUUGUGGGAUCAGACAACUUCCUGGGGAGACUUUGUAUGAGUAUUGGGAGCGAUUCAAACAAUUGUGUGCCAGCUGUCCUCAGCAUCAGAUUUCUGAUCAACUUCUUAUUCAAUAUUUUUACGAAGGACUAUCAUUGAUGGAUAGGAGUAUGAUAGAUGCUGCUAGUGGAGGCGUGUUGGUAAACAAGACCCCUACUCAAGCAAGGGAGCUGAUAUCAAAUAUGGCUGCCAAUGCACAACAAUUUGGCAACAGGCAAGAUCUCACUUCAAGGAAGGUGAAUGAGGUAAAUAUUUCUUCUGUUGAAUAACGUUUAGAUAAACUUACUUCUCUUAUGGAAAAGUUUGUUGUAGGUAAUGUGCAACAGGUGAAGACUUGUAGUAUUUGUUACAAUAUGGGUCAUUCAACUGAUAUGUGUCCUACACUUCAAGAAGAACCCAUUGAACAAGCCAAUGCAGUUGGAGGAUUUCCAGGCAUGCCUCAGAGGAGGUAUGAUCCUUAUGCACAAACAUACAAUCUGGGAUGGAAGGAUCAUCCCAACUUCAGCUAUGGAGUUAGGCCGUCAGGAUUCCCACAACAGUAUCCACCAAGACAACCAGCACCUCCACAGUCAACCUCCAAGCCAGGUAUAUCUCUUGAAGAAAUUGUUAAAUCGCUUGCGACUAACACUCAAUAAUUUUAGCAGGCAACUACAGCAAGCAUUCAGAACUUGGAGAACCAAAUGAGUCAAUUGGUGACUACAGUGAGCCGUCUGGAGUUUCAAGUAUUAGGGAGAUUGCCUUCACAAUCUGAGGUGAAUCCAAAGCAAAACGUUAGUGCUGUCAUCCUUAAAAGUGGGAAAGAGUUGCAAGAGCCUAGUAAGAAAGUGACAAAGCAUAUAGAAGAUGAGCUUGAGAAGAAUGAAUUGAUGCCUCAAUCUCAAGAUGCGCAACCCAACAGAGUGAAACCCCUACAUAUUGUGAUACCUCCUCCUUUUCCAAGCCUGUUUGUAAAAUCCAAGAAGGAGGAACAAGAGAAAGACAUCCUUGAGACAUUUCGCAAGGUUGAGGUAAAUAUUCCUUUAUUAGAUGCUAUAAAACAAAUACCUCGAUAUGCUAAAGUCCUUAAGGAACUAUGCACCUCUAAGAGAAAAUUAAGAGGAGAUGAAAAAGUUCACAUGGGGGAGAAUGUUUCAGUAGCUCUCCAAAAGAAACUACCUCCUAAGUGCAAGGAUCCAGGCAUGUUUACAAUCCCUUGUAAAAUUGGUAGUGUUAGAAUUGAAAAGGCUUUGUUAGAUCUAGGAGCUUCUAUUAAUGUCAUGCCUCGUUCCAUUUAUUCAUCUUUGAAUGUUGGCCCAUUAAAAGAAACUGGCGUGAUAAUUCAACUAGCUGAUAGGUCUAAUGCAUAUCCUGAUGGGGUAUUAGAAGAUGUCUUAGUACAAGUUAAUGAGUUGGUUUUUCCUGCUGAUUUUUAUGUACUUGAUAUGGAAGAUGAUAACUCCUCUAAUUUUGUCCCAAUUUUGCUAGGAAGACCUUUUCUUAAGACUGCUAGGACUAAAAUGGAUGUACAUAAAGGGACUCUCACUAUGGAGUUUGAUGGAGAGGUUAUAGAAUUCAAUAUGAAUGAUGCCAUGAAAUAUCCUAGUGAGGAACAUUCGGUAUUUUCUAUGGAUGUUAUUAACCCUAUAGCGCAGGAAGUUUUUUAUAAGGAAAAGACGAAGACAUUUCAUGAUAGAAUGAUUUUGAGAAAGGAGUUCUCUGUUGGUCAAAAAGUUCUUCUUUUUCAUUCUAAGCUUAAACUUUUUCCGGGUAAAUUACGUUCUUGCUGGGUUGGACCUUUUAUUGUUACUAAUGUUUUUCCUCAUGGUGCAGUUGAGAUUCGGAGUCCGACCUCUGACAAAGUUUUUAAGGUUAAUGGUCAUCGCUUAAAACGUUUUUAUGAAGGUUUUUCGGUGAAUAUUGUGGAGGAUGUGGCUCUCGAGAGUCCCAAUUAUAGAGAUUGAUGCAUAAAUGUGUCUAGCCAAAGACAUAAAAUAAAGGCGCUUUUUAGGAGGCAACCCAAAAGAUUUAUUUAUUUUGAUUUUAGUUAUAUCUUUUAUUUUUAAUUUUGAUUCAGAUUUUUUUUAAUAAUGCUUUUGCUUAUUUUGACCAGAAGAAAAUUUUCGAUAAGGCGUGCCCACGUCUUAACUAAUAAGUACUUCUGUGAUUUUUAAAGUAAAAUAGUUUUAAGGCGUGCCCACGUGCUUAUUAGAAAAGUACUUCUGAAAUUUUUAGUGUCUCAAAGUGAUUCAUCACUUAAAAAAAAAAAUCACAAAUCACUGUUCAUAAAUCCCUAAUUCAAAAAAAAUAAAAUUCACUGUUGAUUAUCUUUUUCUCCCGCAGCAACCAGCAGCUGCAGCCCACGCAGUAGCAGCAACCGUGCGAAAUCAGCAGCAAUUGUGCGCGCAACACAUCCCACGCAGCAGCAGCAGCCGUGCGCCCCGCCAGCAGCACGCAACACAGCAGUGCGCAAGCAGCCCCAAGCCGCGCAGCAAGCUCCAACUGAGCAGCAACGCAACGCAACCAGCCUACGCACUGUAUUCCAGCCGGGUAAAUCGAAAUCCGUGAGUGCAAUUAUUGUAACAAUGCUGAAGAGGAAAGCAUCUAUUUCCAAGUCAUCGAAAAAGACACCCGUCGCAAAGAAAUCUAAGAUUGCCGCUCCCACUAUGGUUCCAUGGAAUACAAUUUUAGAUUCACGCCAUGCCGUGAGACAAAGAUCGAAGCAUGGAAAAGGCAUGAGUGUUUUGCCACUUGCGGAAUCCAAUUUCGGAGGGUGCCUCGCAUUCGCAACUCAACAAGAGAAAGAGAGGUACAAAGACAUUUCCACGCGCAAAAUACUUCCAGCUAAGUAUAUUCAUUACCCGACUCUUGAAAAAUUGAAUGUUAAGGAUAAUUUUGAUUAUUUGAUAGAUAAGAUUGGGUUGCGUAAGUUUAUUGAUGUUGAUUGUUUGGGUUAUGUUGAGUUGAUUAGGGAGUUUUAUGCUACUUUUCAAUUUAAUAUGCCGAAUGAUUUUACUUUACAUACCCCGGAUGUCAUUAAGUUUAGGUUAAUGGGACGAAAUUUUUCACACUCUAUCAUGGAUUUUAACCUAGCUUUAGGAUUCAUUGAUGAUGAUUAUUCUUCUAGUGAUGCAUAUUUAGGAACAACUUGUGACUUUAGCGAAAAUUUUGAGCCUUAUGGUCUUUGGCGUAAUUUAUCUGUUGAUCACAAUGCCUAUGACCCAAGUAAAUCAAAGAGUUCUUUCUUACGUGAUCAUGUUUUGAAAUGUGUGCAUCGAUUCUUAGCAUAUAUUUUUUUAGGCAAGAAAGAUCACUCAGGAGUUUUCUCUAAAACUGAAUUUUAUUUUAUCUGGUCCAUGUUAAAUGAUGUAAGGCCUAAUUUAGGUUUUUGGUUAGCGGAUCAAUUUCAAAGUGUGCUUAAACGGUAUAGGACUUUAUUUCUUGGUCCAUACAUUACUUUGUUAGCUAUAAACCUAUGUGUGCUUAAUCCCGACAAUAAUGAUUUACAUCCUGCUUGCAAAAAAGAAUUUUUGGAUAUGUCUGUGUUUGAAAGAACAAGUGUGGUCGAAUUCAAGGAGGGGAGAUUUCAGUUUACUGAACCAGGACCCACUCAACUUCCGAAGAAGCUUUAUGCUAGGAGUGGUGCUACCUCUGAUGACGAGUUUGACGACGACACUGCUGCCCCGCCAACUAUUCCUUCUACAUCCGCACCAUCUUUGAGCAUUCAGUUAGAGAAAAUGGAGCAUAAGCUGAACAAGAUGGAGCAGAAUUUGGCCGCAUACUUCGAGAGUGUGGGAUUUACCCCACCAUUUUCGCCAAACCCAUAGACGUUAUGUGGAUCAAAGCUCACAAUUCAGGGAAGUUUCUUUUUACCCUUAAUCUUUUAUCCUUACGCUUUAAUUUUUAUGUGAGCUUUGAUUAUCUUACAUUGGGGACAAUGUAAGUUCUUGGUGUGGGGGAGGGAUUUUUGCAUUAUUGAUGCCUGGAAUUAUUAUUUUCACUCUACUCAUCCUUAAAUGAUUUUGGAGUUAGUAUGCUUCAUAUAUUAUUAUUUUUCUUUUCUUUUCCUUAUCACUACUUUUUUCCCAUCUAUCUCAAAUUAUUCAUGUCUAUUUUUAUUUUACCAUACUCUUUCAUCACUCACAUUUUAUCUUUCACUUUUCAUAUUACUACAUACAUCUUUCUCACUUCUUAUCAUUUUUACCUUUUCUUUUAUAUAUCACUCAUACCUUCUUCUCAUUCUGCACCACUAUUGAUGGUUGAUUCAUUUGAAGAGUGUACAUGAUUUGAUGGCAAAUUUACCUGUAGUUGCAUCACAAACCGAGAUAUAUUAUGAAAGAAUUUUGAGAAAAUAUAUCAUUGCUCACCUCGAAAUGCUGUUGCAAUACAGGUGAAUGUUGAUGCAGUGUUGUGUAUAUCUUCUCAAGUAAGCCUAUGGUGCAUCCACUUGAUCGCCCAGCAGAUCCACCUGGAAUCCAAGCCACGUAAUGAAUCUUAAGAAAAUUUGCUUGAAACACACUUAAAAUGUACAUUCAUCAAAUCCAAGUUAAAUUCAGUUUGUUUAACCAAAAAAAAAAAAACUAAGGUGAAUAAAACUGAAAUUGCAGCUCAAAACCUCAGUUUCAGCCUUCUGGAGAUUCUUGCUUCUUCUGAUAAAUGCUGUUCUGUAGAGUAAUUCCCGUUUUUGUAUUGAGGAAACAAGUUGUUGUAUUAUGAAGCAAAUCAGUUGGUAAAACGACCAGCCGAUGUCGCGUUUUGGAAAGCAACACACUUACUCUUUUGAACGACAUGAAUGAAGGUCGUUUUGGUUUAAGUGAUGCACGAGAGUUUCACGUGCACGAUAAGUUGCUUUCUUGGUUCGUUAGAAUCAGUUAAUUUACAUGCCAGUCACGUGGGUUUCUGGGUUCGUUACUGAUUCAUUAACAAGCUGUUAUAUGCAGCUGAUUCUAACAACAGAAAGAGAGUGAGAGUGAGAGCUAUUGUGAGUUGAGGAGAUUGAAACAAAGGCUUCUUGAAAGACUCUGUAAUCAGCUUGAAAAGCUCUCUGUAACUUCUGUGAACAAUCAAUAGAAUUGGGUUCUGUUUCUCCCGUGGAUGUAAGCUAGAUUGAAGCUAGCUGAACCACGUUAACUCUUGUUCUUUUCUUAAUUCUUUUUAGUUCUAGACUCUUUGUGUAUUCUGCUGGAUUGAUUCUUGGUGCAUCUUGUUUGUUUGAUUGUGAUCUUGGAGAAGUGUUUCGAGUUGAUUGGAUAAUUAGUCACUCUUAAACACUACAAUUGGUAUCAGAGCCUGGAUUCCAAAUCAGACACAAGUAUGGCUAGUUCAAAGAUCGAUCUAGAGAAGUUUACAGGGAAGAAUGACUUCAACAUGUGGAAGGUUAAGAUGGAGGCACUACUGAUCACUCAAGGGCUAGGUGAUGCCUUAGAACCUAUCAUCAAGAAAGAAGGAUUAGAAGCCUCUACAUCAUCAUCAUCACUAAAACGAUAACAAGCUGCUGAGAUUGACAAAAAGGCAAGGAGUACCAUAAACUUGAGUUUUGGAGACUCGGUGAUUAGGGAAGUUGCAAGAGAAAGAACAGUGGUUGAUCUAUGGGCUAAGCUUGAAAGGGUGUAUAUGACUAAAUCAUUAGCCAACAGACUUUACAUCAAGAAAAUGAUGUUCACACUAAAGAUGGCUGAAGGACCAUCUCUCGAAGACCACAUUGAUGAAUUCAACCAAGUCUGUAAUACACUGGAAAUAAUUGAUGAAGGUUUAGAUGAUGAAGGUAAAGCAUUGCUUCUGGUUAGUUCACUUCCAUCCUCAUAUUCAAACUUUGUUGCACUCAUGUAUGGGAGACAGACUUUAUCAUUGGAUGAAGUUAAGGCUGCCCUGAAUACUAGAGGGCUGCAAGAAAAGUCAGGGAAUAUGAACUCUGGAGAAGUGUUGGCAGUAAAAGCAAGAACUGAUAAGUAUGAUGGGAAGAAAAAGAAGCAAGGGAACAAUAAACAAAAUACUAAAGGCAAGAAAUGUUUUCAAUGCCAGAAAGAAGGGCAUUUCAAGAGAGAUUGCCCAGAACUCAAGAACAAGAAAAAAGAAUAAAAUGGAGCUGCUGCUACUGCUGAGAAAGAGGGGUAUGAGUCAGCAGGAGUAUGUAUGGCUACAGAGCAUGUGCAAAAAGGUACCUGGAUUCUAGAUUCAGGUUGUACAUUUCAUAUGUGCCCCUUUAAAGAUUACCUAUUAAACUAUCAUGAAACUGAUGGAGGAAACGUUAUGAUGGGUAACAAUGUUGUUUGUAAGAUUGUGGGGAUAAGAAAUGUAAACUUAAAAUUGCAUGAUGGAACAAUAAAAGAGUUAAGGGAAGUUAGGUAUGUUCCUGAACUUAAAAAGAACUUAAUAUCUCUAGGUAUGCUUGACCAAAUGGGGCAUAGCAUUAAGCUUUAAUCUGGUGAGUUGAGAAUUUCAAAUGGAGAUGGGGUAGUUAUGAAAGGUUACAAAAGAAAUGGGGUUUAUGUUUUGAAUGGGGAAGCUAUAACUGGUGUGUCAGGAGUGUCAAUCAGUUCGAGCUGUGAUAACACUUUGCUGUGGCACCUUAGAUUAGGACAUAUGAGCUUGAGAGGUCUGAAAAAAUUACAGAAGCAAGGGGUUCUAGGCAGCAGUCAAAUCUCAGAACUGGAUUUUUGUGAAGACUGUGUACUAGGCAAAGCUACAAGAAAUAGCUUUGGAAAAUAAGUUCAUUCAACAAAAGGCAUCCUUGAAUACAUACACUCAGAUUUAUGGGGACCAGCACAGAUAAUUUCACUAGGUGGCAACAUUUAUUUCUUGUCUUUAAUAAAUGAUUAUUCAAGGAGAGUAUGGGUUUAUGUCUUAAAACAUAAGGAUCAAGUAUUUGGCAAAUUCAGAGAGUGAAAAUCCCUGGUUGAAAAUCAAAUUGGAUUGAAGGUGAAGAAACUCAGAACUGACAAUGGUCUUGAGUUUUGCAAUCAGGAGUUUGAUAGCUACUGUGCAGAUCAUGGCAUUGCAAGGCAUAGAACUGUAAGGCUGACUCCUCAACAAAAUAGGUUAGCUGAAAGAAUGAAUAGAACCCUGAUGGACAGAGUAAGAAGCAUGAUGAUCCAGUCACAACUUCCCAAAGGAUUGUGGGCUGAGACUCUGUUAACAGCAAGUUAUCUGGUAAAUCUAAGUCCCUCUGCAGCAUUUGACUUCAAAACCCCAUUUGAGAAAUGGCAUGGAAAACCAGCAGACUAUAGCAGCCUCAAAGUAUUUGGAUGUCCAACUUAUGCACAUGUGAGUCAAGGGAAGUUAGCUCCAAGAGCCCUUAAAGGAAAGUUCAUUGGGUAUCCUGAAGGUGUUAAGGGAUUCAAACUGUGGUGUACAGACCUUAAUCCCCCCAAGUGCAUAAUCAGUAGAGAUGUAAUAUUCAAUGAGAAAGUUGUACUGGAAAUAAAGAAACCUACUGACACAGAUGCACAAAAGGAUAAGGAGAGAACCAAGAUUCAGUUUGAGGUGGAGCCCUUCACCAGAGAAGCUUCAGAAGAUAAAGAUGAAUCUUAUCAAGGAGCUACUGAUCAAGAAACUGAUCAUGUAAAACAGACUGAAGCUCAGUAUCAGGAGUACCAGCUGACAAGAGACAGAGAAAGAAGGAAAGAGAAAGCACCUGUCAGAUAUGGAUACGCAGAUCUGAUAGCCUAUGCAUUGACAGCAUCUCAUCAAAUUGAUGAUGAUGAACCCAAGAACUACAAAGAGGCUAUCAAGGACCAUACAAAGAUGAGUGGAAAAAGGCCAUGGAUGAAGAAAUCUAUUCACUGAAGAAGAACAAUACAUGGGAGCUGGUUAAAAGACCUGCCAACAGCAGAACAGUAGGAUGUAAAUGGAUCUACAAAGUCAAAGAUGGACUAACAGAUACUGAACUUAGAAGAUUCAAAGCUAGGUUAGUACCUAAAGGUUACACACAGAGGGCUGGAGUGGAUUUCAAAUAUGUGUUCUCACCAGUAGUUAGACAUACAUCAAUCAGAGUGCUACUGGCUUUAACAGUUGUAAAAGACAUGGAGCUUGAUCAACUCGAUGUCAAGACAGCCUUUCUGCAUAGAAGACUAAAUGAGGACAUCUUGAUGACAUAACCUGAAGGGUACACAAGUCCUGAAUCUGCUGACUGUGUGUGUCUGCUGAGGAGGUCACUGUAUGGGUUGAAACAAUCACCCAGACAAUGGUACCUUAGAUUUGAUGAGUUUAUGGUCACUCAUGGAUAUCUAAGAUGCAUCUAUGAUGUAUGUGUUUACUACAAGAUCAUACAAUCAAGUAAUUACAUAUAUCUGCUGUUAUAUGUAGAUGAUAUGUUGAUUGCUUGUAGUGAAAGAGAAGAGAUUGAGGCUUUGAAGCAACUGCUCAAUUCAGAAUUUGAUAUGAAAGACUUGGGUCCAGUUAAGAAGAUUUUGGGAAUGGAAAUAAUAAGGAACAUGAAGAAGGGUACUAUGAUUCUGUCUCAAAUGAAGUAUCUAGAGAAGGUAUUUGGAGCUUUUGAGAUGUCAAGUAGCAAGUCAGUAGUAACCCCUCUAGCAUCUCACUUUAAGCUGUCUUGUUCACAAUGUCCCAGUACAGAUGAAAAGAGAAGUGAAAUGAUAAAAGUUCCUUAUGCAAAUGUUGUUGGUUGCAUGAUAUAUGCAAUGGUACUUACAAGACCAGAUUUAGCUCAUGCUUUAAGUGUUGUAAGUAGGUUUAUGGCUACACCUGGAAAUGAGCACUGGAAGGUUGUUAAAUGGGUGCUGAGGUAUCUGAAAGGUACACAAGAGUAUGGCCUAGUAUAUGGAAAAUCAGCUAGAAAGGUUGCAGGUCUCUGUGGUUAUGUUGACUCAGACUAUGCUGGGGACUUAAACAGAAUGAGAUCUUUAACUGGCUAUAUGUUUUUCUUGGAUGGUUGCCUUGUUAACUGAAAAGCAAGUUUGCAGCAUGUUGUUGCCUUGUUAACAACAGAGGUUGAAUACACUACUGUAACAGAAGCUGUCAAGGAGGCUCUGUGGCUGAGAGGGUUGACAACAGAACUGGGAAUGAAGCAGGAGACUGUUGAAGUUCAUUGUGACAGCUCAAGUGCAAUUUACUUGAGUAAGAACCCAGCCCACCAUGAAGAAACUAAACAUAUAGAUAUAAAGUUACAUUUCAUCAGAAAUGUAAUCUCAAAAGGUGUGAUUAGUAUGGUGAAAGUGCAUACAGAUGAUAAUCUUGCCGACGUGCUUACUAAGGUCGUAACUACAGCUAAGUUCAAAAGUUGCUUGGAAAAAACUGGGCUGAGUGAUUUCUAAAAUACUCAGGUUGGAGAAACCAGGAUCAGGGAGUGAUUUGUUCAAGGUGGAGAAUUGUUGUAUUAUGAAGCAAAUCAGUUGGUAAAAUGACCAGCUGAUGUCGCGUUUUGGAAAGCAACACACUUACUCUUUUGAACGACAUGAAUGAAGGUCGUUUUAGUUUAAGUGAUGCACGAGAGUUUCACGUGCACGGAUAAGUUGCUUUCUUGGUUCGUUAGAAUCAGUUAAUUCACAUGCCAGUCACUUGGGUUUCUGGGUUCGUUACUGAUUCGUUAACAAGCUGUUAUAUACAGCUGAUUCUGCCAACAGAAAGAGAGUGAGAGUGAGAGUGAGAGCUAUUGUGAGUUGAGGAGAUUAAAAUAAAGGCUUCUUGAAAGACUAUGUAAUCAGCUUGAAAAGCUCUCUGUAACUUCUGUGAACAAUCAAUAGAAUUGGGUUUUAUUUCUCCCGUGGAUGUAAGCUAGAUUAAAGCUAGCUGCACCACGUUAACUCUUGUUCUUUUCUUAAUUCUUUUUAGUUCUAGACUCUUUGUGUAUUCUGCUGGAUUGAUUCUUGGUGCAUCUUGCUUGUUUGAUUGUGAUCUUGGAGAAGUGUUUCGAGUUGAUUGGAUAAUUAGUCACUCUUAAACACUACACAAGCUCAACAAGCAAAUCUAAUUGAUGCUUCAUCUCUUCCAACCUGUACAAAAGUAGCGCAGUAAAGGUCAAUCACUUGUUCAAACAACUAAUAUUUGAUGGAACAUAAAUAUCGUAACACAAAUAGCCAUAGUCAAUGUUCACAGUAAGAUUAAAUUAAAGCAUUUGAGGGGAAAUAUAAAUGUAAACUGAAGUACCUCAAAACUUUGUCUGCUAAUUUUUCUUGUGCUUGGAGCUCAAAAUUUCCAAAUACUUGUGAAAACUCCAGUAUAGGUGUAAACAUGGAAUCCAAUUGGUUUCUAGAAAUCUCUUCAUUGUUUUGUUGGAAAGUUAUGGAAUUUUUGUCAUGCACAUUAUCUGCAGGAAUCAUUUGAUCAUCAACUCUUUCUUUAUCAUAUUCGGCUGUGCCUAAACUAGAUUCCAACUCACUCAUUAUUGUCUUACUUGUAGCUAACCGAUCUAGGCUUUCUCAAGUUUGCUUCUCACCGAAGUAAAAGUGGACUCAUCCUCAUCCAUCAGUUCUUGAAAGAUCUCAUGCUCGUUCAGCUGUUCAGUUUCCAUUUCCACCCAGUCAAGUUGUUUCUUGUGUUCAUUUACUUCAGAACUUGCACUUACCAUUAGAUCUCUAUCUUCUUCCAAACACUUCAAUAACAUAUCUAGUUUUUCGAUAAAACUAUCCUCUCCAUUUCCCUCAAAAUUUCCGUCUAUAUUGUUGGCGGAACUUUUGUCUUGCUUCCGGGCUUCUCCUUCCGUGAAACAUAGGCAAGCAUCUUUCAUCGUCUCACGAAAAACAAAUUCCUGUAUCUCCUAUCUAAAGAGAUACUCAAUGUUGCAAGCAUCUAUCUCUUUCUUCCACUCAUCAAUAGUUUCCCCAAAUAAAACCAUAUACACAUUCUCCUUCACAAAAUAUUCCGUUAUUAUAAGUGACUUGUCAGGAACCUCAACCUCUUGGAGUUUUGUAAAUGUGUAGUUCGCAAUAUUCACAUCUCUGAUGGUCUCAUCAAAGACAGCACGAGAAACCUCUUCUGUUAUAAGCUUGUCAAUUCUAUAGUUUCUGUUUUCAACUGAUUUUGGGGUAGGAAAAGCCAAAUCAAUCUAGAACAAUAAAUUUAUAUUUUUGGGGAGAUGGAGUACCUCACUAGUUUAUUGUGUGCGGUGCGGUGUAUCUGAAAUUCGGGGGAGGUGAGAAGGGGAGAGAGAGUGGUAACAAUGGUGAAAGGUCAAAACCAAGAGGGGUGUCCUUCAAAAUGGGUUUCACGCCUGCAAAAUAAUGAAAUAGAGAUUAGAGGUGAAGCCGGAGUAUCUCGGCGUUCACACUCCGACGCUCAAGUUAGCAAACUCAAGCUUUUAUGGCAAAGAGAGCUGGCUAGCACUCUGUAAAUUAAGGUUUAAGGUUGAAGAAAACCAAUUUUUUGAAGUGUGAGUGUUAAUGGUGAGUGAGAGCCUGAUGGAGAAUGAAACCUAUGCGCCUUUAUAUAUGGAGUACCUCAGCUGCCACGUGGCGUACCCUUUUUUGCUAACGUCCUUUUACCUCUUUAUAAUUUUUUGGGCCGUUAUUUGCAUGUUCGCGGCGUAUCUCAUCUUUUGGAAACAUGGCGCGUGCUGGAGAAUGGUCCAGGGUACUUCUGCAGUAGUUGUCGGGUAGGCGGCUAGGGACCACUAUCCUUGGGACAGUGUCCUUCACUUUUGGCAGAGGUAGCAGGCGGCUGUCCCUCCUUUUUGCACGUCGUUUUUUAUUCCUAAUUCUGACAAAAUCGAAUAAUAUCUUUUAGGAGGCGGAGACGUUUCUCAUGGUAGAUAUUUUCGGAGGAUUCUCUUGCAUCCGUUUUGCCGGGUACCUUGAAUUACGUGGGGUAUCUCCUAUUACGCGGGGUACCCCUAUUUGUAUGGGGUACCUCUAUUUGCAUGGGAUACCUCAUAUUAUAUGGGGUACCUCUAUUUGUGUGGGAUACCUCUAAUUGUGCAGGGUACCUCUAUUUAUACGGGGUUCUUCAAGUCAUAUCGGGCAUCUCGGAUUGUGCAGGGUACCUCCAAUUGUGCUGAAAUCAUUCCAUUAGUUGACACGUGGCGUUCUGCUAUCUUUCUUAUUUUUCCCCCAAACAGUUUCCAAUUUUCUCAUUCCAAUACUUGCAAAUUUCCCGGUACAGGACUGAGCAUAUAUCCUCACUUAAAGAGCAUUCAUCUCGAAAAUGUUUUAAUUUCUUAUCCAGUGCAGAGCAAAACCCCUUAACUGCCUCACUGCAUACAGUAUAAUAUAUUUCCUCUCUCAUCUGAGCCUCAAACUUGUUACUUUCAACUUCCUCUUUCAACAUCCUUAUUUCAAUUUGUAGUUCUUCAUCGGCUGCAUCAGCGACUGACCCGUUAUUCAUUUUCUUCCAGACGCCAUCCAAAUUGUCAAUGUCCGAGUUCAUUUCUUUUCUCACAUCAGAUUUCAAUAGGUUUUUUGCUGCUGAGGAUUCGUCCCAUUGAUCACCUCCAUAUUCUCCAAAAGUCUCAACCAACCUGGCAUUGCAGUUCAUUAAAUUAUCCAAUCUUACAAUAACUUCUUGGAUUCUUCUUUUUAGGCUAACCGGAUCCUUCUCUCUUCUUAAGUUUGAACACUCUUUUUUCUGGAAGCAUUUCUCGCUUCAACCAUUUAACCUCUUCACUUUUUCUUCGAAUUAUAAACUCGUGACUCUUUAUGAUCUUAGCAACAGAUUGACCAACACCCUCUUCUGAUUCUACUUCUUCAACCUUUGAGGAAAAAUUCGCACAACUGUCUCCUUCUGAUAAAGAUCUUCGCAGCCUCGGAGGAAUAUUCCUCUCAAUAUUAGUUUUGGUUGAAGAUUUUAAAUUCUCAUUCCCUUUUGCAGCUUUCAGUUGAGCCUCGUUCUGAUUGAUAAAGCUCUCAAGCUCAUUACGCAAGCACGUAACCUCCGUCAUCAAAUCUGACAAAUGCUCACUCAAGCUCAUGAAAACUUGCUUCUCUUGCUUCCUCAUUUCUAUCUCAAAGUUCUCCUUAAAAUCGUUAACAAAACCAUUAAUCAAUGUACAAAUUGCAUCCUUCUCAAUAGUCCACCUCCAUUGCUGCUCCUGGGGCCCCAGCUCAGACAAAAAAAUCGCAUUCUGCAUUUUCCCAAAAGCCUGAUGCAAAGUCUCUUUCAAAAUAUUAAUAUCAGAACCCAUCUGCUCAAUCUUUUUGUGAUCAAUACCGCCAUUCCUUUCCUCAUCAAUAACUUCAUGCUCGAUAUGCAAGACUUGUUGAUCAACUGAAUGCAUCAACUCAGAAAUUUCACUAUCUCUAUCCUCAUCCCGACUUCCAGGACUGCUCAUACUGAGCUCAGCGACACCAUCACUCUUUGUUCUUUCAAUCUCCACGUUAGCAUUUUGCAAAGCAACCAAUUCUUUUUCCUUCGCAUCCAAUGCUUGCCUAAGCUUCAACUCAUUUUCGAACCUCUCCGUCAAUUCCUUAUCCUUUUCGCGGAAAGCCAUUUCUGAAUCCUGAAGGCGACACGGGAGACGGUCUUUAAUUUCUUCCAAGUCUGCCAGGACUUUUUCAUGGCAGCUUUCAAACAUGUUGUUGUCUGCAUCCUCCUGGACAAAUUUCAUGCACCCUUCUAGCUGAAUUACUGCGAGUUCAUAGAAUUUCGAUAUCUCAUUCAAGCGCUGAAUGACGCCAUCUUUGGACUUUACUUUGCCGUGUGCUCUGUCCAUGACGCCAUCAUUGUUGCAUCUGUUAAAGAAAUUCUUAGUGUGCCUCAAGCAAUCCAAAAAGACCAGCCAUUUUUUUUUUCUUUUUGUUUGGCUCAUCUAUUGAAAAUGAAGCAAUAGAAAUGUGAAUGAGAUCUUCUAUUUUUAUGUUUCCUUGAAAAUUGGUGAUCUAAUUGACUUAUUCUAACUUGUUACUUGUUACACAUAUGUUGAAAAUGUGACCAAAAUUAUUCCUAUAUUUCAUUUAAAUACUAAUGCAUAUUACCAUUUAUGCAAAGAUAAUAAGGAAUUGACAAUUUUAGGGAACUCACGUUAAUUUUUUACCUUUUUUUAAUAGAAUUUUUUAUCAUUAAAUCAAAUAGAUUUGUUAUAAAUUUGAAGGUUAUGAGACCUUUAUUACUUGAAAUGACUGGUUUGUCUUUCGUUUCCUUCGAGAGUCCGAAAAGUUCUAAACGUUCAACGUUCAAACCAAUAUUUUUUUUUUAUUUUAACCACGAGGUAUCCUGGGGAGGGUCCCAACUAUGGGAGAUACUUUUAAGUCCGUACCAUAACUCAGACUAGAAGUCCCCGCUCGAAUAGAGAGGCACAAAUUCUCCCAAGAAAAGCGAUUUUUCUGCGACUCAAACUGGGAAGCAAACCCAAUCAAACCACUUAAGGGUGACUCCAUUGCCAGUGGAGCCAACACUUUAUUGGUAACGCUCAAGCUAAUAUAGACGGUUAAGAUGUUCUCCUCAAUUAAUUUAAAAGGAAAAUUACAGAUAAUAUGUAUGGAUUGAUGAAGGAGCAAAGGAACAUUAAAAAGGUGUAAUUAACAUUGCCAACGAACGUGCCCAACAUUAAUUUAUUAGUUGUUUCAAAUAAAGCAUCCACUUGGCAUGCUAUAAUUGGUUGUUUCCUACAGCAGCCACUACAGAUCUCAUUAAGCGCCAGAAUCUAACUCAGCGGUAGGGCGCGAACCAUCACUGCCCUUGGCAGCGCGUGAGGCUCUUUCUCUCAGCCACUCCACCACCUCUCCAGAAACCAACUCAACGUUCUGCCCAGGCUCGCCAAUCAGUUGAUGCCACGUGACUGGAUAAAUCCUCAGUGUCUUAUCCUUACUGGCUGCAUGUUUAUACAACUCUUCAACGCAGGUGGGAUCGCAAACGACGUCGUCUUCCUCUUGGGGCUCAUUGAGCAUUUUUAUACUCAAAUCCCUUGCAAAUCCCUCGACACGCGCAGCAACUCCAGUACGGUCGCCGCACACGACCUUGGCACCGAGCUCCUGGGGCUCGACAACGCCAGCUUCCUCUUCCACUCCUCCUUGAAGGAGACCAUCGGGAGAGAACCGUGGGUAGGACCCACGCGCUAGGAAGGCACCAGCCAUACGACUGUGAAGAGAAGGUGCUCGAAGGGCCACAGAGGCUUGAAUUUCUGGCUAAUCCCGCACAUGGCCCCAUCCAAAAUCAAUCCAUCCCACGCGCCCUUCUGACGGAGCGUGAUUAAAGAGCUAUGGCCCCACCCAAGGACUCGAAAUACAAAAACGCGGGCAAAUCCAGUGCGUGUCUCAGAAUGACGUAUCACAUGUUAUAUUAAUUAUUUGAGAUGAAAUUUAAAAUAAAUAAAUUUAGUAUGCUUGCUUUUGCAUAAAACCUUCUUUUUUUGUAGGGUUAUUUUGGAUCUAAUAAUUUAAUUUACAAAUAUAUUUUUAUUUUAUCAAUAAUAACAUUUAAUUUGCAACUGCUGGGGAUCUCUACUCCCUAGUGUUGGCUCGAGGAGACCUUGGCAACAACCAUAGCAACGAAUAUAUGACAAGUUUUAUCGCAAACAAUUACUUGCUAAUUGAUUUCUUCGCACUUGAUGUACAAUACAUAUCAUAUUAUAUCAAUUUUAAAGCUAUAUACUGAUAAUUCUAACAUAAUCAAAUGCAUAUAGGAGCAAUUAAUUGACAAUCAUCACACCAAUUAGAAAAGUUAAACUUGUGUAAGAAAUUUGCUGAGUAUCAGUAACAUAGUAGCAAUAUGGCAAAGUUAUGGUGAGACAUCUGUGACAAAAAAUAAGUCAAUAUUCAAUUAUUAAAUAUAAAUUAUCAUUAUAUUUUAUUUUUUUGAGGAAAUUAUUAUAUUUGGUAUUGAGGUGUUGUGAUAAAAAAAUGAUAAAGUAUGGUAAUAUGUAAUAAUUUUAAAAGUUAUUAUGACUUUUUAUUGUAUAAAUAAAAUAAACUUAAUUUUUAGAUUAUAGCAGCAAGUAUUUAUUAAUUUUUAGAUUAUAGCAGCAAGUAUUUAUUAAGCACAUUAGUGUUGGAAUUUAAAAGCUAUACUUUCCAAAAAUAAUUAAGCAGGGUGAAUACCUAAAACAAGUCUAACAUAAUUUUUUUUAUUUCUAGAAAAUAAAAAAUGCAUGUGAUAUGUAAUUUGUGAGGAUUUGAAUAUACAGAAGCAGAGGAAACAAAAGAAUUUUAAAAAAGCGAAUUGCUUUAUGAAGUAAUUUUUCUGCAUCCUUUAUUCAAACAGCUUGAGGCUUUUUAUAAGAGCCAAUUGGAAACACGCAAUCUACGCUAGUAACUGCCCUUGGAACAACAAAAGACACCCUAGACAAUAACACAUGAAAUACGAGAAAUAAUAGGAAAUAUGGGUAAUAAUAUUGCACACAUAGUUGGUAGACCACGUGUCAAGCACCCAUUUAUUUCAAAGCACUUAUUAUUAAGUCCUAGACUCCUCCUCUUAAGCAUGGCUAUCAGGUACGUGGGAAGUUUGUCAAAUGCAUGGGUUCUUGCUCGUCUUUGGGAGACAUAUCAGCAUGCUUGGAAAGAGAUACACGCAAGACAAUCAACACAAGAUUUGCUUUAUUUCUAGGAUGCAUCGGCAUGCACUCUACUUAUAGAACUCCAUAACCCAGAGAUUACCAAUAGCAAGUUCACAACUGAUUCCACCAAAACCAGCGCCAGUAGCCAGGGUCAUGAAUUCAUGCCUUGUUCUCUCCUUUCCACCGGGACUUUGAAUCAUCAUAAGCACGUCAAAAUGGGAAUUUGAUUUUGAUUCAAUGCUUGUAUUAGGAACUUCUGGAAGCAUUGACUCCACAACGAUUACCUUUCCAUCUUCUGGGAUGCUUUUGUAGCAAUUCUUCAACAACUUCAAGCAAUGUUCAUCAUUCCAAUCGUGCAGUAUCCACUAUAUAAAUUCUCAUAUUAAUCAAACUAUUGUUUGUAAAAAUUUAAUUUAAGGAACUCCUCAUAAUAUGUCCGCAAAUUAAAUUAAAAACUUACCUUCAUAAUAAUGGCAUCACCUUUUGGAACACUUUGGAACAUAUCACCCCCUACAUGCUCAAUACCUAUAAAAUAUUAUACAAUUAAGAAAUCAGACAAUUAGAAUUAUGCCACUCUAUUGUCAUUAGCAAGAUGUAUUACGUCAAGAACUGUUUGCUCAAACUUAAUUAUGCCAAUGUUAUGGAAGUUCCUGAUAUACUGGCACACACAACAGAAGAAUUAUACACACACAUAUAUGAGAGCAGGUUCAAGGGAUUUUUUUUAAUACAAUUUUACAUAUAAAUUUCUAACAAUUAGGUUAAAGUUUAUCACAUGGUUAAUAUUAAAACUGCAUGCAGUUUUAUAAUUCUAAAAAUUAAUUAACUAGACGCAAGUCCUUACGUCAAACAAUAAACGUGAAACACGAUGCUCUUUCCUCUCUCUUAUCAUCUAAAUUUAUUUAAACUCAAUAAUUUCAUUCAAAGAUUGAAAUUACACUUCAUUUCGGAGGAAGAUCUUCCAAUCAAAUUACAGGCAACUUAAAAUUAAAAGCUGCCUUAGCUAACACGAGUAUGUGUGUUGCAGGCUCUUCGGAUGAACUGAAUUCUAAAUCAGCAUUGUCCUUAAUUUCCUCUUGAAUGUCCAACAACACUUAAAAGAUUUCCUUUGCUUGACAUCAUGUUUAGGACAUUCAUAUAUUUCUCUUUUUAACUUAUGUGCUCAUCUCCUUCAAUCCUCCCUCUACUCAUUAUAAAACAUUUUUUUUUCCGAUGGCUAUUGGAUGGAUGUUACUACUACAAAUUAAAAUAUAGUACUUCCCUAGUUCUCUGCAUGUUUACUUUAGUUAUCCAUUAAAUCGAACAGUGAUUAGAUGACUAUGCUUUGUUAAUCUUUAAAAAAAUAUAUGUAGAAACGAUUGCCAACAUUUUUUUCCAAUAUUUACAUUUGGUUUAAUAAACAAAUUUAUCUAGAUAACAUCUUUUUUUAUGGCUACAUGGAUGUGUACCUUAGUUCACUGGUAAUUUAGAGGGAGAAAUAAAGGGUAAUACAAAGGUGAAAGAAAAGUAUUUUACUUUUACUAUUAAAUUUAAUAAUAUGACACCUACGCGAAUUAAUUAGUUUUUUAAAAUAACAAAAUUACACGUGAGCUUUAAUCUUAAUCCUUGGAUGAACUCUAUUAGAAAGAAAUUUGUUUCUAAAAGUAUCUUUUUUAAACUUGCCCCCAAAAUAAGGAAUCUUCUACAAAAAUAAAAAAGAAAACAAACAUUCUGAGUAUUAUCCUUAGUUUAUCCUUUAUUUUAAAUACAAAUUUUCUAAAUUUAGCAAGCAACAAACACUAUUUUCCUCCAAAAAAAUAAAUACAAAAUUUCUAAAUUUAGCAAGCAACAAACACUAUUUUCCUCCAAUUUCUAGCAUCCACCUUUGAAAAAAAUUAAAUCCAUCUAAUUUAUCUCCAAUUUCAAUUUAUUUUGGGUUAAAUUGUAAUUUUGAGGGGUAAAAAGGUCAUUCCAUUAAAUUCAGUAACGGAAAUUAGACGGAAGUGGACGAAUGCAACAAAAAGCAAACUUCAGGUAGCGCGCUGAAAAAAAAUGUGUUUGUGUAUUUUUUAAAAAGACAAAACAAACAGGUGGAUGAUUGUAAAUUUCCCAAGUCUUUUUGGACUCUGAAGGCAUUUGCAAUUACAUGAAGGUGUUAAACACAGAAGAAAUUCAAAAACAUUAAUUAAACACUGCUUCUUAUGAUUCAGCGGAAAAUAUUGGUCACAAAGACCAACUGGAGUUGAUAGUGCUCACCAUCAAUCAGUUGUUGAUGGGUAGUAACAACCUUUAAUUGCAAUCAGUGAUAUUGAGAUUAUGGGACUUUUGUCGUUUCAAUUGCAAUCCCAAAUGGGACCUAACCAUUGGCUAUAUUAUUAUCAUCGCUUGCCAAACCCAAAAGCAAAGCUGCAAAGGGCUUGCUGACUUCAAAGAAAAAGAAUUGUUUGUUCAGGCCAUAUUAGACCAUUUGCUUCGUUGUGUGAUGGCUGUAUUUUAAGACCAACAAAAUUAUAUACAUAUAAAUGUAUAGUCUUAUAUAUAUAUAAAGAGAGAGAGAGCUUUUAAUGAGGAACUCCUCAUUUUAUUAAAAUAAGUAUCAAAUUAAUAAAUAAGAAAAAUACAUAUUCAGAAUGUUUUAUCUUAUAAUAUAUUAAAGUUUAUAUUUUUCUAAUUUUUAAAGCUUAAGAGGGACUUCAGCCCUCUGAACCAUUAUUUUUUUUAAGUGUGCCCCGAGCACCUUCUGAAUGAGUUAAAUAAAAAGCAUUUAGAAAUAUUUUUUAAAUAAUAAAACACUUGUAGUCCAAUGGUAUAUGUGUUACUUAGUGGUUUUAGAGACUUGAUUCGAAUCCCAAUAAUUUUUUUGAAUGUGUGCAUGGUCCUCAAUUUUUUUCACGUUCAAUAUAAAAUUAAUUGAAGAAAAAAUGUUGGCCUAGUUAGAGGUAGGUUAUAGGUAGGUAGGCUUUUAAGAAAAGAGUAAAACUUUAUUGGCAGGACGCAAUUAGAAAACAUGGGUCCGAAACAUUUAUUGAAAACUAAUUUAAGAGAAAAUGUUGGCUUAGUUAGAAGUAGGUAACAAAUAGGUACGAUUUCAAGAAACAAGUAAUACUUUAUUUACGAGAUCCGAUUAGAAAACAUGGGUUUGAAAUACUAAAAAGAGUAUUUUUGUAUAAAAAUUUGAGUGUUAGCGAAAAUCGCCUAUCGUGACUAGUGUCUUGGUCCUUAAUUUUUUUUUUCACGUUCAAUAUAAAAACUAAUCGAAAAGAAAAUGUUGGCCUAGUUAGACAUAGGUAACAAUUAAGGUUCUAAAAAAGGAGUAAUACUUUAUUUGCAGGACCUGAUUAGAAACACAUGCCGAAACAUUUAUUUAAAAAGUAUUUUUAUAUAAAAAUUUAAGGAGUGCUAGCAACAGUUGUCCUUACAGAUGACUGAGACAGUCAUUACCAAUCCCUCUCCAAUUUAAGUGUUUGGUCCAGCCUCCGAAGAGAACCCAUGUGUGAUUAUGUACUAUGGGUGCAUUGGUACAUUGUUAUUAUAUUGUAUGUUUUGCAUUAUUUUAAUGCAAGCAUAAUGUAUUAUGUUGUAUUGCAUUAACACUGUAUUAUAUUAAUAUUGUGCAACAUUUAGUGCUAUUUGUCCUAUAUUAAUUUUUAAUUAUACUAUGUUUGGUACUGCAUUGCAUUGCAUUGCACUAUAUUUUUUUGGUUAUCAUAAAAAUUAUAUUUUUAGAAAAUAAAUAUUUACUUUUUGAUAACUUUGUCAAAAAUAUUUUAAUAAACUUUUCGAUGAUAUAUCUUUUGAAAUAAAAAUCCAAGUGAAUAAAAUAGAUAACUUAAAAAAUAUCCUAACAUAAAUAAAUAAUUAAAACAUAUAAGCUUUGUUUUUAAAAAAAGACAUAAUAGAGAUCAUUAAUACAAAAGUUUGCACGUACUAUAACAUAGUCACAAAUAAAAGGAGUUGCAUUUUUAAAAAGGGUUGCUUUGUCUCAUACAUCAAAUCAAGAUAAAUAAUUGUGCACAGAUAGAGACAAACACAACUUUCACUCAAUCCUUAGAUAGGGUGUAUUUUUUCCCAACUAUCCAAAUGUUAGUUAAUUUGUGACCACUGCUCAUCCUCGCAAUCAAGAAUUUCUUCUAUUACAUGUCUAAGAAAAAAUGUUAUUAAAUGGACAACAAAAGAACCACAACAACAUCAUUUCUAAGCAAUGUACAAAACAAAUGGACUUAUGUACCAAGCUUGGCCUACCAUGCAUGUAUGUUAUGCAAAAUAUUGCACAAUAUGCAAAAAUGUGGUUGCAUGUGUGGAAAUUUAACCACAUAGGUAGAAUAGGUGCAAUUUUACUAAGUUGGACGAACAUGCCCCAUAAGCUAUCCAGAUGUAAUGGGAUGCUGAGAUGGGUGAUGGGAGAAUGCAAAAUGGAAGCUGAUGCCAAGCAGUUGUCAAUGUAGAGUUUAUGUCAACUUAGGAGUGCUUACAAGUUCCAAAGAUGAACCAACAUAAUUUUAGUUCUAAACACGUACUGAUGUUAAAAGAAACAUGUGAGAUGAAGUGCCUCGAGAUGCUGUAGAUGUAGUGGGAUCCCAAUCAAAUGCAUGAUUUUUUGGGAAAAAACCUUCUUACAAUAAGACCACUGAAAAACUUCGAUCAUAAUAUUAUCACCAUCAUUAUUUUCCACAUUUGUGGAAUGUGAGAGUUGAUUAUGAUAAUUUUUUUUUAUCUCUGUAUCAUGUGACUGAGAUGUUGGAACAACUUUAACCAUCUUUCAGAUACAACUCAAAGAUCAGAAAAUACAAAUUGUUCGUGAAAAAAUCUGGUCGACUAUUGCGUGAAUAGGUGCCCUCGCCAACACUUAAAUUGUUAUAGAGGAGAUGGUUUAACACUACAACUUUACUGAAUUAGUAGUUGUAGGCAAAUGAACAUGCAUGAAAACCAUGUGCGAACAAGGUGGAUAAAAAAGCCCAUCUGGCCUAAGCCCGCAAGCUUUUGGCCCAUCCUUCUACGCGAGGAAUUAGAUAAGAGCUUAAGAGAAAAUGCCUGGACUAGGCCCAACACUCUAUUUUUUUUUACAAAAUAAAUUUAUAAAUUAGAAUAAUCUAUUAAAAUUUAAAACUAAUAAAAAAAGAAAACUUAAAUUCUUAAUUCAUAAAUCAAUAACGCUUCACAAAACCUAAAAUUAUAAUAUUAAACUCUCUCUUAAUCGUUAAUCAAUAACGAUUCACAAGAUGAUGUUUAAAUUAGAAAAUGCAGUAUUAAAAAAAUUAAAUCUUUAGCAUUUAUUUGCUUAAUUUUCUUCAUUUAUUAUUUUAUUUUAAAAUAUUCAAUUUCUUUAAUUCAUUAUUAAUUAUAAUAACUUGUUAAUUAUUAACUCAUUUCAAAUUUACAACAAUUAAAAAAAUAAAAAAAUAAGUGAAAGUCCAAGUCUGGCCCUUAUGCUUCUACUAAAAUGGGCUUGGGCUUGGAAAAGCUCGGCCUAAGCCCACAUUUUGUCAUCCCUAUGUUGAUAUUAUGUAGGAUUGUCAACUUCAAAUUAUUAAUAUUAGGAGUUGCAAAAUAAAAAAACGAAUCGAAUUUGAAUCAACUUAAUAAACGAAUUGGGUCAAAAUUUGAUGGAUUCGAAUUCGAUUUAUUUAAUAAGUAAAUCGUAAUUUUAUAAUUUUAAUUCAAUUUGUUUAUUAAAUGAAUCAAAUAAUCAUUCACAAUUCAUUUAAUUCAUUUAUGCAGAAUUAUUAUUUUUGUCUUGUUGUUACAUCUUAUAAUUACAAAUAAAAAUUUAAUGGUAAAUAAAUAAUUGAAUCAAACGGAUAAUAAAUGAAUAGAGUCAUAUUCGAUUGAUUUAUAAGCAGUUUAUUAAAAGAAUGAAUAAAUCAAUGAUCAUAAACCCAGAUUCAAUUCGUUUAUUUAGCAAAUUGAAUCAAAUUCAUUUAUUUAUUAAACAAAUUAAUAUUUUAAACUCAAAUCCAUUUAAUUGGAAUCAAGUCGAAUAGAAUCGAAUAAAUAAAUCUUCGUCCAAAUUGCCACCCCUUAUUAAUAUGCCUACAAUUAGGGCUGGGCAAAAUCGGAUUCGGAUCGGGUUCAGAUCAACCCGAUCGGAUUUCGGGUUGAUCGGGUCGAACAAAAACUCAUCCGAAUUCAACCCAAAUUGACAACCCGACCCGAUCCGAUCCGAAUUAUAUUCGGAUCGGAUCGGAUCGGAUCAAAAAAUCGGGUUUAAUUCGGUUCGGAUCGGGUUCGGUUAACAAUUCCUAAUCAAUGAUUUAACAUAUGUUAUAUAAUUUAUUACACAUUACAACUGUUCGUAUUUGAACUAAACUCAAAAAUCCAAACUCAAAACAAAAAUUCGACUGCCGCUUGCUGGAUUUCGAAUGGAACUUGGAGGAGAAACUUGGUGAUGAAGUGUGUGGAGGCGUGGAGACAGCAGAUCGGUAGGCGGUAGCAGCAGAUCUGGUCGCAGUCCUCGCGGGGCAGUAGAUCGACUGGUGGUUGGCGGCGGCGGUGAUUGUGGCAAGCAUGUGUUGGCUGCGGCUGUGUGUGUGUGUGUGUGUUUCUACUUGGCGUUGGCGAUGUUGAGUGUUGACUUGAGGGUGGGGCAGUGACCCAUGAGGCGUGAGGGAGGGGAGCAAAGGUUGGUGUGUGUCGUGUGGUCUCUCGUUGAGGCUUGAGGGGGAGGCCGUGAGGCGUGAGGGAGGGGAGUGAGGCUGCUGGGUGUGGCUGGGUGCGUUGAGUGUGUGGUCUACUGUUUUUGUGCCUCUAUCUCUACUGUUUUUGUGCCUCUAUCUCUACUGGUUUUGUGCCUCCAUCUCUGUGAUGUGUGCCGUAUACGUGUGUGGUGUGUGAGGCUGUGUAGCGUGUGGUCUGUAGUCCUGUGCUCUGUGGCGUCACUGGUGCUUGACUGCUUGUUGCUGGAUGCGUGUGUGCUGUAAUCAGUGAGGGUCGUUUACUUUCUUCUUUAAGCCAACCUGUUCAGGUUGUCGGAUCGGAUCGGAUUUCACCCGAUCCGAUUAUAAUCCGAUCGGGUUGGCAACAUUUCAUCCGAUCGGGCAUUAUAGUCAAUCCGAUCCGAUUUAUUUCGAAUCGGAUCGGGUCGGAUCGGGUCGGAUCGGGUCGGAUCGGUUAUUUUGCCCACCCCUACCUACAAUACCAAAUGGACGGAAGAUGCCAUAAAAAUCUUUAUGGACUCUUAAAGCAUUUGCUAUCGACUGACGGUGUUAAACACAUAAGAAAUUCAAGAAAAUUAAUUAAACAUGGCUUCAUAUCAUUCAGCAGGAAAUACUGAUAAGCCAGACCCAGCUGGAGCUAAUGUACUGAUCACCCAUCAGCCAAUUGGUGGUGGGUACUAACAAGCUUUAAUUGCAAGCAGUGAUUGAACGACUUCUGGGGUUUCAAUUAUGAUACCGAACUGGAACUUGGUUGGAUCUCGCUCAUGGCUUUGACCAAAAGCAAAGGGCUCCUGGACAUUAAACAAAAAGAAUUGUUUUUUCAGAUCUUAACAGGCCAUUUGCUUCGUUGUGUUGAAGGCCCUGUUUCAAAGCCAGAGACAAAAUCAAUAAAUCAUGAGCAGUAAUAUAUAUAUAUAUAUCUAUAGAGAGAGAGAGAGAGAGAGAGAGUCUCCUUUUCUAACGAGAACAUUUUCACUUUAUUAAAGUUAAGAUGUCACUAAAAUAUAAAAAAUAUAAAUUUUAACACAUUAAAAACUUUAUUUUUUUUUGUUAGUAUAUUAAAAUUUAUUUAUUUAUUUAUCUUUUUUUGACAUCCACACCUUAAUAAAGUGAGGAUGCCCUUACAAUAUAUAUAUAUAUAAUCUUUUAAUCUUUUAACUUAAUUCCCGCAUUAAAAGCUAACUCUUGCAUAAUUACCCUAAAGAAUCAGCUUAACAGAAGUACCAAUUUGUGAUAGUGUACUAUGUGUCGUACGUUUAUGCUACUGGAGCCACAUUCAAUUUGUGAUUGGUCCUCAAUUUUUUUCACGUUCAGUAUAAAAACUAAUUGAAGAGAAAUCUAGGCCUAGUUUUUUUUUUUUUUUUUGCUUAAAGGUAGGUAGGUUUUAGGAAAAGGGGUCCUCUUAAUAAUAUACAGCGCGCUGUAUGAGAUACAAUGGAAGUUCAGUCUUUGUUUUUAAUAAAUUAUAAUUUUGAGUAUGUUUCAAUAUAUAUUUUUAUGUUGAGAGGGUUUUUGAUAGUCUCCUAAAUUAAAUGAAGUUUUUAAUAUUUAGUUAAAAGAUGAGGUAGCCACGUGAUAAUUACGUUGAUAUCUGCCAGUUAUGCGGCUAUACCAUUUGCUUCGGUGACCAUUUUAUGCCUAAAAUCAUCACCCAGUCGUUAUAUUAUUUUUUAUUUUGACACUAUAAAUCUAUAAAUAUUUUGUAAUAUAAAAAUUAGUGAAACCUCUUUGAUUUUUUUCGUUUUGGGAGUUUAUGUCUCUUUGAUCAAUUAUAUGAUGGUGCAGUGCAGUCUACACAUAUAGACCAAUAACAUAUCAAUUUUUUUUCUAAGCAUUUAGAAGAAAUCAACUCCAAAAUGCACCAUACAGGAAUUCAAAUUGUAUCCAUCAAUAUCGAUAUGAGAAUUAAAAUAGUUUAUCAUUCUAAAGCUCGGGUAGUUUUCAAACAAUUAUAUUAUUUGAUAGUGCCAAGUAUCGUAAUUGUCCAUAAAAUAUUGUUGUUUUUAAUAUUAUUUGUACUAAUGACUCAUAUAAUUAAUAAUAUGAUUUAAUUCUUGAUAUGGACAAAUAUAAGGUAACAAUAUCUAAUUAAAAAUAUUUCAUACAAAUUUCUAUCAAAUUACCUUUUUAUGGAUUCAUUUACUCACUAAUUUGAAGUCACAAAAAUUUCUUUGAGUUGUUAUCGGAGCUUAUACAUGAUUACAUUUAACUUUAAUACUUGAUGAUAUUGUUUUAUUACUAGUAUUAUGAUUGAUGAUACUAUAACUCUUAACAUCUAUUAUUAACAUUGUUAAUAAGUAUAUUUAUUAGAUAGUACUAUUAUUAUUAUUUAUAAACAGAACACAUAUAUGAUAAUUUUAUCAGGCCUCCGAACUCGAACUCAAAAUAUUUUUUAACUCAAAUUUUAUUUUAAUUUAACCAAAUAAUAAAAAAAAAACAAGACCCUAGAUCUAAACUCACGACCUCUCUCAAAGCACUAGACUCUACCCAUCGUCACCUCCAAGUUCCACACGAAGCUUCCUUUCCUGGCCGCGUCCAAAAGACCAAGCUUUGCCAUCAACACCAAAACACCAAGUUUUACAAACUUUACCGUCAGUCUGUGUGCGCUCCACUGAAAUUGUAUGGCACAUUGGCCACUGGGUAGAAGAAAACAUGUUAAGGAAAAAAAAAUUCUCGUAAGAUCCAACUAGCUAUAAAAUGCAAGAAAGCAUCAAAUGCAGCAUAUUAUUUAUUUGCAUACCUUUCAAAUAUUCCUUUUUUUCACCUCUUGGUUAUUGACACCGACAACACCUGGAUAUUCAAUAACAUGAAGCACCGAAAACGCAUCUUCAGCUCUUUCACCUUCAAAUUCAAAUGGUGAUUUGUUGGGACAAGAAAUCCUUUGGUGAAAACCAGCACCUAUAUCCAAGAAUGUUCAUGUUGUAUCACAAAAAAUCAAUAACAAAAUUAUGCAGAAGCGUACCUGAAUCCAUAACAUUGAAUUGUUCUUUAGGGUUGUGUGGUUGGCCUUCCAAAUCUACACGUUCUCCUAGAGAAUCCUUUAAGUUUUCUCAAGGCUAUCUUUCUGAUGAUGAGAUUUCAGAAGGAAUAUAAAAAUACGUGUGACUUGAGAACCAUAACCACUUACAUAGACAAUAUUUUUCCUGUUAUCUCUACAUAUUAAAGGCCCACAUCCUAUUAGAUAUAUUAAAGUCCAUAACACCGAAAACUUAAAUAAAUCACUUUUUAUUGGGUUUAACUUUAUAUGACAAUCUGUAACACAUAAUUAUUCACAUAUAGGCCCAAUAUUGGAUUAAGGAUCCAACAAUAUUGGAUUAAAAAUCCAACAAUCUCCCACUUGUGCUAUAUGUGUAACCUUAUAAUUAAUCUUUGCAAAAAUAACCGUAUGAGCUCAACCUUACUUUCAUUACCCAAAUGUAUCUAUAACCAAUCUGGUCUAUCAAUCAUACUAACAUAGGAUCAAAGCGACCUUCGUUACAAUUAUCAUAACUUGAGCCAUCAAUCGUCACUAUGUCAAUACAACUGAAUGACAUGGAUCAUGAUGUGGAUGCGUAGCAUGGAAAUUUCAUGCAAUGUGAUAUCAACAUAAGCAUUUCUGACUGGUCCACCUAAAACCUUAGUGAAAUCAAACCAUACCAAAAUCAGAGUGUGAAUACACCAAAACUUUAUUUCUGCAGAAAAUAACCUAAAUAUCCAUAAACCAAAAUAACUGAAAAAUGUCUAUAUUACACGAGUAUCUAAAAUCAAAAACUCCCACUAAAACUGAAUAUCUUUCAAUGACAUGACACCCAUAUGAGCAGUGUGCUCAUGAAACAUUUUGGGUGACAAUCCCUUAGUAAGCGGAUUUGCAAUCAUGGAGUUUGUGUCGAUGUGGUCAGUAGACAAUUGUCCACUCUAAACUCUUUCUUUAACAAUUAGGAAGUUGAUGUCCAUAUACUUCGACUUCGCCGAGCUCCUAUUAUUAUUAGAAUCACUACUGAUUUAUUGUCACAAAAUAACUUGAGUGGUCUGUUAACACCAUCUACUAUGCUCAGCCCCGUGACAAAAUUCCACAGCCAUAUUCUAUGAUUAGAUGGCUCAUAACAUGUUAUAAACUCUACUGCCAUCGUAGAAAAUGCUAUAAGAGACUGUUUAGCAUUUUUCCAAGAGACAGCACCCCCAGCUAGUAGAUAGAUGUAACCCAAAGUGGAUUUCAUACUAUCUUGACAUCCAGCAAAAUCAGAGUCGGGAUACUCAACGAUCUCAAGCUUAUUCGACCUCCGAUAAGUGAGCAUGUAGUCUUUUGUUAUCUGUAAGUAUCGUAAGAAUCGUUUGGCUGCUUUUCAAUGGUCUAUUUAUGGAUUACUUAAAUAUCUGCCCAACAUCCCAAUAACGUACGUAAUAUCUGGUCACGUACAAACCUAAACAUUCAUCAGACUUCUUACUGCUGACGCAUAGGUAUCUUUUGCAUUUAUUUUUUCUCAAAAUCAUUAUUAGGGCACUGAUUGAGACUAAAUUUGUCUCCCUUAGCAAUAAGUGUAUUACUUGGUCUGCAAUCUUGCAUGCCAUAUCUCUUGAGAACUGCUUCGAUAUAACUCUUUUGUGAUAAUCCUAGAAUACCGAAGGAGCGAUCCCGGUGUAUUUGUAUGCCUAAUACAAAAGAGGCGUCAACAAGAUCUUUCAUCUCUUGGUGUCAUGCAAUAAACCUAUAUUGCUGCUGGCAAGUAAAAUGUCAUCGACAUACAAAACCAGAAAAAUAUAUUUGCUCCCAUAGAACUUAUGGUAUAUGCAAUCAUCGACUAAAUUCAUCUCAAAACCGAAUGAGAUGAUCACUGGACAUCCCUAAACAUGCAAGUGCUUUAGACUAGGCUGAUUGUCUAUCCAAAGCUCGUAAGGAGUUUUGGCAGUUGCUUUAAUUAGAACUCUGUUAAGGAUAUAUGUUGCAGUCUCAAGCACUUCUCCUCAAAGUGAUUCUAGUAAGGUAGAAUGACAAAUCAUACUCCUCACCAUGUUCUUAAGCGCCCUGUUUCAUCUUUCAACAACACCAUUCAUAAUGGCGAACCCAGCAUAGUGUACUGUGAGAUGAUACCGUAUUCCUCUAGGAACUUAGCAAAUGGUCUUUGAAUCAUCAUAUCUGCCAUAAUAUUCGCUACCACGAUUAGAUCUGAUGCUUUUGAUUUUUUGUCGAGUUAGUUCUUAACUUCAGCCUUAAAAAUUUUGAACAUAUCCAAGGACUAUGACUUUUCAUGGAGGAGAUAUAUAUAGCCAUAUAUAGAAAAAUCGUCUAUAAACGUCAUUAAAUAUUGUUGACCAUUCCAAGCAGCCGUAGGAAAUGGCCCACGAAUGUCUAUAUAUAUGAGUUCUAAGACAUUCGAAAUCCUGUUAGCUUCAAAUUUCCUUUUAUUUAUUUGUUUCCCCUUGAUACAAUUAACAAAUAUGUCAAAACCUGUGAAAUCUAAGGGCCUGGGAAUUUCAUUUGACAUAAGUCUCUUUAUUCUCUGUAUGGAGAUAUGACUAAAUCUCUUGUACUAUAAUGCAACUGAAUUCUCAUUUGUUAAUUUUCUCUUUACACCUCGUGUACUUAAUUGCAAAGAUUCAUUAAAUGAAGCAAUUGUAUCAAGCAUAUAAAGAUUAUCAUCACCUGACAAAGAACCGGAACCAACCAGUUUUGAAAUAUGAAACAAACUAAAUUUUCCAUUCCCAAAUGAACAAAAAAAGCCAAAUUUGUCCAAACUAGAAAUAGAAAUCAAAUUCCGUCUAAAAGAUGGAACAAAAUAUGUUUCAUCAAGAUCCAAAUAAAAUCCAGUUUUUAACAAUAAUCUAAAAUUUCCAAUUGCUUCUACUUCAACUGUCUUGCAAUCGCCAACAUAGAUAUAUCUUUCACCAUCACUGGGUUUUCGGCAACUCAGGCAACCCUGCAUAGAUACAGUGAUGUGAGUGGUUGCACUAGAAUUUAUUCACCACGUGUGUCUAGAUAUCAAAGUUAAAUUAACCUCAGAACAAACCAAACUAAAAAGCAUACCUUUCUUAGCACUCCAUGCGGAUAAUUAGUGUAAUGCUUCUUCUUAUGCCCUUCAGCCCCAUAGAAGAAACAACUAGUACCUUCAUGAUCAUUUGGUUUCUUUUGUUAUUUCUUUUGAGGUGUUGUAUUUGCACAUUCCUUAUUUUUCUUCAUUUUCUUGCCCUUAGAGAUAGAGGCUAGGUGAGCACUUUUUGCCUUAUCUUUUUUCAGCAUAUCCUCUUCCUAAACAUAAUGUGAUAUGAGCUCAUUCAGAGACCAAGUCUCUUUCUGACAAUUAUAGCUCACCUUAAAUUAGUUAAACUGUGUUGGUAAGGAUAUUAAAAAAAAUGCACUAGUAAGUCCUCAAAGAGCUUAAGUUUAAGUGCUCUUAACUUAGAAUCAAGAUGAGACAUCUCCAUAAUGCACUCCUUGAUAUUGCCUUUACUCGUAUACCUCAUUGAAAUUAGGCUUGUCAAGAGCGUACCAAUUUCAGCCUUUUUGUUCUUGACAAACAUUUGUUCAAUUUAUUCAAGAAACUCUUUAGCAGUAGUUACUUUUUCAAUCAUUAAGCCCCUGAAUGCUUCUAGAAUGGUCUUCUACUUAUCAUGACACACAUGCGAUUUGAUCUCUCUCACCUUUCCAUUUAAUUUCCUUUUUAUCACCAGGGGUACUCUCACCCGUAAGAGGUGGGAAGAAUCAACCCUUAACGCAAGGUCAAGAUCCAUGACUACAAGAACUAUUUAGAGUUUCUUGUUCCAUGAUUUGAAGUUAGAGCCAUUUAACAUAGGAAUAUAAUUCACGUUGGCAGUAAUAUUAGUAGCAAACACAAUUGAACAAAAAAUAACAAACAAACAAAACAAGCUCAUAUUAGUCUUAAAACAAACAUAAAUUCAAAUAAAGAUAAUCCCCAUCUUAAGAUACUGGACACUCCAUUAAUAUUCAACUUGUAAUUGAUAUCUUGGUGUAGUAAUCAAACACUGAUAAUAAGAACAUGUCAAACAAUUAAUAUUCCUUUGGGCCGAUUUAUUGCUCACAUGCAAAACCGAAUAAUCAUCACAUGUUUAUUACCAUAGGUGCACAUGUAAUUCUAUUAAAUAUGGACAUUCCUUAGAGCCGAUCGAUAUUUAUAGAAAUUACAUAUACAAAAAUGUUUAUAUUCCAAAAUAAAUUAAUUCUUAUAAGAGACCUCACUUUGGCGACAUGUUGCUUCAAUUAAUUUAUCUCAAAAUAUAUAUAAACCUACCAAUAUUUAAAUUUAAAAUUGCACAAAAAUUACCCCAAAAAUUAAAAAAAUUCAGGUCAAAGUCAAAGUUUGACCAGUCAACUAUCAAAUGUUGAUCGGUUUAUACAGCUGAUCGCUUUGAAUUGGACUCGUUCAGGUUAGACCGAACCGGACCAAACCAGUCCUAAAUCAGAAACCCUAAUUCGUUUUCCCUUCUUCUUCUUUGGUCGCCUUCCCACCUUAACCUGCAGGCUGCGACUUAGUCGUCGCAACCUCUCCUUCCCGUCGCUAGGGGUGUUCGUGGAUUAGAUUUUAUGGAUUAGACAUCAAUCUAUAUCCGAUUCACGAUUUUACGGAUUAUAAAAUUUUAAUCCAAUCCAAUCCACGGAUUAAUGAAAUUCAAUCCAAAUCAAUCCAUACGUCUGCGGAUCGGAUGUAGAUUUGACCCAAUCCAUAUCCAAUCCAUCAUUUUACGGAUUGGUUUACGGGCUAAAAAAUUUUACUCAUGUCCUAUCCACGAACUAACUAAAUAAAAAAAUUAAUAUAAAAAUAAUUUUACUACCGAUCAAAUUCAAAAUUAAAUAAUAUUUAAAUUAAUUAAUUUUUUAAAUAAAGGUAAAAAAUACAUUCAAAGUUUCAAAAUAUAACACACCAAAAAGAAAAAAUCUCAUUUGUUUAGAUCAGUACAUGAAAAUUAAUUGCUAAGGAAGAUAUAUUUUUUAUUUAAUUAUUUUUAUUUUAUAUUAUUAUCAGAUAAGACAUAAUAUGGUGUUAAUGUAACUAUAUUUUAACUUAUUUAUUUAGUAGUAAGAAUAAUGUUAUAUUUACAAGUUUUUUUUUUGCGGAUUUGUGGAUUUUUGCGGAUUCAUUGUGAAGCCGAGAUUAGUUAUAAUCUGUUAUGGACAUGCUGAGGUGUCAUAUGAGCUGGCAUAAGUGGGAUUCAAGUCAAGAGUUGGUUAGUUAGUUAAAUAACAGACUGACUCAUUGCAAGUGGAAACACACGUGAGAAGCUUACAUAUAUAAGCUGUCUCUAAGCUAGUGAAACAUAUAGAGAAAACGGAGAGGAUUUACAGAGAGAAAACAUUCGAUAGGCUUUAAUCUGUAAUCGGUGACUCAGUUGUAAAUGAUCUUCUUGUUGUUCAAUAAAGCUUCUGCCCUUGCUGGUUUUACAGCCGUGGAUGUAGGUUCCUUUGUGGAGCUGAACCACGUUAGUUUCUUGGUGUGUUGAGUAGAUUUGAUUGCUUGGUUCUUUUGCUAUUCUUGUCUUAAUCUUGUUUCUGUAAACUCUGGUUUAGUGGGUUGCUUAAUUCUUGUUCAAAGUCAAAGAAGUAAACACGUUUGCCAUAACAUUCACAGUAGUAAAUCCAUAUCCAAUCCACUGACUGUGGAUUUUCAAAUUUUCAAUCCAAUUCAAUCCACCAAUCCAUGGAUCAAAAUUUUACGGAUUAGAUUUCUGCGGAUCAGACGGAUUGAGCGGAUCGAAUUGGAUGCUGAACUCCCCUACCCGUCGCAGCCUGAAGCCGCGGCACAGCCGCCGGCUAAAACUUUGAAACGUUUUUUUUCCUUCAAUUCCCUUUCCCUUUAUACCGUGACUAAGGGUGGGCAAACGGUUCGGUUUUAUGAGCAAAAGCAGAAUGGUUUUAAAAUCAAGGAACCGAUUGGUUAAACCGGACAGAACCAAAAAACCAAUUGGUUCCUUGAUUUAAUUAUAAAUAAUUUUUUAAUUGAAAAAUAAAUGAAAAUAUAUAAACCAAAAAUGAAAAAACAAAUCACUCAAAAAUCAAAAUCUCAAAUCCCUAGCUGCGUUUCCCCAAUUUGCAACCCACGACCUCUCUCUCCUCUCCCACUCAUCUUCCACUCAUCUUCCACGCCUCCCUCCGUCGCCUCUCUGCCGCGUGUUUCUCCAUUACCAGACGGCACAGAACUUCAGCUCAGCCCCUCUCAGCUUCUUCCUCGUAACCGUCUCUCCCUCGCGUUAGCUCAGUCCCUCUCUUCCUUGUCUGCACAGCACCUAGCACAGCCCUUAUCUUCCUAGCUUGCACGGCUUCCUAGCACAACCCCUUAGCAGCGACACAGCUCCUCCCCUCAAGCACGGUGACAGCCCCUCACACGCGGUGUUACAGCCUAGCACAGGCCCUCACACGUCGUGUUGCAGCCUAGCACAGCCCCUCUCUUUGGUGCUGCAGCCUACAAGUGUUAUUUUAUUUUAAUUUAUGCCAUGGCUCGUACAUAGUGUGUAUAGUGUAUACUGUUUAGUUUCUGCUAGUGUUACUUGUGUUAGGGAUUGACUAUUUGUGGACUGUUGAUGUAUACUUGUUGGUGGAGUUAAAAAUGGUGGGCAGAUAUAGUGGUUGUGGAGGCUUGUGAGUUGUGGCAGUGAACUGAAAUGGUUGUAACUUGUAAUGUUGUAUUGUAUAUUGCAGUCGAAAAUUGAACAAUUGAAAAUAGAUAAAUGUAUAAUGCUUCUAUCAAUGAAAAAUUAGAAAUAAUAUUUGUUAUUUAACUUAUUUGGCAUAAUGAUUAAUGACUUAAUUAGCUUGGUGAGGUUGCAAUUUGAUAUUGGCAAUUUGGCAUGGAGAAUUCAAAUUAAAUUAAUAAAUAGUGGAAGUAUAUUAUGAUAUGUUGGCCUAAUUUGUUAAAUUAAAUUAUGAUUUAUUAGCUAGUAGUUAAUUGAACUUUAAUUGAUCUUUUUGGCGUGGAUGUUUUAAAUUAAAUCAACAAUUAUUGGAAGUGAAUUAUGAUAUGUUGGCUUAAUUUGUUAAAUUAAAUUAAAUUAAAUUAUGAUAUGUUCGCUAGUAGUUAAAUUAAAUUAAUAAAUUUAAUUGAACUUUUUGGCAUGGACAUUUUAAAUUAAAUUAACAAUUAUUGGAAGUAAAUUAUGAUAUGUUGACUUAAUUUGUUAAAUUAAAUUAUGAUUGGCUAGUAGUUAAUUUAAAUUGAAUUGAUCUUUUUGGCAUGGAUGUUUUAAAUUAAAUCAACAAUUAUUGGAAGUAAAUUAUGAUAUGUUGGCUUAAUUUGUUAAAUUAAAUUAUGAUUUGUUAGCUAGUAGUUAAUUUAAAUUGAAUUGAUCUUUUUGGCAUGGAUGUUUUAAAUUAAAAUAACAAUUAUUGGAAGUAAAUUUUGAUAUGUUGCCAUGUUGGCUUAAUUUAUUAAAUUAAAUUAAAUUAUGAUAUGCUGGCUAGUAGUUAAAUUAAAUUUAAUUGAUCUUUUUAGCAUGAACAUUUUAAAUUAAAUUAACAAUUAUUGGAAGUAAAUUAUGAUAUCUUGGCCUAACUUAUUAAAUUAAAUUAUGAUAUGUUGGCUAGUAGUUAAAUUAAAUUUAAUUGAUCUUUUUUCAUUUCAAUAAAUUGUUAAUAAAACAAUAUUACUUAUUUAUUUUUAUUUUAUUUAUUGUGGAUAUCUAAUUAUUCAAGAGUUCAAGACAACCUCGAUUGUGUACCCGAUGAUCUUGAGCGUAAAGUUGAAGUUGAUGAUAGUGAAAAUGAUUCGCCAACAAUUUGUCACUAUCGGAAACAAGAGGAAAAAGUCUUUGUCAUCCAAACCGCCACUACCAAGGAAAAAAAUGGCUCCAAGAUCAACAGUGUGGCAACAUUUCACUAGACUUCUAGAUAAUGAUAAGAAGUGCAAAUGCAACUACUGUGGUAAUGAAUUUGAAUGUGGCUCGGUAGGGUACGGGACUAGCACUUUGAGGACUCAUUACCAAGAAAGGUUUCAAAAGUACCAAGAACCUUCAGAAAGACCAAACAACUUUAACUCAAAAUGUCGGUAGUGAUGAAAUUGUAGCAAGAUAUUUUAGUUAGGAUGCUUAUAGAUGAGCAACUAUGAAGAUGAUGUUCUUGAUGAAUUGCCUUUUUGUGUUGUGGAGAAUCCAGGUUUUAAGCAUUUUAACAGUGUGGCGGCUCCUAGAUAUCUCCUAGCAUUUUUACGAAGAACCAUUACUAGGGAUACUCUUGAUAUGUAUGUUGAGGAAAAGGCUAAGUUGAAGAACUUAUUAGUUGGGAAUAAGCAAAGAGUAUCUUUGACCACUGAUAUUUGGACUUCCAUUACUACAGUUAGCUACAUGGUCAUCACAGCACACUUUAUUGACAAAGAUUUGAAUUUACAUAGAAAGAUUAUCAGCUUCAACAUGGUUAAUGAUCAUUCAUUGGAGACAAUUGGUAAGCAAAUUGAAAAAUGUUUGAUUGACUGGGGCAUAGAGCGAGUAUGUGCUGUAAUGGUUGACAAUGCAAGUCCAAAUAAGGGUGCUCUUAGGUACUUAAUUGAUCGACUAAAGACUUGGAGGGAUGAUGCCUUAGUGUUGAAUGGGGAUUAUUUGCAUGUUCGUUAUUGUGCGCAUAUAUGGAAUUUGACUGUGACUGAAAGGUUGAAGGAACUUGAGCCGAGUAUAGUUAGUGUUUGGAAUGUUGUGAAAUAUGUGAGGUCUUCCACUGCCAGGAUGCAAGCAUUUCAAAUUCGUGUGCAACAAGAGAAGAUUAAUUCCCGAGGAAGUAUGAUUUUGGAUUGCCCUACUCGGUUCUACAUAUUCCAUAUUGAGUACAUCAUUGAAAUUUAAGCCGGCAUUUGAUCGGAUGGCACUUGAAGAUAACCUUUAUGAUGCUUAUUUCAAUGAAAAAGAGGGGGGGAGGGUAAGAAGAAAAGUGAGGGGCCACCGCUAUAUAGUGAUUGGGAGUGCUCUUCGCAUAGUUAAAUUUUUGAAGACUUUUUAUGAUGCGACUUUGCAAUUUUCUUCUUCUUUGAAGGUAAUAUCACAUCUUUAUUAUGCUUUUGAAUUUUGAUAUAUGAUAUGGAAUUUAUUUUAGCUUUAUUAUACUUUUGAAUUUUUAUAUAUGAUAUGGAAUUUAUUUUAGCUUUAUUAUGCUUUUGAAUUUUGAUAUAUGAUAUGGAAUUUAUUUUAGGUGACAUCGCACACUUGUUAGAAUUUGAUAUGUCAAAUUGAACAAUCUUUGGAAUCGUUGUCUACUAAUAAUGAUAGCCUUUUGGGUUUGAUGGCUAUUAAAAUGAAGGAGAAAUUUGAUAAGUAUUGGGAGGGCUGUUUCAAGAUAAAUAAAAUGUUGAUUGUUGCUUCUGUGCUUGAUCCACGGGGAAAGAUGAAAUUCACAACACAUUGCUUUGAGAAAUUAUAUGGCAAGGAUAGUGCCAAAUGUGUUGAGAUGAAGGAAAUGGUAAAAGAUUUGUUGACUAAGCUUUAUAAGUCUUACAAUGCACAAUAUAAACCGUGUGGUAGUGGGAGUACAAGUGGAAGUGCAAGUGGAAGUACAAGUGGAAGCCAAACUUUAGCUAUUGGAAGUGGAAGUGGUUCGAAUUUUUGGGAUUUAGGUGGUGAUGAUGAUGUUAUGAUUGAGGACCCUUUCUCCGAAUUUAGUAAGGUGGUUGCGGUUAGUGAAGGUAGCCCGGAAUUGUGUGCUUGUGUUAUGGUGGAUGUAGCUAUGGCUUGUGUGCUUGUGUUAUGGAGUUUUAUCGAUUAUUGAUGCUCUGUUAUCAAAAAUACUACAAUACUUUGAGGGUGUAUCAAUCGUCCACCUUAAAUUAACAAAAGCUAUCUGCCGACCACCAAACUGUUAGCUGCCGUUUGAAAGUUAACGAAAUAAUAGUGAAUUGAUGAUUUUACCCCUUAAAAUUAUCACUUGUAUACCCUUAAAUUCUUUUAUUAUCACUUGUAUACCCUUAAAUUCUUUUAUUAUCACUGGUAUACCCUUAAAUUAUCACUUGUAUCAUAUGAAAAGACCAAAUUACCCCUCUGGUGUUAUCCUAUUUAAACGGCAAGUAACGGUUUGGUGGACGGCAUAUACAUUUUGUCAACUUAGGGUGGACGAUUGAUACACUCUCAAAGUGUUGUAGUAUUUUUGAUAAUAGAGCAUUUAUAGGGUAUAUGAAUGAUAAUUUCCCUUUUUUUUGUUGCCAUGGACUUAUAAUUUGUAGUAGACUUUUAAGUUUAAGCGUGUUUAUGAAUUGCGAAUAUUUGUAUUGGGAAUUUUUAUUAUAUGGCUUGUGUACUUGUGUUAUGGAGUUUUAUCAAAUAUUGAUGCACUAUUAUGGACUUUUUUUUUUUAGGUUGCCAUGGACUUAUAAUUUGUAGAAUUGUCAAUUGUAGUAGACUUUUAAGUUUAAGUGUGUUUAUGAAUUGUGAAUAUUUUGUAUUGAGACAUUUAUUAUUUCGCUUUUGAUUUAAUAGUUUUAUACUUGUUUAUUCAUAUUAUAUAGUGUUAUUAAUAUUAUAUGUGUAGAGUGUAGUUUGGUACUUGGUAUUGGUAGUUAAUGGGAGUGUAAAUUGCAAAAUUAAGUAAAAUUAGGUGGAAAGUAUAAAAUCUGAUAAUAUUAGGGUAAAUCUAUAAAAUUAAGAAAAUGAAAAAUCCGAACCGAAUCGAAUUUAGGAACCGAACUGAACCAAACCAAAAUAUUUCAGUUCAGUUCAGUUCAAGUUCGGUUCACACUCUUAAGGCUCGAUCGAUUUUGGUUCGGUUCGGUUCGGAGCCCGAUGUUGGAUUAUUCACAUAUAAAUCCAAUGUUGGAUUAAUGAUCCAACAAUAUUGGAUUAAAAAUCCAACAUUAUCCACCCAAAUGCCAGAGCAAUCUCAUGCAUAAUUUUCCUUGAAAGGUCAAACAUCAACAAGAGAUCAAAAGGUGCAGUAAGAUUUUCUGCCAGAUCAUGAACUGUAGAAAAGUCCUAAAAACGAGACAAUCAAUGUUUUGAAAAAAAAAAUUAAAUGGGAAUAGUGUCCCCGUUAUAAUCCCCAUUCAAUUUGUGGAUUUUUUAGGACAUGCCCAACCUAUCCUCAAUAAAACUUUUUGAGGUAUGAGGUGGGUUUGGGGAUUGCUUCCAAACUGCAUUCAAGUUCGUGCAUCAUGAUCCCCGUCUCGAACCCGGCCCAUUCCUAUCACUACUUAAUAGGAUCAUUAAACACAAAACUAAGGACUGAAAAGUUGAAAAAAACGAACCAAUAAAUGAGAAGACUAACUAAAAUUAGAGACAUAUGAAAUAAACUUGGAAGAAACAUCUAUUAAAUUGAUAUUUAACCAAAAGAAUUGCAAUAUGAUUAACAAAUUUUAAAAUGUUUUCUCAUUCAAUUAUUUUUUAUGUUUAUUAUUUAAAAAUUUCCUUCUUUUUUUCAUUUAUUGAAUUUUUUAGCAUUAAAAAUAAAAUUUAAAAAUUAUUUAAUGAAAUACCGCCAUACGAGUUGUUAAAAUAUUUAUCAGAGGUUAUAUGAAAUUGUAGGAUGACCCUAAGAAAAGAGAAAAACAUUUAUUUGUGGGACCCGACCGAUCACGGAACAUGGGUUCGAAACAUGGAUCCAACUACCUUGCAAUAGUUGCAAGGUACCACAACUUUUGUCUUUUUAUGCAGUAAAUUUCAUUUGACCCCUUACUUUUCUUUUUUUAAUUUAUUUUUAAUUAUAAUUUUAUUUUUCUCUCUCAUUCUUUCCCUCCACUCCAUAGGUGGCCCAAUCUUUUUUCCUUUUAUUAUUAUUAUUAUUAUUAUUUGCUUAAUGAUUAUUUUAAUUAAAAAAAUCUAAUGAAUCAAAAAAUAUAAACCAUAAGCUAUUAACAAUUAGCCUAAAGGAGUACAAAAGCAAGCAUUGAGUUUGGGCUUUGGCUAAAUUUUGGAAUUUUUUUUAACAUUUUAAUUAAAUUAGAAAAUUAAAACAAUUUGAUAUAAUUAGGAUUCCAUCGGGAUUCCGAUUGAAGUCCUGACUAGUCCUGAGUUUUAAUGAGAAUAAAUUUAAUCUCAAAUUCUUAUUUAUUUUAAUUAUUUUUUAAGUCAUAUACCAUUUCAUGUACCAUUUGGAACAGGAUUUGGGAUUCCGAUUGGGAUUCGAUUUUUUCUACCAACUUUAAUUGGCAAAAGAGUUUUAAUUAGCUAUUUGAGAAUGUUAUGUUAAUUAACAAAGUUAUAAUAAUCUACGAUUGUUAUAAGAAUCUACAAUGUAUAACUUAGGAAUAGUAAAGCUCCUAUUAUUUAGCUUAUUUGGGUGUAUAGGCUUAUUGAAUUAAUUCAUACCAAUAUAAUUUGAUUAGAAUCGAAGUAUCUUAAUUAUGAAUUUUAUUCUUCUACUCUUUUGCAAAUGUUAAUAUGUUAAACAUAUUCUUACUAUUUUGAAUAUUAAACAUUGACACACUAAUAUAACAUCAUAAAAAAUAGUAAUAAUUGGAAAAUUUCACUAUAAUUUGGGUGGAAACUUAAAUUAAUAAUCUGGAAUUAUAUUUUUUUUAUUAUUUUAUGUUGAAGUUCCAGCCUCCAAGUACUAAACCAAAUUAAUGGCUUGGGCUAAUGCAAGGAAUAAUUGGUUAAUGCUUUUCUAACUUAAACUAACGAUAUCUAUUAUUUCAUUCUAUGAUUAUUUUUUAUUUUUUUAAUUACUUUCGGUUCCAGUUCAUGGUACAUGAGAUGCAUGAGAUGAAGAAAUUAGGAAUUAUUUUUGAAUUAUUUUUGAUUAUUUUUAAUUUUUAAUUUUAAUUUUAUUCAAAAAUUAAAUUUACUUAUUUUUUUAUUUAUUUUGUAUUUUUAACAAUGAAAAUGUUAAUGAAAUUUCUCCUAAUUUUAAUUGUCUAAUUAUUUACAAUUUUGAGAUAAUUCGGACUUAUGCAUUAAAAUUUGUAACUUUGUAAUUUUUUUGAAUUUUUAAAAAAUAUAGGGACUAUAACGUUAAUUACCAAAUAGACACAUCCUUACCAUGGACGCUACUUUUCCAUUAAAUCGAACGGUGAGGAGCUAAAGUCACAAAAAGAUAAAAAUCCUGGUACGUUGUAACUGUUGUAACGUAGGCGAAUCCUUAAAACAUUUGACAAAGGGAGUACUUUUCUAUAAAAAAUUUAUCAUUUACAAUUUUUUUUACCAUCUCAUUUUGUCACUAACUCCUUUUGCCUUUGGUCAGAGCCACAAGCAAUGAUGAUGAUCCAACUGACAGUUAAUUAUAAUCCAUGAAUUAUUCUUCUUUUGUGUAAUUUUUUUUAAUUUUCUAUAUUUAUAGCACAGUUUAAAGUUUGAAGAAUUUGGUGGAAAGAGGAGCGACUACAAUCUAUACAUAACUUGUAUUUUUAAAAGAAAUUAUCUAUGUACUACCGCUAUUUCCUGAUAUAUACAACUAAUCACUAUAAAAUUUUAACUUUUUUUGCACUACUUUUUUUUUUUUAAAGUUGUAUCAAUGAACCACUUUGACACUAAGAAUCUAAAUAAAAUAAUUAUUUUACUCCUAAAUGAAUUAAAAGAUUAUUUUAUCCUAUAAAAUUUUUAAAAACAAAAAAAAUUAUAAUUACAAUACAACUAAUUGAUAAAAUUUUAUUGAAAAAUAGAUGUGUAAGAACCAUUUAAUCAAUUGAUAAAAUAUUAUUGAUUCUUUCAAUCCUUUUCACCUAAAAUACAUGUACUACUCAUCUCAAAUAUUUUCUUUUUUUUUUUGGUUUUUUUAAUCAAUCAUACAAUCACAAUUAUCAAAUAAUUUUCAUUGUUUAAAUUAAUCACCAAAAUAAUAAUAGUCUCAACCAACUUUGAACAAUAAAAAAAAUUAUAAUUACAAAAAUUAUUGUUUAAAAAUUAUAAUUAUAAAAAUUAACAUCUUGGAUUUUGGUAUUUAUUUGUUUUAUUAAAUUCAGAGCUAUUCUUAUAAUUAUAAUUUUUUAAAAAAAAUUGUAGAAUAAAAUGAUCAUUUAAUUUAUUUAGGGUUAAAAUUGUCAUUUUUAAAAAAAUCUUAGUGUCAAAGUAGUUGAUUGAUACAAGUUUAGAAAUAAAAGUGGUGCAUAGAGAAUUUUCCUAUUUUUAAUUUUACUCAAAUUAGUGCCCUAGUCUUGAUAUUAGCCAUAAAAUUUAAAUAUUUUGAGAAUAUGAAUCAAGUGAAAUGGCUUAUAUGCCCACAAUGAUUAAAUUAACUUAACAAUGAAUUAUAAAUUAUGACAAAAAAUUACCUAACAUGUAUAUGUAUGUAUGUAUGUAUGUAUGUAUGUAUCUUUUAUAUUCACAAGACUUAUUAGGGUAACAAGUUAUUUGUCAAUGGUAUUUGUGUUUAAAAGAGGAAAUUUUUUUAUAUAGGGUAGAGUGAGUUGGAUUUUAUGACAAAAGGUUAAAACAAAAUGAAUGCAUAUACCUACCCGUGGUAUAUUUUUAGGAACCAUUUAAUCAUCUUUUGUAAUAUCCCAACAUAUAUAUUGCAAUGGACACAUAUGCCCAAAUAUUAUUGCUAUGUUAAUUUAUAUAUGAGCAUAUUAUAUUUGCCUCCUCUUUAUAUAGUACUACAAUUUAUGUGGGUGCUCCAGUAGUCACACAUGGCCAAUUGUUAUUGCAAUUUAAAUGGACACUUUAUACAACUAUUAGGGGCAUUUAUGAUAAUUCUCUUACUUGUAAAUUUUCUCUAUAAUUUACAAUUUAUUAUAAAUUAAUUUUAUCAUUAAGGGUCUAUCAGUCAUUUUAGUUAAUCUAUAUUCUCAAAAUAUUUAAAUUUUGUGGUACAUCAAGACUAGUGUAGAAAAGUAAAAUAAUUAUAAAAUUAAAAAUGAUGUAACUUGAGGGAGUUUGAACCUGUUCUAAAAUAUGAAGGUUUUUUUUUUUUUAUUUCUCGAAACAACAAGGGUAAUUCUCAUUUUUCCAAUUAGUUUUGGAACUCUAUUAAUAACAUAUAUUAAUUUCUUUAUUAUUUAACAAUGGGAUUAUGAAUAUAAAUCAUGCUAGGAUAGGCAUAAGCAUGCUGAAUGACACGAGGCAAGUCGAAAUUAAUGACUUUAAUAUAGGGGUAUGCCUGAAAGUGAAAGCAAUAAAGGUUACUCUAAGACUGCCACCAACAUCGACAAGGUGCUUGAUGUGGUUGAAACCCUAGUAAGCCUUAUUAAUCCCUUAGUGAUGCUGUUAAUAAUGAGAGCAAUAUGGUUAUAACAGUGGCGGAUUCAAAAAAAAAAUUAUUGGGAAUUUAAUUAAAUAAUAGUAAAAUAUAAAAAUUAAAAUUUUGAAUAUAUAAAAUAUUUGUUAAUAUAUUUAUAAUUGUUUUCAAAGCAAUUUUAUAUUUUUAAUAUGUUAUCUAAUAGAUUCAUUGUAUUAAAUUUUUUUUUUCAUAAACAACCAAACUAUUAUUCAUCCCAUCCAAUUCUAGAGAUGAUUCUUGACGAAUUUCAUUGCCGAAAAUGUUUUCUUUAUUGUUGCGGCAAACUAGAAGAAUUAUCCUUAUUUUUGGAAAUAGAAAAAUGUUUUGGACGGUGGGCUAUUAUUAUUUUUAAUUAAAGUGUAGGCUUUAUAAUUCUUAACAAUUAAAGUUUAAAUUUUAUGGAUUUUUAAAUUUAUAGAAUGGGGGCCAUUUAGAAACCCAAAAUAAUUUUUUCUUUAAUUCUUUGAUUUUGUUUUUGGCUUGCUUGUGGGGGCUCUGGUCACAUGUUGAAUCCACCACUGCAUUAUACACCUCUGUUUUUAAACUUUUAGGGAAAUUUACCCAUUUGACCACUUUCCAACUUUCAAUAUAAAAAAAGACUUCACUCUAGUUUUUCUUACAAUAACAACCAUUUACAAGGUUCUUAGACCAAAAUACCCCUAAAACUAAACAAACAAACCCCAAACUCCCAAGCAACAGUCGAACAUCUCCACACACCACCAAAAUACUCAUCAUUUCACCUCUCCCACAUUAUCCAACUAUCACUCAGCCUCCCUUUUAUCUAUCUCACAUUCAUCAAACUAUUAUAUUUAUCAAAGUAUUGAAGACAAAAUCAAGCAAUAAACUAAAGAAUAAUAAGAAGUUAGGGUUAGUAUUUCUUCAAUAUCUAUCUUUUAUUUUUUGGUUGGGUUUAAUACAAAAGAUCGGUUGCUCAUUUUACUACAAUGUGGGUACAUUAAAUGGUUAAUGUGAGGUCAGAGAUUUAUAAAUUAGUAAAAUUCUAGCAAAAUUCGACGAAAAUGGGUUUUGAACAAUGUUGAAGACGAAACCUAGAAUCCAGGUGACAAGUACCUGUCACCCAAACUUAGAAUAACUUGUCGUACUUGUCACCUGAAUUCUCGUAUUCAUCACCCAGGUGACAAAAUACUGCAUGUUGGGCGAUUAGUGCUCAUGUCACCCAAUAUACAAUCGCAUGUAAUUUGGGCGACAUUAUCUAUCACCUGGGCGAUAGUACUGUCAUCCGGAUCACCCGAAUUUGUUGAUAAUUAGUUAUUUAAUUAAUAUAGUAAUAUUAUUGUUUGCAGUAUUUUUAAUAAAGUAUUAUUAUUAUUUUGCAUCAGGUUAAUAGAGUUGGUAGUUCUUAUGAUGUAUUUUGAUAGAGCGUGGGAGACUUUGGAGGAUGGUCGUAUGGAGUACGAGAAUGGAAAAGUUACUGCAUUUUGUUUCCAAAACGAUGUAACAUUUGAACAAUUUAUUGCAAAGUUGUAUGAAAUUCUGAAGAAAAGUCCGGAUGAAUAUUCCCUCUUAGUAAAGACAAAUGUGAAAUCAACUCAUCCGACGAAAUCCAUUGAUUCCUGCUUAUAGACAUAGUAGACGAUGAAAUGGUGAGAGUGAUUAUGCGUAUGAACUCUGAUCCAAUUAACUAUGGGUGCACUCUUAUUUAUGUAACGACAAGUCCUAAAGUUCCGAUAGAACUUUCUUUGAUGCCAUCAAUUCAAACUUCAGCCUUUAAACACUGCUCCCCAUUCCGCUCCCAUAAUGAUCCUAUUGAUGACAAUGUUGUUAAUACAGAUGUGAAUGCAUGCAGAAACAUAUAACAUUGAAUCCCAAAUGUAUUCUAAACAUUGCAAUAGUCCAAUCAACAUUUUGGAGGAUGUAGAUCGGUUUCAAGAAGUUAAUGAUUCAUCUCAAAAUCAUCUUAUCAGUCCAAGGACCUGUAGCCAAAACUUGUAGCCAAAGUCAGUCUAUUAGUCUAAUGGCUUGUAGCUAAAGUCGAUCUAGAGUUCCAAGUCCAAUAGACCAACUACAGUUGGAGGCUCCAAUUGUACCAUCAGAUUGGGUAGCUUCAGACAUGGUUGAUGGUUCUAUUUACAGGGGUAUUUUUGUGGGCCAUACCAGUUAUUCAGCAUGAAAAAACUUAAAGUAUUGUGCACCACCGAAAUACUAAUCACGUAUUUGUCACCCAAGUAUUUUUUGUGCAAAUUUUCCACAUUACCACAUUUCAAUCCUGUCACCAAGCACCAUUCUCGAAGAGAGAAACGUAACAUCUCGUUGCCAAUCCUAAACCACAUUUGGUAUUCAUCAUCAACUUGUUUCAUGACUAGUUUGAGCAACAAAUAAUGUACAAGAUUGUCGCUAAAUCCAAGGUCCCCCAUCGUUAGAAAAUGACCAAAAAUUGACUUUUUGAAUAGGCUAAAUUGAGUAUCAGUUAACUGGGUCUGUAUAUACGUAAUGACAAAAUUAAAUCUUGUUAAAUUCGAAACGCAACAGGCGAAAUGAUCCUCGAUUGGUAUCUUCAAUGACCAGUGAUGCAUCUACUUGUCAGACAUAUCUAAGCAAUAAAUUAGGACAGCAUUAGCAUAAAUGUUUCAAAAACAAAAACAAAAACAAAACUGAAACGGUCGGAAAACUUUAGGAUAACAUUAGCAUAAAUGUUUCAAAAGAAAAACAAAACAACAAUGAAACAAUUGGAAAACUUAGGCGACAGCAUGAUUCAGUUGUUGUCACCCUGCGUUGCCCGGUACAUGGGCAACAUGAUAUAUCAUCCAACCAAAUCUGGGCGACACAAUUCUGUUGUCCAGAUUUAGUUCCUGUCACCUAGAACGCACCAAAUCACGUCGUCACUCAUUUGCAUGCCUGGGUGAUGCAAGCUUGUCACCCGCGUUGCUCAGCCUCCCAUGCCACGCAUGGCCAUUUGGUUAGGUGAUGGAGGGGAAGCCACCCACUUUGCCCAAGCUUAACAUGGCCAAAUUUUAGGCAACACAAGCAACCACUCAUGUUCUUGAUUGGCUGGCACACCAACUUUCUCUUUAACCUCAAAAUAAUUCUCAGUAUAGAUCAACAAUUUCUUAGAGAUAUUUAAACAAAUACUUGGUGUGCCAUUUAUUAGAUAUCUUAAUCUUAAGAAAAUUGUAAUAUUUUCAUACCCAAUACACACCCUAAUGAUUAACUAUGAUCAAUGGUGAAUCAACUAGGCAAUUUAAACAAAAAAAAAUUCUAAAUUAAUGAAAAAAUUUGUGAAAGUACCUAAGCUGCCAAAACCGUAAGUGAAUGAACUUGCUGGAACCAAACUAUAACUCACGUAAAUUGCCACUGGAAGUGAAGGAAAUCGCUGCUGGAAGUGAAGGAACUCAGAGGAACUCAAGAAACACCGAAAGUGAAGGAACUCUGGUGGGCGUAAUUGGAGCGAUAUGAGAUGUUUUUAGCUGAAUAUUGGGCUAAAUGUUUUGUUUGUUUUGUUUUGAGAAUUUGUAAGUGGUUGUUGUUGUAAGAAAAAUUAAAGUGUGGUCUUUUUUUAUAUUAAAAGUUGGAAAGUGGUCAAAUGGGUAAAUUUUCCAAAAUUUUAUUAAACCUAGGUUUCAAUCCGAGGUUAUCAUAAGGCAUGUGUUCCAUGGUUUUGAUUAAAUGGAAUUCCUUAAUCCUCCUUUAAGAAUUCUUCUUUCAGUUGGUACUUAUAUAUAGACCAAUUAUUUUAUCAUUUUUAAAUUGACAAGCUCGAUCUCACCCCAUAUACCUAAGAGAAACCAUGAAUCAAAAUAGAAGAACUUUCUCCACCAAUGAGUAAAUAUUUCAUAGUAAUCUCAUUAGACCGUACGUCUUUUUUAUAUAUCUAGAUAAUAGGUAGGACCAUAAACUGAAAUAUUCUAAAACUAUAAAGAUAGUUAUUAAAUCGUUAGCACCCAUAAAAACAUUCCUCCUAACACCAAAUUUUGUGCCUAGUUUCGAAUUUAAUUAAUGCAAGUGAAUGAUUUCGAGUACGAAAGGUGCAAAUCAGCACCAUUAUCAUUAUGAUUGAUUUUUUUUUUUUUUUUUUGUCAAGAUCAUUAGUAUUACGAGAGGAUCAUAGUGUUAUAUAAAGUCAAUGAUUUUGAAGAGAAGAAGCACAUAAAGUAAUAGAUAGAGAAGAGAUCUUGACAUAUUGCUAUACUAGAUCUCAUUCACAAAGAAAGAUAUACUUAAAUAGCCGAUAAUUCACCUUGUUCUAGAUUAAAAAAACAAGAAUUUCCUUUGGUCGUAUUAAAAAGCACAUCGAAAUGUACAUCAAUACACCAUUUUACACUCUAUCUUAUUUGAAAUAUAUUGAGUGAUUGGUGCGUAUUCCCUCGAAGAUUCUUGUUGAGUGUGCGAUUGGUGGAAAAAUAAUCAAAACCCCCUGUUGUUUGUCCAAUUUAAUCAUUUUCCUCUCAUAUUUUAAAAUCUCCUACUGUUAAAUAUUUAAAUGUAACUUCUUGUAUAUAUUGUUGUAUAUUGGGACAAGGUUGUCAAAUUUUCUCGAGCAAAUACAUUUUUUUAAUAUUCUUUGUGUCCCAAUAUAUAUAACAAGUUACAGAAUCAUUAAAAUAAACAGAAGUUUUAAAAAACUUACUAGUAGUAUUCAGAAACGUAACUCUGACGGUUUAAUCUUGGACCUUUUGGAUGGUGUGUUGUCUUGAUAAAAUUAAGAAUAUUCAUUUGAUAUUCAUUUGUGACAAACCAGAAUUCCAGAUGUCCAGUUAAUUUAUGAAAAAAAUAAGUGCCUUUGUCUUUGAACAUUACGUGUUUCAUAAGGUAUUGAUCACUUUCAACGGCUUGUAAUUGGGUAUAAUAAACUCUUUUUUUAUCUUCUUCUCCUUCGUUGUUUUUUUCUCUUUUCCUUUGCUACUAUCGUUGUGAUUGAAACUUUUUGUUGUCGUGAUCAUUAAUUAGUGUCACAAGAGAAUUGUUUCAUUGAUUUGAUGUAGGUUGGUUGCAUGAGACAAGCAGGAUACCCUUUAAAGGUCAUAAUUGAUACUACAAGUAUUUGUUUUGGGCAUAUAAUAUACUGUUUUGAAGUUUGAGAAGAGACAAAGCAAACCCGGAAUGGUUUGCAAAGUUUUGCCACAUGGUCAAAUCAAAAAUUUUAUUUUCCUCCUGUCAUUUUUCAGUUUUAAGAUAUUUUUCUUUUUUUUAAGAUUUGUAUUUUUUUCUAGAUGUCUAAUUUGAGAGUCGUUUGUUUUGUAUUUCUUGUUUAGAUUAAGAGAAUCUUAUUAUAAAAUAAUAUUUCUGAUUUGCUUAUUUUAAUAAAUUCGCGAUAAUUUAAGGUUAUUAUAUAAUGAGACCCAAAACCCUAGUUUUGUUAAUUUAGACUUUUUCAAUAAAACUUUUAUUAUUCAGAAAUUUUGAUUCUUCUAUCAAUCACCUUUAAACGUUUCUGCAUCGUCAAUUCACUUCUAGUUAUUUCAUCUAAUCCAUAAAGUUAAAUUACAUCAUAUAUAACAUGAACUCCAUGCAUGGGCUUUAAUGGCGGAACUCGGAAAAUUUUCAGGGGCCAAAUCUUUAGUGGCGUAAGCAAUAUGCAUAAAUUGUGCACAUAGGGUAUUGAAGAAAUAACAUAGCAGAUAAAAUAUUCAUGCUCAAUUAGAUGGCUGUGAGUAUUAAUGGAAAAAAAAAAGGCCAAAACGAAAAAGCAACCAAAAAAAAAUCUAGGGGCCCUAGAUUUAUUAACAUCGGACUUUUAAAAAUUGCAUGGGCCUUGUCUAUUUAUUUUUUAGAGUUGAACUAUUGGCACCCCUCUCAUCUCCUCAUAAAAUCCCCUUUUUAGUUAUAUUCAUUUUAUUUUCGAAAAUGCCAUUUUUUUUAGAUACAUUUUUCUAAAUUCUCAAUUUUCAUUUGAUUUGUUUUAUUGUUGAAACUCAAAGCAUUAUUGUACUAUUUUUUUAAUUAUUUUCAAUUUUAUUAUUAAUCUACACACAAAUUAAAUUAAAAAGUUAUAUGGAUGAUAAGUUUUUUAGUGUUAAUCAUUGGCUAAAAUAACACAUAUUUAAAAUUAUAAUUUUAAAGCAAUUUUAAGUAUAAAAAUAUUUAAUCAAUAAGAAAUCAAAAGAGAACAAUAGAUUAUUUUAAAUUUGUACAAUUUAUUUUAGUUAAAUAAGAAGUAACAUAUAGAAUUUAUUUUUUUUUGAAAAGGAUUGAUUAUGAAUUAAGUAAUUUGCUGGAAAAAAAUUUAUAUGUGUUUAAUUUUUAAUUUUCUUUAAUUAUAAUUUUAUUUAAAGUGGGGUUUUGUAAGAAUAGUGUAGGGGUGUCAAUACCUCCACUCUAUUUUUUAUUUUAUUUUUGGUUAUUAUUAUUUAUUAACACUUUGACUUUAUUUCAGAUUAACACUUUGACUUUAUUUCAUAUUAACAGUUAUAUUUUUAUCCUAUAUAUAACGGUUAUAUAUCACGAGUGCAUAGGCUAAAUUAGUCUUUUUAAUCGAAUUUUUCAUAUUUUAUUCAGAAAUUCCAAAAACUUUCCAAACUCUGCCGGAGGCAUGACCCCUCUAACCUUAUAAAGCUCCACUGCUAGCUUCAAUUGAUUAUCAUCUUUUGCAUUCUCUGCUUAAUAUCUAGACAUCCUUUAGCCCUCUAUGAUAAAGCAUUGACCAUGUAUUUUUCAAUCAUCUUUCUUUUACUGGCCACUCGAGUUGAAAUCCUAGAGAGAUAUAUGCUAAGAAAUUAAUUUGAAAUUUACCCAGCCCUGUCUUUUAAAUAAACUAAAAAAAAAACUUUAGGUCUCUACAAAAUAUAUUUUCAAUUUUACAUGGAUUAACAAGCUUUAGGAAUGAUAGUAGGAUAGGGUACGGGUGGAGAGGCCUCCUCCAUUCUUGAGCCAAUUAAAAAUUUAGCCCUCAUUCCCCAAUGGAUUUAAUGGGGUUGGGUGAAUCUCUAUGUACAGAAUAGUUUAUCCAUCCCCGCCUUAUUCUCCAUUUAUCUACUUUGUAGUAGAUUUUUAAAUAUAAAUUUCAUGAAAUAAAAAUUAAAAUGACUCAAAUAAAACCAUCACUUACAUUGUAAAGUAUUUAAAAUUAUUAAUAGUAAAUCAUGUUCAAUUUAUUGGAACAAUAUCUUGAAUCACAUAAAAAUGUAAAAUAUUUGAAUAAAUAACAAAAAAAUUUGGAGCCUACCUUUGAGCUCCUGCAUCAAUUCAACAAAAGAGAUAAAAUCCCCUAUAUAUGGCACUACAAGAAAAGGUACCUACUAUGACAAUCCUCUGUGUAACAGUUUUUGGUCUGGAGGCCUACAACAAUAUGAAAUACAAGUGUGCAACCCAAGAGGGGGGGUGAAUUGGGUUUUUAAAAAUUAAGCUAAGCAAACCACACAACAAUUUAAUCUAAUGCCUUAAUGGAAUAAAAAACAAUAAAUUCAAUAAAGCACAAUAAUAAGAGAGUAAGGGAAGAGAAAAUAAACACAAUGAUUUUUACGUGGUUCGGCAAUCCCCGCCUACGUCCAAGCCUCCAAGCUCACCCAGCCUGAGGAUUUCACUAUUCAAGCCUCUCAAGGGUUCAAAUGCUUACAAUUGACUUCCAAGGUGUCAAUCAACCUUUACACCAAGAGAUUAUCUCCAUUCUCUUAACUCAAGUGUAUCCCAACACUUACAAUCACUCAAAACAAAUAGUACAAAUGUGUUUUUUCCUCACACAAAAUAUAUGAUUACAAAUCCAUACUCAAUGUGUGAAUAAAUGAAUCAAGAACAAAUUUAAAGCUUAAUGAAUGUUGUAUUCUCGAUUACAAGCUCAAUGAUAAUGUUGUGAUCUACAUUUCUUUGAAUUUGAUUGAGCUUAUUUAUAGUUGGAGCUGAAAACUAGCCGUUAUUGACUUUCUGUUCGAAGUCGGAUUGUCGUUAACUCAAAGUCAGAUCGCUGUUUUGACUGGUCCAAGUUACCGUUAGACAGAAUUUUAAAUUGUUAGAUCACCAUUUUCAAGAUGUCGGCUCGUCGUUAGUGUCCAAAGGCUAAUAUUUCAAUUCUAUGCAAUGUCGAUUAGCUGUUAUUUAGAUGUCAGAUCGUCGUUAGUGUCCAGAGGCUAAUCUUUAGUUUUGUUCGAUGUCGGCGAGCCGUUAUCAAAAUGUCGGAUCGCCGUUUUCUACAGUAAAUGCUACAGUGAACUAUUUUGCAAAAUGACACUUUGACGCCAAAACUUUAUAUAACUGUACUAUGGCCCACAACGUUAUAACUUUUACAAAUAGGUCCAAUUUCAGAAUUUCUAAAUAAUACUUACUAUUUCCAAAACUUUCUAAAAUUAUAAUAUGGCCCAAAAUGCUAUGAAUACUUUUCAAAUAAAUUCUUCUCCAAAAUUUCAAGCAAUACUUGUUGAUUUCAAAGUUUUCAAAACUUUUUCAAUUAAACUGUAAACUUGAAAAACAACUAAUUUCAUAAAAUCAUUUUUUCAUUAAGUAUAAAACCUUUAAAAUGUGAAAAUAAUGAUUUAUUUAAAAUGUAUAAAAAUAAUUUGAGCUCUUAAAAACUUAAUCAUUCUUAAUUUUGUUUGUUAUCAUUAAAAUCAACCUUAUGAAUACAUAAAUGUUAACACAAUAAAAUCGUGAUAGAUUUACUUUUUGUCAUACACUUAUGACAUAGCUGUGAUAGAAAUAUCGUUUAUCAAGAAAUUAUGAUAUAUUGGUGAUAUAAAUAUCAUAUAUCAAGAAAUUAUAAUAGACUAGUGAUAAAUUAUUUGGCUAUCAAGAAUGAAAGACUGAUUUUUUAUGUUGACUUUAAUUGCGUGGGUUUGACUUGAUUUUUAAAAAUAUUAUAUUACUAAAAAAAGAAGUGAAACAAUGUCGUCUCAGUUGUAUGCCAAAUUAAAAAACAUUAUGUUUUGCAAGUGUUUGAGGAAAACCAAAAACGUAAAUAACAAAAAAUAAUAAUAAAACGUUGUGUUUUGUAAAUGGGGGAAACAAUUUUGUGAGAAAGGAGGCAAAAAUUUUUCUAAGUGUUCAGAAAAUUUGCAAGCGUCACUGUGGAAUCUCAAAAUCGAUUAGCACACUUGUAGCAAACCCUCAAAGGCCGGCCAUAGCAAACUAACGACACCCAAACACCCAUCGUUUCAAAAUCGUUCUGGUUGUUUCAUUGAAUCGUCUCUCUUUACUGCAGUUGUCACUGAACCAUCUCUCUUUGUUGGGACGAAGUCAGUGCUAAUCGAAACCCAAAUUGGAAUGAGAACAACAUACAUGGUACUUUUAUUGACUGAAAGAAACCCAAUCGCUUACCAUGAAAGAAGACCCAAAUCAUUGUUGCCGAAGUUGAAACCCUAGGCUUGACGGUGAAUUGAAGCUUCACACCAACUAGUGAGUCGUUUCUACAUUUGCAUGUAUUUAAUUUUGACUAUUUAUUCAACUUUUAUGUAAAGUAGUAAAUAAUUUGUAAAAAAAUGAAAUGUAUUUGCAUGUAUUGCAUAUAUUGCAUAUAUUUCGGUAAUCAAUUUACUAAAUAAUUUCCUAGUAAAUAAUUUCCCAGGAAGAUAGUCUUUAAAAAUAUUUUGAGUUCUGUUUUAAGUUGUAAUCGUGCAUUGCAUAAUGUUGUUAAUUUUUUUUAUUCUAGGUAAUUCUGAUUUAUAUUCAUGUGUCUGUGUGUGAUUUUUUUUCUAGCUAUUUCUAAUAUUGAAGCUUCGUUAAGUUAAAUGAGUGUUAGUGUAUGAAGAUGGUGAUAAUCUGCAACUUAUAUAUCUUUAUGUUCUAAUAGUUGAUUCUUUAAAUAUUGGCCUGAAAUGUCUAUAACAAAGCCUGAGGAGGCAUUCUUAGUAAUUGAUUCUGUUAUGUAAAAUUGAGGGAUUCUCACAUCUCAUUGUCAUCUACCUAUACAUGAGGUGUUGUAGCUAUUUUGCAUCUGCUGGUAUUGUUGUUACUGUUGUUGUCUUCAGUUGUAACAUUUGUGUGUCAAAUAUAAAUAGUUGUGAUUGCUGCAUAAACGUGACAGUUUGAUGUUCUUGAUUUGUGGAAGACUUUGUAUGAAGGUACUUGAAGCUUUCUUUGUGUUUGCUUUCAUUUUUGUUCUACUGAUGUAUAUUAUUUGAAGUUGUAGUUUAUUAUUUCUUCUUAGGCUUACUCAUAUGAUUAAUGUAAUUUCUUGGUACCUUUUUAGCCCUUUUGAAUCCAAGUUUUGGAAUUCUUUCAACUGAUCAUUCAAAAUAUAUUUCAGUAAUAAAUAUUGUUGCUGGAUUUGUACCUGGAAUUGGAUAUAGCAACAGAUUGUUGUGUUUAAUCUGGUAAGUUCCAUUUCUUAUCCUCUAUUAUUUGACUUUUUGAAGUUUAUUAUGCACUUGCUUAAAAUUUACAUAUCUUUAAAUUUAUAAUUAUGAUACUAUGUAAUGUGUUUGUUGUGGGGCCUAUCUUAUUUAUUAUAUUUAUAGUAUAAUAAGAGAGUGAACUUUUGAAAAGUAUGAAUUUCAAUUUAUUAGCUUUCUUGGGUUGCUAUAUUUUUUAAUUUUGAAAUUUGUUUCUGGACCAUGACUAUGCUUUUCCGUAAAGUAGGUUGUUUCUUUAAUAUAAAAGAGAAAACUAUAUGGGCCAAAUUGUGUUUAAUUUGAAAGGCUUCAUGUAGGUUUAACUUUGUUUAUUUCACAUGGUGCUGUAACAUUAGACAAAUAUUCUAAGUAUGUAUAUUCUUUCUUUGUUUUAUGUAUAUGUCAGGAACAUUAAUUAUUAAGCCAAAAAUGGAUAAAUCUUGGAUUCAAUGUAAUCGACUGUCGACUGAAUAUGAAAAGGGUGUCGAGAAAUUUAUAAAUUUUGCUAUAAAAAAUGCUGGAGGCAGUAGUGUCAUUAGGUGUCCAUGCCUUGAUUGUUAGAAUUUAUCAUUUGAAACACCUACAACUGUAAAAGAUCAUUUAUAUAUGCAUGGUUUUGAUGUGAAAUACGAUAAUUGGUUUUGACACGGGGAAGAGAUUCGUAAGAGUCAUUCUCUUCAAAGAGAAAACCAUUUUCAGUAACAAAAUAUAGAGUUUGACAAUGGUAAUGAGUUAGAAAUGGUUAAUGAUGUUUAUAAGGGUUGUUGUGGGGACCCUAAGGCAUUCAAAGAGUUGCUAAAACAAACUGAGAAACCCUAAUACCUAGGAUGCACAAAAUUUACUAAGUUAUCCUUUUUAGUGAAAUUGUUCAAUGUGAAGGGUAGAUUUGGGUGGUCUGACAGUAGCUUUUCUGCAUUGUUGAGUGUUUUAGCAGAUGCUUUCCAAGAAAAAUAAUGAAAUUCCAACCUAUAUGUAUGAGGCCAAAAAGACAAUGUCAGCUUUGGGCUUAGAAUAUGUUAAAAUUCAUACUUGCCCAAACGAUUGCAUACUCUAUAGAAAAGAGUAUGAAGGUUUUUUUAAAUGUCCUACUUGUGGGUUAUGUAGAUGGAAGAAAAAAGAUGGUACUGUAGACCAAUAUAGGAAAGGGGUUCCUACAAAAACUUUACGGUAUUUUCCUCUUAUACCUAGGUUUAGGCGCAUGUUUCAGUCAUCAGAAACUGCUAGGGACUUGACUUGGCAUGCAAAUGAGAGAAUGGUUGAUAGUAAACUCCGACAUUCGGCUGACUUACCAUCUUGGAAGUUAGUAUAUGAGAAAUGGCCGAUCUUUGCAUCCAAUCCUAGAAACCUUCGCCUAGCUCUACCAGCUGAUAAAAUCAAUCCAGAUAGCUCUCUUAGUAGUACAUAUAGCUGCUGACCAAUAAUUCUUAUUACUUAUAAUCUUCCACUAUAGUUAUGCAUGAAACGAAAAUUCAUGAUGUUGUCCCUCUUGAUUUCUGGUCCUCAACAACCGGGUUUAUACAUUUAUGUGUAUUUGCAACCUCUUAUUGAGGAUUUGCAAACUUUAUGGGAUGUUGGGGUGGAGGCAUAUGAUGCCUACAAAAAUGAGUAUUUUAAUUUGCGGGCUGUAUUACUAUAGACAAUAAAUGACUUCCCGGCAUACAAAAAUUUAGCGGGUUGUACUGUUAAAGGAUAUUAUGCCUACCCAUAUUGUGGUGUAGAAAUACCAAAAUGUAGACUUAAACACAGUGGAAAAAAUGUAUACAUUGGGCAUCGGCUUUGGCUUCCUCAUGGUCAUAAAUUUCGGUUCCAAGCAAAAACCUUUAACAAUAGUGUGUGUGAUGAAACCCCUCCAAAACUGUUAAACGGUGAGGAAAUUUUCCAGCUGGUCAACUCUAUUGAUAAUAGAUGAGGGAAAAGCAAUAGUAAAAAGUGUAAAAGUGAGAACAAUGAUGAUCUCGUGUGGUGGAAGAAGAAAUCCAUAUUUUAUAAUUUAGAGUAUUGAAAGCACUUACUUGUGCGGCAUCAAUUAGAUGUUAUGCACAUUGAAAAGAAUGUGUAUGAGAACAUCUACGGUACACUGCUACAUAUUCCUGGAAAGUCCAAAGAUGGACUGAAGUCGAGGAUGAAUCUCUUGGAAAUGAAAAUUAAGCCCAAAUUAGCACCACAAGUUAAGGGAAACAACAAUCGUACAUGGCUUCCUCCUACUUGCCACACCUUAACUAAGGAGGGAAAAACCUUACUGAAGAAGAAGUGGACAUGAGUGUUCUUUGGAAGAGAGCUCGGCAAAUGAAAAAUAGAGGAUACCACCCUGAUGUUGAACCAGUUAUUAAAAAAAUUAUAAGAAAUUUUUUGCUUACUACUGUAAUUUUAGAUGUGAUUACUUAUACUUUGAUGACAUUAGCUUACUUAAUUCAUUGGUGUGGUAGGAUAACUGGAGAUGGAAGCUAAAAAAGGAAAGAUGCGGCCAUCCGAAAAAAAUGAUAUUCUCACACAAUCUUUGGGAAAAGCUCCAAAAUGUGGUCAUAUACAAGGAAUGGGCAAGUUUGUAACCAUGUCUCUAUAUUUUCAAACUUGCCAGAGGCCUGCUGAUAGAGACAGGCAAAGAGAGAACCAUCUAUGGAGGGAAUCAAUUAACCGGCAGUUGGAAGAAAUGAGAAAAACACAUCGUCAUUCAGAUAUAGCAAGUUCCAACUACCCUCGCGUGCCUGUUGAAAACAAUAAUGCUGUCGGAGAUGAUGGCCUAGAGUUCGUUCAAGCUGAAACAGUUGCUGAAACACCAAGGGUCAGUUUGUUUACUAUUUUACUUAUUAUUUCUGGAUUUAUUUUGUUGCAAUUUUACUUCUUCUACUUAACUGUAUAUACUUGUUGAUGGAUAAGGGUUGCUGUAGUUACUGUUCUUACCUGUUGUUUGUGGAUUUAGUUUGCUGUAUGUUUACUAUUUAUACAUAUGUUAUUUCUGGAUUUUCUUUGAUACUGUUAACUACUUUGUAAGAUAAAUUUAGAGUAUUUAGAAACUACUUAUGCCAAUCACACUGAACAAUUAUGUUUGUAGUAGCCUGAUCAUUUGAAAAAAAGAAGAAGCAAGGGACACCUAAAAACACAGCAGAUAUGAACUUGCCAAUAGUAAACUGUAAGAAAGAGACAGACAUAACAAACAAAAACAAGGAUACACCUGCCAAAAAACUCUCUGUCAUUGCAAGAAAGAGUCCAAGAUUGAACCCAACUGAAAUCUUAGUGGAGAUGCCUGAUGAUUUGUUACAAGGAAAAAAAAAUGGCAACCCUAAAUAUCAAGGCACAAAAAAACAUUUAAACUUUGAAUCAACAGAACAACAUAAUGAUAUAAUAGAGAUAAGACAUACAGAUGCUGUAAAACAGACCAAGGACGAGGGCAAAAAAGUUGCAGUGAAGCCUUUGCCAGCAAGGAGGAACACAAGGCAUGCAGGAGGGGUACAACAAAACAAGAUUCUGUUGCUGCAGUUUUUUGGCACAAUGUGUAAAGCUAAGAUGUCAGACCAAGAAUAGAUUCCAUAUCUACUGGAUGAUGGUGUUUUCCAAUUGGAAUGGAUUAGAGCUCAUAUUGGGCGGCGUGACUGCAGUGCAGUUCUGGCAAUGGAUACUAUAGGAGUAAACGUAAUUGAAGUCUAUAUUGCGUAAGUGAUUUAUAAUCAUUCUAGUUUUAUGUGUACUUUUUAUAAGAGUCCCAAUUAAUGGACUUUAACAUUGUUUGUCUUUUGUUUAUCAGGAUGUUGUAUACUUCCAUUCUCCAUGGGAAAAGAGGAGUCAAACCAUUUGGAUUCAUUCAUCCAGGUCUGGUUUCACUAGGCAAAGAACGUAAUCCUACUACAUCAUUUGACUUUAAGGCACGUGGAGUUUGUGAUUGGUUGAAAAAAAUGAAGAAGUGACAAUUCAUCUUUAUGCCUUAUAAUCCCUAGUAUGCUUCUUUAAUACUUUUCAACUCAUAUUAAUUUCCUUUCUUACCUUAAUUUACUGAAAUUGCUACCUUAAUGUUCUUUCUUUUAUUAUAGUUAUCAUUGGGUGCUGGUCAUCUUUGAUGUGUUGAAAAAAGAAGUUUAUUAUCUCGAUUCUUAUGGGGGAGAUCCUUAUGAUGAUUUAAAAGAGCUCAUUAAAGUAUAUGUUCAAUUUUUUUUUAUUACCAUUGUCAAUAUGAAAUUACUUUUACAUAAUUUACAGAUACUUUGUUACAAUUUUUUUUUUUUGUAUACAACUCUAUGACAAUGUUUAUAGCACAAGAAGAUUAAGAGAAAUGAAAUUAUAAUAAGGUGGUCAGAUCUGUAAAGGUAAAAAGUAUUACCUUAACUAUAAUUAUAUAUUACCAUGCUUAAUUGUUAUUAUAAUGAACUGUGCAAUUGCUGAUUGUGAAUAGGUCCCACAGCAACCAGCAAGUUCAGUCGUGUGUGGAUUUUACGUCAUGAGAUUCAUGAAAGACUUAAUUAAUGACUUCUCUUUGCUAAUGAACAAUGUGAGUUCCUUGAUCAUAAUUUGCUUCAUAAAAAAGAACAUGUCAUGUGUCAAAGUUUCACUACAUAAUAUUUAUUUUUCAUAAACAGUUCAACGGAAAGACAACAUAUUCCGAUGCUGAAUUAGAUGAAGUCCGUAUUGAGUGGGCAAACCAUUUUCCUAGAGUACUUGUUGUUAUGUGAGGUAACCCUUACCUAUUAUGUUGUUAUUGUGAGUUCAUUGAUGAAAUAAAUUAAUUUACUAGCUAUAUUUUACUUGGGCAGUUAUCUAGCUUAUUAUACUUCUAUGUUGCAUUAUGAUAAAGAUGGUGGGUACUGCUGGAGUUGACUAGUUUUUUUCUUUGUUUGGAAAAUAGCUCCUGGAUAUUGAUGCAAUUUUACACAUUUCGAUUGUUCUUAGGUUGGAUUUUCACGUUUGGGAACAACUAACCUUGUCUGAUCAAUAUUUUUGCCUUCCUCUUGUGUUUCUGGAAAUGUUGCUAGAAAUGAACUAUGUUGUUGCCUUUCUUCAUGUUGGUAGAAAUGACUCUGUUGUUGGCUUCCUUAUGCUACUAGAAUUGAAUUGAUCAUGGUUCAUUGGUGUUAUACAUGUUGCUUGAAUUUAGUUUUUAUGUUGGUAUAAUACUCCUCUUCUAUUUAUGUUGGACUUGUCACUCUCAAAUUUGAUUAAAUUAUGUUUGCUGACAAUUAUGAAUAAUUAGUCAAUGUUAUCCAUUUCAUUUUCUUUGUCAGUGAAUUUUUUAUGGCAAUAUUAAUUUUAAUAAUCUAAUUAAUUAGCUAAUUUAUGAUAUAUUAAUUUCUAAUAAAUCAAUUAUAGGAUUGUUAUUAAAAUGAUAAUAUUUUCAUGGUGCAAACAAAAUACCCAAUUUUUAUUAAUUAUAAUUUCAAUUUUUGAUUUAAUUGAAAAAAAUCAUUUAAUUAUAAUUUGCAUUUCGUGCCAAAUUUAAUUUUCCCGCCAAAAAUUCAAAAUAUGGUGCGCAAAUUUUUUUAAAAAAGAGCCAAAUUCAAAUUUAUUAUAUUCCCCUCUAAAUAAAGUUAUGACAGUUAUGUGACUAGUAAUAUCUAUCACAUAUUAUGACUGGUAUUGUUCUGUCAUCAAUUCUUGACGCUGGCUACAAUGACGGUAUGAACAACCGUCAUCCACCCCUACUAUGACAGUUUUUGCCUGUCAUAGUAGGCACUUUUUCUUGUAGUGUGGGGAUUAGGGUGAGAGUGGGAUGAGAAGUACAAAACUAAGGCCACCUCAUUAAGGAUUUGAGGAUUAUGUUUCUUGGCCUAUUCCCCAUAAACUUAUCAAAAUUUAUCUCAUUUAGAAUGCGCCCCUUGGAGUCCCAAACCUAUAGAGAAUUUUGCCUCCCAUAGCGAGCUUAGUAUGCUGCUUACAAUACUCAAGAUUAACCGUUGAUUAUUCAUCACUAUGUCUAUUAUUACAUACGACCUCAUAUAUAUUAUGAGUGUAUACUAGAAACAUAAAAUGACAUAUUGACUCUUAUACGUACCUCACUGUAGUUGCUUAACGUCUAGUAACAGUAGCGAAAUGUACAUCAAUACAUCAGCUUCCACUGUUAUGAGUGUACAUUUUUUUUGCGAAACAAAAAAUAUUGGCUGCUCGGUGUGUAGAAUUCUUGCCAUUGGUGUAUGGAUUUCUUGUAAAAUAUUUGUUUGUGCUCAAUGUAUAUUUAUUUCUCAUUAGGCAGUUGGUGGAAAAAUUAUCAAAUCUCUUACUGAAAAAAUAAUUUUUUUUACGUUUUUUAUUAUUUUACCCCUAAAAAUUUUAUUGAUCAAAAGUUGGUGGGUUUUUAAUGAUAUCAGGAAUAAUAUAAUAAAAGACACAAAAUUUGAAAUUUAACAAUGUCUUUUUAACAUCUUAUGAUCUACAUUGUUUUAAAAAAGAAGGGGAAAUAAUUAUUUUUCUCAAACAAUAGGGAGAUUUUGAUCAUUUCUCUCAUUGCUAGUUGAGAUGUAAAUGUAGAGGACUAAAGAGUGUGUGUAUUUAUGCUGCGAGCGCCUUUAUUUUUUUUUUAACACAAACAAAUUGUUAAGCUGUGGAGUUUAAUAACAUUAAAAACUAACUCUAUUAAACCUCAUAUCUUAAAAGCCUAUCCGCAUAAAAAAAUAAUAAUAGGGUGUCCGCACUAGAGAAUGACUAUAUAUAUAUAUAUAUAUAUAUAUAUAUAUUCAAAUAUAGUUGUUAAAUUUUAAUUUUGUCAAGCAAACACUUUUUUUUAAUAUUCUUUUCUUUUCUUUCUCAAUAUAUAACAAGUUAUAUCACUACAAUAAAUAUUAUCUUUUACAACCAAUCAAAAAUGAUGCGAAAACACAAUUACAACAUUUAUAAAAAAUGUCCUAACGAAGGAUGCAGUAAAUAACAUCAAACUUUUGUAGCCUUUUUCAGCUGUAGUAAGAAACGCUGCAUAAAAUGCAGUUUUCUAGGCCAUUUGCUAUAAGAGUAAAUGGCUGCAAAAAUUAGUAAAUAAAUAUGGAAAUCUGCUGCCAGUAAAAUUGAUAAUAGUUCAAUCAAUUAAGAAUAAUCUCCAUAAAAUCAUUUAAACUUGGCAUCCAUACAACAAAAUUUUAGUUGAAGAUUGUUAAAUCUCUACACUAAAUAUAAUACUCAAAGUGUAAACUGAAACUCUUGCCCAGGUUAAUGUUUUUUUUCCCUUGACUUGUAAGAUUCAAGUAUAUGUAUGAACAAAAUUAGAAACUAUAAGCCUGCUCCAACAAGAUGUAGUUUUUUGGGCAAGCAAUUGUGCUUCCAAUUGCAUCACUAAGAACAUGAAACUCAGAUGUAGCACGAUAUAAGGGAGUAUCUUCAACCAGUGCAAUUAUCACCCAAACUUUCCAGCAAUCUGGUCCAAGACAUAUAUGAUGUACUUUGGCAAGUGGAUCUCUUGAUGCAAUUGUUCCUUCCCCUACAACUUUUCCUGUUCCCAUCCAAUCUAGUAAUCUACAACGAGCAUUUUCAAUAUUUGUGAAAGUGCUUCCACAUGUUUUAGCUUUCUAUAAUAAUAAAUAAAAAAUCUGAUUAGAGGCAAACAAUUAUAAUACGAAUAAAUUCAAACAGUUUUUCCAAGCUCAAAAUUCUAAUAUUUUUUUUUCAUAAAGAGAAUGGUUCUUUAUUAGCAACAACUCAAAAAUCUAUUCAUUUUAGUGUUAAACAGAGUUUUGAGGAUCAACAAUAAAUGAUGCAUAGCAUUUAUAAAAAUCAUCACUUACUUUCGCAUGUGAAGUGUCUUUCGAACAUUUCCUCUUGUGGCUUGUCUCAUUGUGAUCCUGAAAUAUCAUAAAGAAAGAACAAUUCACGUAAGCAAAAUACUUGGUUUACGUAUUAAAUAAUUCAAAGCUAAUAGUAAAAUAUUAACUUACUAGUCGAAUGUCUCGAGAAUUUUUCAUCAUGCUAUCUAUGUCAAUUCGAUCCUAAAAAUAUAUGAAAAAACUAUUAUUAAUCAAGUAUUUCUUCUAACUAUAUUGAACAUAAAUUUUCUUAAUCAUAUUUAUUACCUCUUGUUUGCUAGUGUUCUUAAUGAAUGCAGUCUUGAGUUCCUCAAAUAGUUUUUUGAGAUCUUUUAGUUCCAUUUUAAUUUGUGCAGUAUAAGACUUGCUAAGUGCUUCUAAAUUCAUCAACGUUGGUGUAACUCCAAAUCCAGCUCCUCGUAUACGCCCAUUACGUUCUUUUCCUAUCACAUGGUUCAGAGCAUCAUCGUGAAUUAUUGAGGCAUCUUCACUCACAUGUGUCCUCUGAUAUUCAUUAAUUGUUUUUUAAUCCAUGGAGAAUUUUGAUUGUUAAUAGCAAAAAAAUAAGAAUAAAGAACUAAAAAAUCAUAAAGAAUUUAUCACCAGUUUUUUAGCAACAUCCUCAUUAAUUGUAGUCCUGUCCUUCUUAGUAUGUGCAAGAAUCCACACAUCAACUCUAGUUAUCGGUGAGUUUGGUCUCCCUUGCAUCUAAAAUAUGUAGUGGAGAACAUUUUAUUACUCAUCUAAUUUUUUGUUUAAUAAUAAAUAAACUUAAUGAUAUGAUUUUUCUAACCAUUUCAUGUCUUAAACGAGCCAUCCCUUUUCGACUUGUCCUGUGGAUGUUAGUUUGUUUUGAUCUCAUUUUUUUAAACCUCUUACUCUUCAACUAUAGUAAGAAGAUAUGUUAGAUUAAUGACACUAUUCUUGUACAUUAAUAAGAAACUAUACUUGUACAUUAAUUGGGAAAGAAACUUACUUUAAACCUUUGCCAUUGUUGCUUAGAUUUUAUGUUCCUUGGUUUCAAGUCUUUCAAUGCCUCAAGCUUUCUUGUUACAUCAUUGCUUUUAACCAAUGCUCUGAUUUUAUGUGUUAAAACUGAUUUGUAAUUCCUCCAGCUCCUACCCAUUGCACUCAUUAUAUAUCUUCUAUGACUUCCAUCAACAUUAAAUUGUUGCUGCAUUUAAAGGGAAAAAUAACAUUAAUAAUUAAAUUUGAUAAGUUAAAUAAUAUUUACCACAAAAGUAGGAUGCUACCUUAACACAAGUCCAAAGUCUUUCUCUUAAGUCUGAUUCCACUCUAUGCCAACUAUCCAAGGUCAACGGUACCAUUUGUCGUACUAAACAACCAAUAAAAAAAGAUAACCUAUUUGAAUUUCUACCAACGGGGUUAUUAUUGGUUGCUUCGAAUUGAGAUAAGUGGAUUCAUGCAUAACGUUUAUUAUAUAUAUGUACGAAUUUAUGUAUGAAAAAAAUAAUGUUGUUCAUAAGGAUUGGCAUAUUUAUAGUUUUGAAGUAUUUUGUUGUUAUAGUUUAUAAUAAUUAUUUACAUUUUGGUUUAAAGUUUAUUUAAAAUGUUUUCUUAAAUUUUUUUUAAAAAAUGGCUUUAAAAUACUUGUGUUCCAUAAAUUGUUUUUCCUUAAAAAUUAUAUAAUUUGUAAAGCUUUGCCAAUUAAAUGUCUUAUAAGAGACUUAAUUGAAUGAUUGAUAUUGAAAGAUUGAAAAUUAUUUUAAGGUUUUGGCUCAUUGUCCUUAGUUACCAGUACUGAUAGGAUUUAACAGUUAACUGUAUUGUGCGCUCCUAUUGACGAUUAUUGCGGGGUAAAGUACCCUGAUUGAACUAUCAACCGGCUCACCAAGAGUACAUGUGACACUAUGAGGCAUGAGCAAAAUUAAACAAAUGAAAGGUUUUAUUGACAAAUGAUUAUUUAUUGAAAAUGGUCAUUAUGUUAUGACAUUAUUGGUUAUAAAUUUUACUGUAUAAAUGUAUUAGAUUAUAAAAUGAUUACUGAUUCAUGGCACUUAAUAAUUAUUAUUAUGUACUUCAUCCUUAUUAGCAACCUUAUGUAUGAGUUUACUUACCAAGCUGACGGCUUAUCCCUCGUCUCCAACAUUUUGCAGAGUGAUGUUAGAGAUGGUUUUUAGAGAAGAAGAUUUGUUAGCCGAAAGCUUUGGGCAUUUUCGUGAUGGAUAAAUUGUUGCUAUUUUGGUUAUUAUUUUAGAGUUGAAUUUGGUAUUGGAGGAUUAUUGUUAUAUUUAUUAUUUUAGAGACUAUGUUUCGACCUUGGACAUUAUUGAUUUUCUUUUGGGAAUAGUAAUAAGAAUUAAUUGUUUAGAGAUUGCAUUCUAAAUUUCUUUUAGAAUUCUUGGGAAAAUUUGGGGUGUUACAAAACUAUUGCUCAAGAUUGUUCCAAAGCUCACGACAAAUUUUAAAGUUUAGCAUAAGACUGAGAAUUUCCAAACUGAUAGAGGACAUCAGCCAGCUCAGUAGCACUUGAUUCUUUCUCUUCUAGGUAGUGAAUGCUAGAUUUUCUUAUGUAACUUCCGCAGUGGAGUUGUUAGUUUCAUCAGGAAGAAACUGAUCUAGAUAGUGUUUGGAACUAUCAAGAAGAUCUUCAAGUCCAUUAGCACGAACUGAAGUGAGAGUUUGAGAUUUCCAUAUCAUGUAGUUUCAUAUAUCAAGCUUAACAAGUGAGGUAAAGGUGAAUGAGGAAACAGAGGACACUGUGUUUGGAUUUGAGCUUGAAGUAGCCAUAAGAGCUUAUACAUCUAGCUUUGAUACCAAGUUAAAGUUUGAGUUCUUGUCUGGUUAGUGAAAUGAGGGAAAAUUUAGAGAGUUGUGAAUUGAUUCAAUUAUAUUAACACUGCUUCAUUAAAAUCCACUUUUCCAACCAUAGACGCAACCAAUGAGAUACAUAACCAGUGAGCUAGAUGCAUAGAGUUGUAUGUUUUGGUGCAACUCUUUGUUAUGAUGUAUAAAAAAUCGCCAUCACAUUUCAAUUGUUUUCUAUGAAGCUAAUGAAAUUUUUGUCUGUCAAAGUAACCAUGUCGUUUUCAUUAAUAAGUGGUGGCGGUGUGGUGGCAGUGCCUUGUGGUUGGCCAAGCGGUGAGUAUCUCCAAGGUUUAGAACGACCUUGACGUAAACUUGAUUGGGGGAUGACAAAUUAUAAUAUUGUUGAGUAAGAGGUGUGAAGGUGCUAAGGAUUUUGAUGAGAAGAAGAAAUGAAAGUAAGAGAAAUAGAAAUGAUUCUGCUCACUACAAGAAAAAUGGUAUUUUAUUACAAAAAAUUUCGUCAUUAAAGAUAACAAAUUAGUCAUCUUAUAUUUUUUAUGAUAAAAAAUAUAUCGUUACACGUUAGUCGUGGAAAGACUGUCUUAAAAACUUCUAGCGACCAGAAUUAUUUUCGUCAUAUUAAAGAUAUGUUUUUGUGGCAAAAAUUAUUAUUGUCUUAAAAUUAAGUUAAAAUUGUCACAAACAGUAUUAAAAAAGAUCGAAUUAGAUAUUCAAAAAAGCAAUUAAUGACACUUCAUAUUUGUCACAAUUGUUGAUUUAUAGUGACUAUAGUAUUUGUCUCAAGAGUAUGUAAAUAGAGUCUCAAUUUGUCUCAAGAGUAUGUAAAUAGAGUCUCAAUAAUUAUUAAAAAUUGUCAUUUUAGAGGUUUGGAUAUACAAUUAGCAAUGCUAUUUUUCUGUUAUUGAAGUUCACGCGGCAAUAUACAAUUGGUAAUUAAUUUAGUCUCAAAUUUGUUAUGAAGGCGGUUUAUAUAGUCUCACAUAAAUUUUAAUAACAAUAUGUAGUUAUAGAAAUCAAAAUUUAAUGACAAAAGAACUUUAAAGUGAAAAAUAUUAUUAACAUAAAUACAAUUCAUGACAAAGAAAUCUAAAAUCUAAAAUGUAAAAAAAAAAAAAAUUCAUGUCCAAAAAUAUGAUUACAUUGUAGAAGAAAAAUAAAAGUAACAUUACACAAACGGAGAGAUAUGUAAACCAUAGUUGUUUCAUGAAUUCUUCAACUUCCUUAGAUUUGCUAUUUUCUUCCUUGAUUUUAAUUUUUGAUUCUCGUUUUGUUGAGUCAAUGUUGUGGUAGAUGAUGACUUUAAAGGUACAUGUCAUUUUAAAUCUUUACAAAAUUAAAGAUUUUCCCCAAAACUAUUUAGCAAAUUUAAUCAUAUAUUACUUCAAAAUAAUAAUAUAAUCAAAAGAUUACAAGCACAUAAUCAUCCUCGAUUCACUUGCACAAAUUUUACAUCCAAAACUCUUUAAAUUAAUCUAUCAAAUAGUUGGAGUCAAACUUGAACCAAAUUAAACUAUUAAGCAGUCAAUGAAUCAAUAUUUAUAAUAAAUAUAAAAUUGAAAGAAAUAAGAGAUUGAGUAAAUAAUAAUAAUAAUAAUAAUAAUAAUAAUAAUAAUAAUAAUAAUCAUCAUCAUCAUCAUCCUCCUCAUAAGAUAGCUUACACAUUUAGAUUUUGUAUGGAAACUACUUGAACCUUUUACGCUCACUUUAAUACAUCUUCUGAAACAAAGUAAUCUGGGAGAGACUCCACACUUUUUUAUUACCCCAGUAUAAAAGAAGAUAAAUACAUUAAUUUUAAUUAAACAUACAACAACCACAUUAGGGGAAAAAAACCAAGGCUUGUUGACCUUUAUUAGUUUAUUUAAUCACUUCAUAUAUGUUUCCUGGGAAAUUCAACAACAUUUUGAGCAAAUUGUACCAACCCAAGCUUCAACACCAUCCUGCGAACCAACAUAUCAAAGCUUCAUAAUAUUUGAUAGUUAAGAUUUUGUUCUAUAACUCUAACUUAUAAUUAUUGGUUGGACUUGAAUAACUUAUUAACUCUUUUCAUUAUAUUAAUACUAGCUAAAAUUUUCUUUAAAAAUUAAAGAAAGAUGAUUAAUUACAUACCAAGAUGAAGUGAACGAUAAUAGAAAUAUCCCAAUUUUCUAAAGUUCUUACGAAGAAAUUUUUUGGUUGUUUUGGUGUUUUGGCGGGGGGGAGAAUCUAAUGUCAUCACACCUAAUUCCUAAAUCCACUGCCCAAAUUGAAAAGCAAAGUCAUCUUAAUAUCCUAAUUUUACAAAAGUUUCUCAAAAACAACUAAACUUCGCUUCCAAUUUCCUUCAUUUAUUUUGUGUAUUUUAUGUUUUUCUUUUACUAGAUUAUAUUAGGAAUUUUAUCAAAAACUUGAUAAGCAUAAAAAUAUUCAAAUAAUAGAUCCAAGAAUUUUAAUCUCUAAUUUCACCAAACACAUGAUGCAAUCACAACUAAACUAAUCAAAAUUAAAUUUGAUGAGUUCAUAAAUGAUACUUAAAAGUACUAGGAGAGAUGAGAGUGAAUUUUGUCGAGUGGCUUAUUUUGGCAUGCAUGAGUGGACUGGUGAGGGGUGGCGUCCUUCUGGGCGGCAGCAAAGGGCGUGGUUCUAAUGGCCCGCACGGUGGCUAAGGUAGAAUUAAGAUGUUGCCUCCCCGAAUUGAACGUAUCAAACAACAAACAAACAACAUAUUUUUGAAUUAACGAAAAACAUAAAAGGGGAAACAAGACAAACCAAUGACAAAAAUCAAAUCUUUUACUCAAUAAACAACACCCAUAUAAGAAAAUUGAACCAAAAAUGAAAGGAAAAGUGAAAAAUUACCAUGAGUGGAAGACAAGACAAGAUAGGUAAAGACGACUAUUUGUUAAGGUAAUAGAGCGCCACGUGUCAGCCAAUGGAAUGAUAUCAGCACAAUCGGAGGUACCCUGCAUAAUCCGAGGUGCCCGGCAUGACUUGAGGUACCCCGUAUAAAUAGAGGUACCCUGCACAAUUAGAGGUAUCCCACACAAAUAGAGGUACCCCAUAUGAUAUGAGGUACUCCAUACAAAUAGAGGUACCCCAUACAGAUAGGGGUACCCCGCGUAAUAGGGGGUACCCCAUGUAAUUCAAGGUACCCGGCAAAGCGGAUGCAAGAGAAUCCACCGAAAAUACCCGCCAUGAGAAACGUCUCCGCCUCCUAAAAGAUAUCAUUUGAUUUAGUCAGAAUUAGGAAUCAAAAGCGACGUGCUAAAANNNNNNNNNNNNNNNNNNNNNNNNNNNNNNNNNNNNNNNNNNNNNNNNNNNNNNNNNNNNNNNNNNNNNNNNNNNNNNNNNNNNNNNNNNNNNNNNNNNNNNNNNNNNNNNNNNNNNNNNNNNNNNNNNNNNNNNNNNNNNNNNNNNNNNNNNNNNNNAAUAACGGCCCAAAAACAAUUAUAAAAGAGGUAAAAGGACGUUAGCCAAAAAGGGUAUGCCACGUGGCAGCUGAGGUACUCCAUAUAUAAAGGUGCCUAGGUUUCAUUCUCCAUCAUGUUCUCACUCACCAUUAACACUCACACUCCGAAAAUAGAGGUUUUCUUCAACCUUAAACCCUAAAUUUACAGAGGGCUGGCCAGCUCUCUUUACCAUAAAAGCUUGAGUUUGCUAACUUGAGCGUCGGAGUGUGAAGCCGGGGUACCCCGGCUUCACCUCUAACCUCAAUUUCACUUUUUGCAGGCGUGAAGCUCAUUUGGAAGGACACCUCUCUUGUUUCUGACAUUCCACCAUUGUUACUACUCUCUCUCUCCCCUUCUCACCUCCCCCGGAUUUUAGAUACACCACACCGCACACAACAAACCAGUGAGGUACCCCAUCUCCCCCAAAAAUAUAAAUUUAUUGUUCUAGACUGGUUUGGCUUUUCUUACCCCAAAAUCAGUUGAAAACAAUAGGUAAAGACGACUAUUUGUUAAACUAAUCUUGAAAUAAUCAUUCACACACACCAGCAAUUGGAAGAGGGGUUGGGGUGUUGGGAAGAUAACGUUGGGUAGUUUUGAACGUGAAGUGGCCACUUAAUGUGUCUCUGAAAAUUUAGGUUUUAUUUAAGUUUUAUUUUUUCUAAUAUAUAUAUCCAACUUAAAUAACUAUUAUAAGGUCCUUCUAAAAAUAAAAAAGAAGCAAUUAUAAGGUUAUUAUCAAUGGUUUGAAGAAAAAAAAGUCAAUCAUCAUUUUUUAUUAAUCCAAGUUAAUUAUUUUUAGGCUAUUAUUUUAAUUUUUAUUAAUCUAGCAUUGUUAACCAAAAUUUGUAUGAAGCUAAACAAUAAUGUCUCUCUGAAAAAGAAAAAAUAUCAAUUAUUAUUCUCUUUUUUUUUUAGUGACGUAAUUUUCGUCAUAAAAAAAUUAAUCAGAUACUAAAUAAUUUGUCUCUGAAAAAAUGGUCAUGAAAUACAAUAUUACUCAAGACAAAAUUUUAGACUAUUAUUUUUUAGUUUUGUUACAGUAAGUAAUUAUCUAUGACAAAAAAAAAGGGUCUUAAAAUUAAUCAAAUCCAUAUUAGUUUUGGAGACUAAUAUUUUUCUGUCACAAAUUAUUUGAUCAAUUUCACAUCUCUUCUUCAGUUACGAAAUAAUAAUGUCACCUAUAAUUAAAUUUUGCUACCGUAUUUUUUUAUCAUAAAAGAUGAUAUUUUGUCAGAAAAUGGUCAAAUUUUGGAGGGAAGUUUUUAAGCAAAAAAAAAUGCAUGUCCUUUUGCGACUAAUUUUAUGUUUGUCAUAAAAUAUUUGAUUAGGUGACAAAUUACUGGGUCGUAAAAUAAAUAUUAUUGAUUACAAAAUAUAACAUAAGCCAAGAUGAGAUUAUUGGCUACGAUUUUAAAAAACAAUCGUCAUAAUAAAUAUUAUUUUAUGACAAAAGCUGCAAAAGUCAUAGAAGAAGGCAUCUUAAAAAAUCAAAUUUCUUGUAGUGGCUGUUGUCAUUUAGUUAUUGCUUUUUAUGAUAUUCAAAAAAGUGUUGAGAAAGAUGAUCAUGUUCUCUGAAGAUAAAAUCUAAGUAUUCGCCCUACUUCUUGCCUUUGAUAACAUGAAAUCUUGUAUGAAGUGAAUUGUUGCUUGAUAAAGUUAAGGAUACCAUCCGACAAUGAUAUGCUUACAAAAAGUAGUAUAAAAAAUAGCUCACCAUCACUGAAAGAUAGAUAAAAUAACCAGAGAACAAUUUUUUUUUUUGUCUUUUGUACUUUUUGUACUAAAUUGUAUGAUAUUUUCAAUACAUGUAUCAUUAUUUUAUUAUGUCUUGUUUACCAGUUUAGAGACCUAUGUGGCUUUUGUGUUUGAAUAUUAUGGUAUUUCUCAAAAGUCAAACGAGUCAAAUUGUACAAUUCUGAGAAAAAAAAAAAAGUCUUCUAGGACCCCUUUUUUGUUUUGUUUUUCUUAACAAGACAUAAAGUGAUCUUUAUUUUUUAUUUUUUUUGAAAUCAUGUGAUUUUUAGUUUGAUAUUAUGAUUUACUUUGUCUAAUUAACUGAGUUUAUUUAGAGAAGACUUUUUUUUUUCUUUUUUUGCUUUUAGAAAAUAGAAAAAUAGAUUUGGUCUAUUAUACAAAUAGGAAGGCCUUACAUUGAUGUUUCUUUUUUAAAUACUAAAUAAUAUGUUGGUACAUGAGAUCUACUAAUAUUUAAAAUCACAAAUUUAUUGGGACUAACUUAGAUUAAUUCUCUAUUACAGUUUAGAUUUUAUUCCAACAUAAGGAUAUAUUUAUAAUAUAUCAUCUCUAUUUCAUUGUCUGGGUACAUAAGUGAGAUUUUUUGUGAAAUUUCUUGCAGCAUCUUGAUGAGUUCUGGUGGUGGCAGCAUCUUGCGAUUGACAGAGCGAGGAGUGCUAAUAUAUCCGAUGGCUGGGUAAUACGUCAUCGUUUUGUUGCUUGGGCUCGAGGAAUGCCAGGUUUAGUACGGCUUUGGUGUAGAAUUGAUUUGGUACUGAUGGCAAAUUAUUGCAAUAUUUUUGAGAGAGAGGUGUGAAGGUUAAGAUUUUGCAGCGGAGAAGAAUUGAAAGUAUAAGAAGUAGAAAUGAUUUUGCCAUUCCCAUUGCUUUCUAAUUUCGGAUUAUCGUGUGAGCAAGAUGAUAUAUAGCCGGCUAAUGGACCUUGGAGAAUUUCUAAAAGAGUGGUGAUAUUGUACCAUUCAGAAAUUUUUUUGAUGAUAAAAUUAGUAAUCGCCCUAGUUCUUGCCUUUACAUAAUAAAACCUUUGCAUGAAACAUUUGAUAGAAUUAAUCGAAUUAAAAAAAAUAGACAAAAUACUGACGAAAACAACAGUACUGAAAUAAUAAUAAUUUAAUUAAUUAACACGUUAAAUGGGCAGUAAUACGUCAGUUCUGUCUCUUUAUCAUUUUCUAUAAAUUGAAGAAUAUUAUAUUCAUUUUAGACUAACCGGAACUUCAUGUGUCUAGUUUAUGAGACCCAUGUGGCUUUUGUCUUUGUGAUAAUAACACUGUAGAAUUCUAAAAAGUUUGCAAUUUUUUAAUUUUUAAUUUCAUGUAUUUAAUACUUGAUUUUUCAGUUUGAUUGUGAUUCACUUUCUUGAAUUGAGUUAAUUUAGAGAAUAGCUUAAUCUAUGAUAUUGCGGAGAUUUAGUAAAAUUUUCCGUUCAGAUUUAGCCAUUGUGUCACCUUCUUUCAAUAGAUACAAAUCACCCAAAAGUUCUUGAUUUUGGUAGUUUGCGCUUUGUAUUGCAACGUACGGUGUGUUCUAUAUGAGAAAAAAAAAAUAUUAAACAUUUCUGUUGUUUUCUUGCAGUGCCACCUGAUGCUUGAUCUUUUUAGUCAUCAAAUUGAUGUUUUAUCUGUUCAUUUGUAUCAACGAGUUAAGAGAAUUAACAGUUUUCUAGAUAUUUUGUACACAUAAAAUAAUGCCAUAAUUGAAUUUGCCCAUGGCCAUGCACAUACAAGUAGUCAAAGCAAAAGAAUCCACAUUCUAAUUUAAAAGAUCAAAUCUAAUGCCACGAAUAUAUAUAUAUAUAGUCAUAACUAAAAUUUCGUACUUCUGAUGUCUAAGUUACAGACAACAACAAUUGUUUUUGUGCCCAGCCACUUUUGUCGUAAUCAUUUUGUGGGAAAUAGAAAUUGGAUCAGAUACCCUAAAAUGCUUCUUUAAUAACCCUUCUUAUUUUCCAGUAGAGUUGUAUCUGACUGCUGGCUCCUUAACUUGUCUUCCAAGAAAUCCAAUGCAAAUGACUGCAAGAACAAGUAAAAAGCUCAUAUCACGACAGAAUCUUGAAUCUUCAUCUAUUAUUAUUCAGCAUUAGGAAAGAUAUACAUAUAAUAAUAAUGAAGGGUGAAAAAUAUGCACACCUUUAUGUUGCUUAGGGUCAAUUCACCAUUCAAUACAUACUUCUCGCCAUUGAAAAAGCCAUUGACAGCAAUUACCUGCAUUGAAAUUUGCAUAGCAACCCAAUUUUUCGUAUUUAAUUACGGAGGAAAUUAAAAAAAAAAAGCAUUCAUAAAGAUUUAACAGAAUCUGAAGAUAAAGCAAGGAACUCACUCUUGGAGCGUGACCUGUGAUGCCAAAAUAAUCAGAAAUUUGUCUCCUAUCAGUUUGCAUGCAACAAGUCCAUUUGAAAAUACACAAAGAGAAGCUGGCAAACAAUUAAUUUCAUCAAUUAUUAUUUAAGAUCAUAAUGAUAAUUAUUUUGAAAGGCUAUUAAUUUCAGUGGGUUUCUGUUAACCAAGUUUCGACAAAAUUUUGCUUGAUCUCCCUACAUCUCUAUAUUUACCUUUCCUUUAAAAGCUUUGGCUGCCUCUUGAAAUAUUGAUUUAGUCUCAGAAUCAUGAACAGUGGCAAAAAGCCAUAACUGAGAACAAAUUUAUGAACUCGUUAAGACCUGAAAAUUUUUUAAUUUUUCCAAGGUAAAGAUGAUGUAAACUAAUAAUUACCUCUUGCAAGCGGGAAUCUAAAAUCAAUGCAGCAGUUUCCCUGGUGUAAGUAAUCAUCGGAGGAAUCUUAUUCAAUGAUAUGAAGUCAUAAAUUCUUGCAUCAGUAAAUGGACCAUCUCAGAAAAUGGAGCAAAAAAUGCACAAGGCUUGUGUAAAUUUUCCAUUUUGAAGCACUCAUAAUCAUUUGCAGAGAGAUAACUUCUAAAACAAAGCAAAGUGGCUAAGCUGUUUAGAUUCCUUUUCCAGCAAGACUAGAGCAGGGCGUUUGAUUUCUGGGUCAAUCAGAAACAUCUUUGCAACAUCAGCUCUAGUAGUUUGAAAGAAUAUAACAUCAGGAUGCAGCUUUGAUGCGGCCGCAAGCUUUUCAUUUUCCGUGCCCUAACAAACAAAAUUGAGUCUUUUGUAACAUUUAUGAUUCAAUAAGAGAUGUUAAAAUAGAAACAGUCUAAGAAAUUGCUCAUAUUAUGUGAGUGGGAGUGGACCUUUAAAGAGUCAAGGAAUCCCAAAGCAAUUGUAGAUUCAGCUGUUAGUAAGUGCUCCGCUUUCUCUAUUUUCAUCAAGGUGUAAAGAUCACCAGACAUCUUAGUCUUUAUAUAAUUCACAAUAGCAUCCCUUCAAAACCAAAAUUUGUGUUAGGUUAGGUUAUUCAUUUUGCACACUUUCUCAACAACCAAACAGAUUUAGAAGGGUUAUAUUGAACAAAAAAAAAUCCAACAAAAGAAAACAAAUGUUCAAAGAACAAAAAGAAAACUCACUUCGUCCUGCUAUAAUAAUAAGUAUUCACACGCACUCCAUUAACAAAGAAAUAAACAGUUGGGUAUGCUUGAAUUCUCCAUUUUUUCGCUAACUCUAUCACGCUCAUAGCAUUAACUUUUGCUAGCACUGAUUUUCCCUUCAGCUCAGUGGCAGCGGCUUCAUAUUCUGGAGCAAGUUUCUUGCUCUGGGGGGACCAUGGUGCAUAAAAAAGCACCAUCACAUGCUGAUUCUUGGCUAUAACAUGAUUAAAAUUCUUGUCACUUAGUUUCACCACCACAUCUUCUUUUUCAUCAAUUGCCGGUGGCAACUUGUGCUUUUGAUCAUUGAAACUGUUGUAAGAAUCUGAAAGUUCAACCGUGUUUCCGUAAGAGAUUGGAGGGAGUUUCUUGAAUACGGAAACACACAAUACAUAGCCUCCAUCAUAAUCUAUUUUGUAAACACAGAAAGGCGAAAGCCGAAAAAGAAUAAACAAAAGAAAUAUUGUGGUGGAGAGCAUAAGGAGAUAAGCUUUUGUUGACAUUGUUGAGCAGCCGGCCUAGAGUAGGUGUUCUGUAAUUUGUACUUGAAAUCUUCAAACAAUUGUUGGCUAAUGACAAGAGAAAAGUAAUUAAAUGCUCCUUGUGUUAUUUAUUUUCAAAGAUGCAAACAAAAGGCUAAAAAUAUUUUUUUUUAAAAAGUUAUCUUGAUUUCUUUUCAGAAAUUACAUUGUUAACACAUUGUUGAUAGAAAGGAACCCUCUAGCCUGACAAAGCACAAUCGAUGAAGGCAAGAUCCACAUGCUUCUGUGAACAUCACUAUGGAACAGUACUGUCACUGAAUCUUGAUCAUCUCUUAUUAUAAUCUUUAAAAAGCAUCCGCUUGGAAUUUGUAUUAGAAACUUUCUGUACGUGAAUGGAAUACCUACAUUGGUUCACAAAUUUAAUUAACUUCUCCAAUUAUUUCUUUCUGGAUCAACUUCAGUAUUUCUGAGACGUAUGCAGAGUUACACAAAUUCACCACCAAUUGGAACAAAAUGUCAAAAACAUAUUGUUGCAAAUAUCACAUACUAACGGAAACUUGCUUCUCUUGCUUUCUCAUUUCAAUUGGGACUAGAGUGACAUUUCUUUUGAGUUCAAAAAUGAGAAACAUCUCUGUGUGCCCAAUCCAUAUCUUGCGGAAUCCUUUGAAGAACGGGCUGAAUCACACCAGGAGGAAGAUACAACUAGGCCCAACACAAAACCUGUUGCAGGCCCAUCGCGAAUGAGAAAAUCACCCAGCUGACUAAAGGAUUAUGUUGUUUGAGGAGCAGGAAGUUGUGGAUUCCUUUCUAAAAUCUUUUAUCAGUUUGAUAUUUUCUUUUAGCUUUACAAUUGCUAUUUUUUGUAACCAUCUUCUGUUAGAGAUUUUGUUAGAGGUUGUUAGAGGUGAAGCAUAUAAGCAUUGUAAGGUUUAAAAAGCAAAGGAAUGAAAAUACUCAGUUCUCUUUCUUCUCUAGAAUUUUCUUUCUUCUUAAUCUAUGUUCUGCUCUUAAUUCUUUUUUAUUUGGAGCUGGCACUCGCUCCAAGAGUGUUUUGUUAAGUUGAUUUGCUUGUGUUGUAGGACAAGCGUAUCAUUGGUGCUUUCAUUGACUUUUCCAUGGCUGAUUCAGAGGUGUUGGCAUCAAUGAAGGCACUCCAAACGCAAUUUGAAGGCCAAACAAUUGCGAUUCAUCAAAACUUGUAGCAGUACAUGUCCACAGUGGAUUUUCAUCUUGAGGAUCUACGUUCUCAUAUCCAAGGGUCUUCAAGUGUUUUGGUUGCAUCAUCAGGUUCUGCACAUCGCUCUUCUCUAGUUGCGGAGGGGUAUUCAGGACACACCGAUCUCUCGCUGGUAUUACAAUAAAUGAAAAUGGAGGUUCCCAAGUUUGAUAGCUCUGACCCGAAUGGGUGGGUGUUUCGUAUUGAAGAGUUUUUCGAUUUCCAUGAAACUCCAAAGCACUUGCGCCUUCGCAUCAUCGCAUUUCACAUGGAGGGGAGAGCGGUAGCCUGGUACCAAUGGAUGAAGGCGAACAAACUAAUAACAACAUGGAAAGAUUUUCUAAUUAGUUUGAAACAUCAGUUUGGUGCUUCAAUGUAUGACAAUCCUCAAGGUACACUUUCCAAACUUACACAAACCACCAUAGUCGCAAAGUUUCAGUCAGCCUUUAAAGAUUUGAUGAAUAAGGUCACUGGAAUCUCUGAACCCUUGUUGAUUAGUUUUUUUAUCAUUGUUUGAGAACAGAUAUUCGCAAGGAGUUGAUGUUUUCCCGCCCCACAUCUCUGAUAGAUGUCUUUACUCUCGCAAAAGCUAAUGAAGCUCGUUUAGAGGAGGCUAAAAUGAGUGGCUGCCCUUGGACUAAAUGGCCCCCACCGUCGGCCCCAACUAUGACCAUUCCAUCCAUCAGCAAAAUUCCUCCACCUUCACAUGUGCCUGUUCCUACCCCCACCACAAACAGUUCCCCUGUAGCUCCUACAACACACCAACCUCCUAAACAAACAAACCUUCUAGCCCUUUUACCUACACCAAAUUUACCAGUUCGCCGCCUCACUCCAGCUGAAUUACGAGACAAACGAAAAAAAUGAUUGUGUUAUAACUGUGAUCAAAAGUAUAGCACAAACCAUCACUAUCGUAGUAAGUUUUUUAUUCUUAUGGGGACUGGCGAUGAUGAAAAUGAGGAUACUAUGAAGUUGGCCAUGGCGGAGCCAUUCAAGGAAAUGGUACCGACAGAUAUUUCAAGCUUGAACGCCCUCGUGGUGCAGGUGAAUCCCCAUUCACUUUGACUGAUUGGCAAGGUUGGUAACCACUGCUUUCAAGUGCUUAUUAAUAGUAGGAGUACCCACAAUUUUAUUAAACCUGUGUUUGCUGAACGAUUGGGACUUCCUAUUCAACCCACGACUCAUUUUCGAGUUUAUAUUGGCAAUGGUGACUUCUUGGUAUGCCAACUAUAUUGUCUGCAAGUGGCUCUGACUAUGCAAGAUUAUGCAUUUACUUUGGACUUAUUUGUUUUACCAAUUGAGGGGUCGGAUGUGGUUUUGGGUAUUCAGUGGCUUCAACGCUUAGAGAGGGUGUCUCAUGACUAUGCCGCCAUGACGAUCAACUUCUAUUGGGAUGGGAAAUUGGUCAGCCUUUGUGGGGACGUCACCAAUUCACCGAGUUUAAUUACUUUUAACCAAUUUCAAGCCCUUAUGCAUAGCACAACUGUUCAGAACCUAUUUGAGCUACAAUAAAUACAUUCGCAGCAAGAUGGAGGCUCCGGAGACUUAGAACUUCCAGUUUCACUGCCCACUCUGAUUUCUCACCUCCUUUACAAAUUUCACAACUUAUUCCGCCCCUCAACAGGCCUUUCCUCACACUAUUUCAUUAACUAUAGAAUUCUCCUACUACCAAACACAAAACCAGUGAAUGUUCGGCCUUAUCGCUAUCUUCACUUCCAAAAAACAGAGAUGGAGAAGUUAAUUCGCGAAAUGUUGGAGCAAGGUGUAAUAAAACCAAGCCACAACCCUUUUUCUUCCCCGGUGUUACUAGUGAAAAAAAAGGAUGGCACCUAUCGCUUUUGUGUGGACUAUCGUGCCUUAAAUGCGGUUACUAUCAAGGAUAAAUUUUCUAUUCCAACAAUUUAUGAACUACUGGAUGAAUUGGGUGGUGCAACCAUUUUCAGCAAAUUAGACUUGAGGGCUGGUUAUCACCAGAUUCGAGUGCACAACAGAGACAUAUACUAGAUAGCUUUUCGAACUCAUGAAGGGCACUACGAGUUUCUUGUGAUGCCUUUCAGCUUGACGAAUGCUCCAUCUACAUUUCAAGCUACCAUGAAUCAAAUUUUUGCUGCAUUCUUACGUAAAUUUGUCGUUGUUUUUUUUUCUUUUUUGAUAUAUUGGUGUAUAGUUCAUCUUUGGCUGAUCAUGUCUCUCACUUGGAGCAAGUUUUAAGUUGCUUACAUAGUCAUUAUUUCUUCAUCAAACUUUCCAAAUGCCUUUUCUGCCAAGAAACAAUUAAGUAUUUGGGUCAUUUGGUUUCUACUGGAGCUGUUCGUGCAGAUCUACAGAAAAUUACAGCCAUGGUCAACUGGCCACCACCGACGUCCUUGAAACAAUUGCGAGGGUUACUUGGCCUCAUGGCCUAUUACAGGUGUUUUAUUAAAUGAUAUGCUUCUAUUGCUACACCCCUCACUGACUUAUUAUGUAGAGAUGUUUUCAAUUGGACUCUAACAGCAACCAUCACAUUUGAGGCCCUCAAACAAGCUAUGGUGGAAGUCCCGGUAUUGCGAUUACCAAACGUCGAGUUGGAUUUCAUCAUUGAGACCGAUGCAUCAAAUGUCGGUAUUGGUGUAGCGUUUAUGCAAGACAACCACCCAAUCUCCUACUUUAGUAAAAAGUUGGGACCAAAACUUCAAGUGGCAUCAACAUAUAUCAAGGAGUUACAUGCCACUGCCGAGGUUAUCCACUAGUGGCGACAAUAUCUUCUUGGUCGUUUUUUCAUUAUUCGCACCGAUCACAAAAGUAUCAAGGAACUUCUGCAACAAGUUAUCCAAACACCUAACCAGCAGGUGUAUAUCCGAAAAUUGAUUGGUUAUCACUUUAAGAUUGAAUACAAGCCCAGUCGAGCAAACCAGGUAGUUGAUGCUUUGUCUCGCGUGCAUGAAGAUGAGCCUGUGGAGGCACCCAAGAGAUACUCUGCCUAUUUGCUAUUGGUUUCCAGUCCAACUUUUGACUUGUUAGAAACUCUACGCUUGGAGAAUACCACUUGUCCAAACUUGGUACUCUUUCAUAAGCACUUUGCCACAAGUGAGCUCUCCCUUGAUUUUUCUAUUUAUGAUGGAUUACUUUUCUUCCGCCACCACUAUUAUGUUAGCUCUCAAUCCUCCUUGAAUUCAAUCUUGCUCCACGAAUUUCAUGCUACCCCAUGGGCUGGACAUGCUAGUAUAAAAUGAACCUUGGUUCGCUUAGCUUCGGCAUUUUAUUGGCAUAAGAUGAGAACUAAUGUUGAAAAAUUUAUAGCUGCUUGCCUAACCUGCCAACAAAUCAAGCAAUCAACUCAAGCCCCAGCAGGGUUGUUACAACCACUACCUAUUCAAUUGUUAGUAUGGGAUAAGGUCACUAUAGAUUUCAUUACGGGCUUGCCACUAUCACGAGGGCUCACUACUAUCCUUGUCGUUGUGGACUGUCUAACUAAAUCAACACAUUUUAGAGCUCUACCUUCUCAAUUUUCAGUUAUGACGGCAACAGACUUAUUUGCUAACAUGGUUGUUAAACUCCAUAGUUUUCCUAGUUCCAUUGUGUCGGAUCGUGAUCCAAUUUUUAUGAGCAAUUUUUUGAAGAAGCUUUUUGAACUAAGUGGCAUUUCCCUAAGGCAUAGCAUAGCCUAUCAUCCGCAGACUGAUUGGCAAUCCGAAGUUGUGAACCGCAGGCUUGAACAAUAUUUACUAGCUUUCACUCAAGAAAAACCACAAUCGUUGGUCUCUCUACUCUACUAGGCAGAGUUCAGUUACAACUCCAGCUAUCACAGUGGUCUCAAGAUGACACCAUUCCAGGCAUUGUAUGGGCGUAAUCCACUUACUAUCCUAGCUUACUCUAAGGGCUCUACUUUAAUCCAAGCUCUCAAUGAUGCGCUGACAGAGCGAGAUGCUCUCUUGCGCUUCUUAAAGGAGAAUUUACGCCAAGCUCAGCAUUGAAUGACACAAAAGGCUAAUGCCCAUCAGCGUGAACUCCAACUCAAUAAAGGAGAUCGUGUGCUUGUCCGCCUUCAACCAUAUCGACAGACAUCUUUAGCUCAACGAGCAUCCCUGAAGUUAGCGAAGAGGUAUUACGGACCAUUUACAGUAUUGGAACAUGUCGAGCCAGUGGCAUACAAGCUGAACCUUCCGUUAGAUUGCAAAAUUCAUUAUGUCUUCCAUAUUUCAAUGCUCAAACCCUUCAGCGUUCCAGCCCUAUCAAUGGGUUACCCUUACCUCGUGAUAGCAUCAACAAUCGACCACUCUUAUACCCAGCUACUAUUUGUGCCACAUAGAUAGUCUUGCGUCAUGGGAAAGAAGUUCAACAUGUUCUGGUGCAGUAGUCAGAUAGCGCUCUAGAAAAUGCCACCUAGGAAGAUUUCUUUGAGUUUUCGCACCUCUAUCCUGAUUUCACCUUGAGGACAAUGUGAUUUUUCAAGCCUCAGGGAAUGAUACAGCAUUGCCAAUCUCGAACAGUGUUUUGUUGAGUUGAUUUGCUUGUGUUGCAGGACAAGCGUAUCAGUACCAUUUGUGCCACGUUCUCUUAAUAGAAAAAUAUAACCCAAAAGUUCUUGAUUUUGGUAGUUUGUUCUUUGUAUUAGAACGUACAACGUGUUUCAUGAGAAAAAAUAAUAAAAAUUUGCUCUUACUUUUCUUGCAAUCUAACAAGGUGCUUGAUCAUUUUGGUUAUCAAUUGAUGUUUAUCUAUUGAAUGCGGUUAUCAAUGAGUUAAAUGAAUAUAAUUAAAGGUCUGAUAGAUAUUUUUAUAUAUAGAACAUAUGCCAUUAUUUAAUGUGACCUCUGCCGUUAAACAUAUGAAGGCACGAAUAGUGAUUAACUGGAAUAUCUAAGUUAAACAACACUUCUUAUUGCAUCCAAUCAUUUUGUGGGAAAGGGAAAUUGAAUCAUAUACACUAAAUUGCUUCUUUAGUCAUCAUAUCUGGUACUGGAAGUCUAGUUAAUGACUUUUGCUGAAGUUGUAUUUGAGAAAGAGCUGUUUUUGACUGUUGGUUCCUGAACUUGUCUCCCAAGAAAUCCAAUGCAAAUGACUGUAGGAUCUCAAAUCAUGACAAAAUUGUGAAUCUUAAGCCAUUUUUCUGCAUUAGGAAAAAAAUAUAUAAUAACAAUUAUGGUGAAAAGAAUGCAAACCUUUACAUUGCUCAGGGUCAGUUCACCAUUCAAUACAUACUUCUUGCGUUUACGAAUGCUAGCGACAGCAAUUACCUGCAAGUAAAUUUGUACAGUAACCCAUUUUUUCAUAUUGAUGUAUAAGACAAAAGCUACACCGCAAUCAUAAAGAUUUCACAGAAUCAAGGUAAAGCAGGAAACUCACUCUUGAAGUAUGACCUGUGACACCGAAAUAGUCAGAAAUUUGUCCCUUAAGUUUCGGGUACAUUUGCGAAUACACAAAGAGAAGCUGGCAAACAGUGAUCAAGAUAAUAUAAAAUCAUAAUAAUAAAAUUAUGUUGACAGACAAUUAAUUUAAAUGGCUUUCAGUUAUCAAGUUUCAACAAGUUUUGCUUGAGCUCGCUACAGAGAUUAAUCUACUAAAUACAAGUCUCUGCAUUUACCUUGCCUUUGAAAGCUCUAACUGUCUCUUGAAAUAUUGAUUUAGCCUCAGAAUCAUGCACAGCCGCAAAAAGCCAUAACUGAGAACAAAUUCAGGAACAUGUUCAAACCAUAAAUCUUUCACAUUUUCCCGAGGAAAAGAUGUAAAAUGAUAAUUACCAAUUUCAAGGGGGAAUUUAAAAUCAAUGGAGUAGUUUCCCUGGAGUAAGUAAUCAUCGGAGGAAUCUUAUUCGAUGAUAUGAAAUCAUCAAUUACUGAUAUAGUAAAAGAACCAUCUGAGAAAAUGAAGCAAAAAACGGACAGGGCAUGUAUAAACAGAGGCGGAUGCAGCACAUGACUAGUGGGGGCUCAAGCCCCCAUUGGCCAAAAAAAAAAUUUAAAAAUAAAAGAAUUUUUUUUAAUUUUUUAAUUAACCCCAUUAAAUUUAUUAAAAUAGUCACUAUAAAAUGUAAAACCCAUAAAAUUUAAACUUUGACUUUAAAAAAAUAUAAAAAUAUAUAUUUUAAUUAAAAAUAAUGAUAGCCCACUACUCAAAAUAUUUUAUAUUCUAAAAAAUAUGGUUAAUUCUUCCAAUUUAUAUAAUAAUAGUAGAACGAACAUUUUCAGUAAUAAAACUCAUGAAUGAUCAUCUUUGGAAUCAGAUGAGAUAAGUGAUAGUUUGGUUGUCUAUAUAAGAAACAAUAAAUUUAAUAAUAUUGAUAAUAAGUCUAUUGCAUAACAUUUUUAAAAUAUAAAAAUGCGUAGAGACUAAUUAUAAAUAUUUUAUAUAUUCAAAAUUUUAAUUUUUUAUAUUUUACUAUUAUCUAAUUUAGCCCCCGCUAAAUUAUUUUUUUAGAUCCGCCAUUGUGUAUAAAUCUUCCAUUUGAAGCACUCAAAAUCAUUGGAGAGAUUAUUUGUUUUACGAACCAAAGUGGCUAAGCUGUUUAGACUCCUUUUCCAGCAAGACUAGAGCAGGGCGUUUGAUUUCUGGGUCAAUCAGAAACAUCUUUGCAACAUCAGCUCUAGUAGUUUGGAAGAAUAAAACAUCAGGAUGCAGUUUUGAUGCAGCCGCAAGCACUUCACCUUCCAGGCCCUAAAAUUUUUUGUCAUAACAGUAACAGAUGUUAAGGGAAACACUAAGGCAAUUGCUCAAAUCAUAUGAGUGAGUAUGGACCUUUAUAGAGUUAAGGAAUCCCAAAGCAAUUGUAGAUUGAGCUGUCAAUAAGUGCUCUGCAUUCUCUGUUGUCAUCACAAUGUAAAGAUCACCGGCCAUCUUCGUCUUUAUAUAAUUCACAAUAUCAUCCCUUCAAAAUAAAAACGAUCUCGUUAUUAACAAAUGCACGAGCAUAUAAUAGACUUGCCCCUUUUCACUUUUCCCACUUCUCAACAACUAUAACAGAUUUAAAAGGGCCAUAUUGAACAAAAAGAUCCAACAAAAGAAAACCCCUGUUCCAAAAAAACUCGCUUCUUCCUGUCAUGGUAGUAAGUAUCCACAUGUACUCCAUUAACAAAGAAAUAAAUGGUUGGAUAUCCUUGAAUUCCCCAUCUUUUUGCCAACUCGAUCUCGUUGAUAGCAUCAACUUUUGCUAGCACUGCUUUGCCCUUCAGCUCAGUGGCAGCGGCUUUAUAUUCUGGAGCCAGUUUCUUGCUCCAGAAGCACCAUGGUGCAUAAAAAGCCACCAUCACAUGCUGAUUCUUGGCUAGAACAUCACUAAAAUUCUUGUCACUUAAAUUCACUGCAUUUUCUUUUUCAUCAAUAGCCGGAGUUAAAUUGUACUUUCGAUCUUUGAAACUUUCAUAAGAAUCUAAUGGUGCAACGGUGUCUCUGGAAGAGAUUGGAGGAAAUUUCUUGAAUACAGAAACACAUAAUACAUAGCCUCCAUCAUAAUCUAUUUUGUAAACACAGAAAGGCGAAAGCCGAAACACAAUGAACAAAAGAAAAAUCGUAGUGGAGAGCGCAAGGAGAUGAGCUUUAGUUGACAUUGUUGAGCAGCCGGCGUUGAGUAGGUGCUCUGCAAUUUGUACUUGACGCUUCAAAUAGUUGUUUUAUAGCAAUGAUCCUGUCAGCAAUGCAAAUUUAACCACGAAUUGCUGGCCAGUGACAAGAUAAUUAUAAUUAAAUGCCUCCUUUUUGGUAUGUAGUUUCACAGAGUAGACAACAAGCUAAUAAAUAAUAAAAUUUAUUUUGAUUUCUAUUCAGAAAUUACACUAUUAACAUCCCGUUGACAGAAAGAAACCCUCUAUCCACCACUAGCUUUAUAAAGCACAAUCGACAAAGACAAGAUCCAAAUCUCUAGCAGAUGAAACCAAUGUUCCUACGAACAUCACUAUGCAACAGGAUUACACUGAAUCUUGAAAGCAACGAAUUGAAUGGAAUAUUCUUUUGCAGCCAUAUAAACACGCUUCCUAUAUGGCGUUAAUUUGUAUUCUCAACGCCUUACCAUAAUGUGACAUGCUUGGUCAUCUCUCUUUAUAAUCUUUAAAAAGUGUCUGCUUGAACUUUGUAUUAUAAACCUUUUGUAUGUGAAUGGAUUACCUACAUUUGUUGAUAAACUUAAUGAAUUUCUCCAAUUAGUUCUUUAUGGAUCAGCUUCAGUAUCUCUGAGACCUUCAGAGUUGCACAAAUUUACCGCCAAUUAGAACAACAAUGUUGAAGACAUAUGUGUUACAAAUAUCACAUAUACAAGCAUAUAAUGUGACAUGAUAGAGUUGUAGUUGCAUCACAAACCAAGAUAUAAUAUGAAAGAAUUUUGAGAAAAUAUAUCAUUGCUCACCUCGAAAUGCUGUUGCAAUAUAGGUGAAUGUUGAUGCAGUGUUGUAUAUAUCUUCUCAAGUAAGCCUAUGAGUGCAUCCACUUGAUCGCCCAGCAGAUCCACCUGGAAUCCAAGCCGCGUAAUGAAUCUUAAGAAAAUUUGCUUGAAACACACUUCAAAUGUACAUUCAUCAAAUCCAAGUUAAAUUCAGUUUGUUUAUCCUAAAAAAAAAAAGAAAGAAAGAAAGAAGCUAAGGUGAAUAAAACUGAAAUUGCAGCUCAAAACCUCAGUUUCAGCCUUUUGGAGAUUCUUGCUUCUUCUAAUAAAUGUUGUUCUGUAGAGUAAUUCCCGCUUUUGUACUGAGGAAACAAGCUCAACAAGCAAAUCUAAUUGAUGCGUCAUCUCUUCCAACCUGUACAAAAGUAGCGCAGUAAAGGUCAAUCACUUGUUCAAACAACUAAUUUUGAUGGAACAUAAAUAUCGUAACACAAAUAGCCAUAGUCAAUGUUCACAGUAAGAUUAAAUUAAAGCAUUUGAGGGGAACUAUAUAUAAAUGUAAACUGAAGUACCUCAAAACUUUGUCUGCUAAUUUUUCUUGUGCUUGGAGCUCAAAAUUUCCAAAUACUUGUGAAAACUCCAGUAUAGGUGUAAACAUGGAAUCCAAUUGGUUUCUAGAAAUCUCUUCAUUUUUUUGUUGGAAAGUUAUAGAAUUUUUGUCAUGCACAUUAUCUGCAGGAAUCAUUUGAUUAUCAACUCUUUCUUCAUCAUAGUCGGCUGUGCCUAAACUAGAUUCCAACUCACUCAUUAUUGUCUUACUUGUAGCUAACCGAUCUAGGCUUUCUCAAGUUUGCUUCUCACCGAAGUAAAAGUGGACUCAUCCUCAUCCAUCAGUUCUUGAAAGAUCUCAUGCUCGUUCAGCUGUUCAGUUUCCAUUUCCACCCAGUCAAGUUGUUUCUUGUGUUCAUUUACUUCAGAACUUGCACUUACCAUUAGAUCUCCAUCUUCUUCCAAACACUUCAAUAACAUAUCUAGUUUUUUGAUAAAACUAUCCUCUCCAUUUCCCUCAAAACUUCCGUCUAUAUUGUUGGGGGAACUUUUGUCUUGCUUCCGGGCUUCUCCUUCCGUGAAACAUAGGCAAGCAUCUUUCAUCGUCUCACGAAAAACAAAUUCCUGUAUCUCAUGUCUAAAGAGAUACUCAAUGUUGCAAGCAUCUAUCUCUUUCUUCCACUCAUCAAUAGUUUCCCCGAAUAAAACCAUCUACACAUUCUCCUUCACAAAAUAUUCCGCUAUUUUAAGUGACUUGUCAGGAACCUCAACCUCUUAGAGUUUUGUAAAUGUGUAGUUCGCAGUAUUCACAACAUCUCUGAAGGUCUCAUCAAAGACAGACGAGAAACCUCUUCUGUUAUAAGCCUGCCAAUUCUAUAGUUUCCAAUUUUCUAAUUCCAAUCCUUGCAAAUUUCCCGGUACAAGACUGAGCAUAUAUCCUCACUUAAAGAGCAUUCAUCUCGGAAAUGUUCUAAUUUCCUAUCCAGUGCAGAGCAAAACCCCUUAACUGCCUCACUGCAUACAGUAUAAUAUAUUUCCUCUCUCAUCUGAGCCUCAAACUUGUUACUUUCAACUUCCUCUUUCAACAUCCUUAUUUCAAUUUGUAGUUCUUCAUUGGCUGCAUCAGCGACUGACGCGUUAUUCAUUUUCUUCCAGACACCAUCCAAAUUGUCAAUGUCCGAGUUCAUUUCUUUUCUCACAUCAGAUUUCAAUAGGUUUUUUGCUGCUGAGGAUUCGUCCCAUUGAUCACCUCCAUAUUCUCCAAAAGUCUCAACCAACCUGGCAUUGCAGUUCAUUAAAUUAUCCAAUCUUACAAUAACUUCUUGGAUUCUUCUUUUUAGGCUAACCGGAUCCUUCUCUCUUCUUAAGUUUGAACACCUUUUUUCUGGAAGCAUUUCUCGCUUCAACCAUUUAACCUCUUCACUUUUUCUCCGAAUAAUAAACUCGUGACUCUUUAUGAUCUUAGCAACAGAUUGACCAACACCCUCUUCUGAUUCUACUUCUUCAACCUUUGAGGAAAAAUUGGCACAACUGUCUCCUUCUGAUAAAGAUCUUCGCAGCCUCGGAGGAAUAUUCCUCUCAAUAUUAGUUUUGGUUGAAGAUUUUAAAUUCUCAUUCCCUUUUGCAGCUUUCAGUUGAGCCUCGUUCUGAUUGAUAAAGCUCUCAAGCUCAUUACGCAAGCACGUAACCUCCGUCAUCAAAUCUGACAAAUGCUCACUCAAGCUCAUGAAAACUUGCUUCUCUUGCUUCCUCAUUUCCAUCUCAAAGUUCUCCUUAAAAUCGUUAACAAAACCAUUAAUCAAUGUACAAAUUGCAUCCUUCUCAAUAGUCCACCUCCAUUGCUGCUCCUGGGGCCCCAGCUCAGACAAAAAAAUCGCAUUCUGCAUUUUCCCAAAAGCCUGAUGCAAAGUCUCUUUCAAAAUAUUAAUAUCAGAACCCAUCUGCUCAAUCUUUUUGUGAUCAAUACCGCCAUUCUUUUCCGCAUCAAUAACUUCAUGCUCGAUUUGCAAGACUUGUUGAUCAACUGAAUGCAUCAACUCAGAAAUUUCACUAUCUCUAUCCUCAUCCCGACUUCCAGGACUGCUCAUACUGAGCUCAGCGACACCAUCGCUCUUUGUUCUUUCAAGCUCCACGUUAGCAUUUUGCAAAGCAACCAAUUCUUUUUCCUUCGCAUCCAAUGCUUGCCUAAGCUUCAACUCAUUUUCGAACCUCUCCGUCAAUUCCUUAUCCUUUUCGCGGAGAGCCAUUUCUGAAUACUGAAGGCGACACUGGAGACGGUCUUUAAUUUCUUCCAAGUCUGCCAGGACUUUUUCAUGGCAGCUUUGAAACAUGUUGUUGUCUGCAUCCUCCUGGACAAAUUUCAUGCACCCUUCUAGCUGAAUUACUGCAAGUUCAUAGAAUUUCGAUAUCUCAUUCAAGCGCUGAAUGACGCCAUCUUUGGACUUUACUUUGCCGUGUGCUCUGUCCACGUCGCCAUCAUUGUUGCAUCUGUUAAAGAAAUUCUUAGUGUGCCUUCAAGCAAUCCAAAAAGACCAGCCAUUUUUUUUUUCUUUUUGUUUGGUUCAUCUAUUGAAAAUGAAGCAAUAGAAAUGUGAAUGAGAUCUUCUGUUUUUAUGUUUCCUUGAAAAUUGGAGAUCUAAUUGACUUGUUCUAACUUGUUACUUGUUACACAUACGUUGAAGAUGUGACCAGAGUUAUUCCUAUAUUUCAUUUAAAUACUAAUGCAUAUUAGCGUAUAUGCAAAGAUAACAAGGAAUUGACAAUUUUAGGGAACUCACGUUAAUUUUUUACCUUUUUUUAAUAGAAUUUUUUAACAUUCAAUCAAUAGGAUUUGUUGUAAAUUUGAAGGUUAUGAGACCUUUAUUACUUGAAAUGACUGGUUUGUCCUUCGUUUCCUUCGAGAGCCCGAAAAGUUCUAAACGUUCAACACUCAAGUCAAUAUUUUUUUUUUUGGUCUUAACCACGAGGUAUCCCGGGGAGGGCCCCAACUAUGGGAGGCACCUUUAAAUCCGUACCAUAACCCAGACUAGAAGUCCCCACUUGAACCGAGAGACACAAGUUCUCCCAACAAAGGCGACUUUCCUGCGACUUGAACUGGGGAGCAAACUCAAUUAAACCACCUAAGGGUGACUCUAUUGCCAGUGGAGCCAACACUUUGUUGGUAACGCUCAAGCCAAUAUAGACGGUUAAGAUGUCCUCCUCAAUUAAUUUGAAAGGAAAAUUACAGAUAAUAUGUAUGGUUUGAUGAAGGAGCAAAGGAACAUUAAAAAGGUGUAAUUAACAUUGCCAACGAACGUGCCCAGCAUUAAUUUAUGAGCGCUGCUAUUCACCCCGAUUUUAACCUCGAAACACGCCCCGAAUUUUAAAACGCACCGUUUUGAUAAAAUUGAAAACGGUGCGUUUAACCCAUGUUUCUUCCUUUCCUUUCUUUUGCCAAACCACAGAAACGGACCUUUGCUUCCUUUUCGUUUAAUCCUAUCAUCUUGUGGUCACUGCCGCUGCUGCUUCCUUCAAGACCGAGCUCUCUGCCGCUACUGCUUUCUUCAAGACCGAGCUCUCUAAGCCCCUCACUGCCGAUUUUAACCUUUGCUUCCUUUUGGCUUCACGAUCUAGAAGCCAUCGCCGCUUCCUUCAAGGUCGCUGCCGCUGCUGCUUCCUUCAAGACCGAGCUCUCUACCGCUGCUGCUUCCUUCAAGACCGAGCUCUCUGCCGCUCCUGCUUUCUUCAAGACCGAGCUCUCUAAGCCCCUCACUACCGAUUUUGACCUUUGCUUCCUUUUGGUUUCACCAUCCUGAAGCCAUCGUGGCUUCCUUCAAGGCAGUUUGCUCUCUCUAAAUAAUUUCAAUAAGUUUAAAUUUAUUUUUAAACAUUUAAAUAAUUUCAUAUAAAUUUAUUUUUAAUUAAUACAAAUUAAUUUCAUGUAUCGUUAAAUGUUCCUUCAAGACUCCAUUGUGUUUGCUGCUGAUUGUGUUUGUGUGUUACUGGUGCUGGAAUUAUCUUGCGGCUGAUUGUGUUUUUGUGUUACUGGUGCUUGAAUUGUUGCUGGUGGAAGUGUAACUGGUGCUGGAAUUGUCUCAGCUGCAUGAUUUUGCUGGGGCCAAAUCCGGUUGAUGACAUUCUCUUUUGUUGCGGCUGCAUGUUGUAGAUAUAUUUCCCGCUAAAGGGGCAUGUGCCACCAGAAAGAUUGUUGAAGCAUUUGAAUGUUUUCUUGUAUUUUAGUUUAGUGUAUGAUGACUCUGUAUCGUGCAAUGAUCAUGAUUCUUUCUAUCACUAAAGAAGAUAAAGAAUCAUGAUCAUAAAAUCUAAGUAUUACGAAUGCAAUCUUCAUCGCAAUUGAACAUUGUAGGACUAUUUUCUAAAGUUGAAUGAAAUCAACAUAUUCACGCAUACAGCCCAGCAAAAGAAAAUUUCGCUCAAUGAAAACCGACGCCAAUGCUUUGGCUGAAGAAACAACGUCCAAGUUCAUUCAAAUAAUCCUAAAUCCGCAAUUAUUUAAUCUACCCCCAGCGCAAGUUAAAGCAACAAAACUUCACAUCCACUCUCAUUUAACACUCAAUACCCUGUCUCAGCAUUUUGUCAAUCACCUUCCAUCCACCAUGGUUCAGCAAGCUUGCAAACAGAAUGCCAUCAAAUGCGGCUGUGUUCUGCCGAUGAAGGAUGCUGACAGAAUAAUGUGGGGGAGUGCUGCACUCAUUGAGGAAAGAAGCUAUAAGAGAAUUGGCAGCAUCUCAUAUAUCAUUUAAUUCUUUGCAUGUCUAAGAAUGCCACUUGAUAGCAAAGUGAUAAAUAUUUACUUGAGCAAGCAAGUAAAAGCAGCACUGAGCUCAUAAUAAAUAAAUAAAUUAAUUAAUUAGAGGUUCGAUCAGAGCAUCAAGCAAAAAGUUGGAAAUUCUGAGCAGAAAGCUGUGGUUCACGCGCAAAUAGAAAGACAAACAGAAUGCUCACGUGCUGCACAGCUGGAAUAGUAUUGAAGCAAAGCAAAACGCACCGUUUUUGUCAAAAUUCGGGGCCCGAAUUCGGGGCUAAUGUCGGGUUAAGUAGCUUUUCCCUUUCCUAAUUUAUUAGUUGUUUCAAAUAAAGCAUGCACUUGGCAUACUAUAAUUGGUUGUUUCCUACAGCGGCCACUACAGAUCUCAUUAGGCGCCAGAAUCUAACUCAGCGGCAGGGCGCGAACCAUCACUGCCCUUGGCAGCGCGUGAGGCUCUUUCUCUCAGCCACUCCACCACCUCUCCAGAAACCAACUCAACGUUCUGCUCAGGCUCGGCAAUCAGCUGAUGCCACGUGCCUGGAUAAAUCCUCAGCGCCUUAUCCUUACUGGCUGCAUGUUUAUACAACUCUUCAACGCAGGCGGGAUCGCAAACGACGUCGUCUUCCUCUUGGGGCUCAUUGAGUACUUUUUAUACUCAAAUCCCUUGCAAAUCCCUCGACACGCGUAAAAACUCCAGCACGGUUGCCGCACGCGGCCUUGGCACCGACCUCCUGGGGCUCGACAACACCAGUUUCCUCCUCCACUCCUCCUUGAAGGAGACCAUCGGGAGAGAACCGUGGGUGGGACCUACGCGCCAGGAAGGCACCAGCCAUACGACUGUGAAGAGAAGGUGCUCGAAGGGCCACGGAGGCUUGAAUUUCUGGCUAAUCCCGCACAUGGCCCCAUUCAAAAUCAAACCAUCCCACGCGCCCGUCGGACGGAGCGUGAAGUAAAGAGCUAUGGCCCCACCUAAGGACUCGGAAUACAAAAACGCGGGCAAAUCCGGUGCGUGUCUCAGAAUGACAUAUCACAUGUUAUAUUAAUUAUUUGGGAUGAAAUUUAAAAUAAAUAAAUUUAGUAUGCUUGCUUUUGCAUAAAACCAUCCCACGCGCCCGUCGGACGGAGCGUGAAGUAAAGAGCUAUGGCCCCACCUAAGGACCCGGAAUACAAAAACGCGGGCGAAUCCGGUGCGUGUCUCAGAAUGACAUAUCACAUGUUAUAUUAAUUAUUUGGGAUGAAAUUUAAAAUAAAUAAAUUUAGUAUGCUUGCUUUUGCAUAAAACCUUCUUUUUUUUGUAGGGUUAUUUUGGAUCUAAUAAUUUAAUUUAUAAAUAUAUUUUUGUUUUAUCAAUAAUAACAUUUAAUUUGCAACUGCAGGGGAUCUCUACUCCCUAGUGUUGGCUCGAGGAGACCUUGGCAACAACCAUUGCAACGAAUAUAUGAUAAGUUUUAUCACGACAAUUACUUGUUAAUUAAUUUCUUUGCACUUGAUGUACAACACAUAUCAUAUUAUAUCAAUUUUAAAGCUAUAUACUGAGAAUUCUAACAUAAUCAAAUGCAUAUAGGAGCAAUUAAUUGACAAUCAACACACCAAUUAGGAAAGCUAAACAUGUAUAAGGAAUUUACUGAGUAUCAGUAACAUAGUAGAAAUAUGAUAAAGUUAUGGUGAGACAUCUGUGACAAAAAAAUAAGUCAAUAUUUAAUUAUUAAAUAUAAAUUAUCACUAUAUUUGGUAUUGAGAUGUUGUGAUUAAAAAAAAUGAGAAAGUAUGGUAAUAUGUAAUAAUUUUAAAAGUUAUUAUGACUUUUUAUUAUAUAAAUAAAAUAAACUUAAUUUUUAGAUUAUAGCAGUAAGUAUUUAUUAAGCACAUUCGUGUUGGAAUUUAAAAGCUAUACUUUCCAAAAAUAAUUAAGCAGGGCUAAUACCUAAAACAAGUCUAACAGAAUUUUUUUUUUAUUUCUAGAAAAUAAAAAAUGCAUGUGAUAUGUAAUUUGUGAGGAUUUGAAUUUUACAGAAGCAGAGGAAAGAAAAGAAUUUAAAAAAAGCGAAUUGCUUUAUGAAAUAAUUUUUCUGCAUCCUUUAUUCAGACAGCUUUAGGCUUUUUAUAAGAGCCAAUUGGAAACACGCAAUCUACGCUAGUAACUGCCCUUGGAACAACAAAAGACACCCUAGACAGUAACACAUGAAAUACUAGAAAUAAUAGGAAAUAUGGGUAACAAUAUUGCACAAAUAGUUGAUAGACCACGUGUCAAGCACCCAUUUAUUUCAAAGCACUUAUUAUUAAGUCCUAGACUCCUCCUCUCAAGCAUGGCUAUCAGGUACCUGGGAAGUUUGUCAAAUGCAUGGGUUCUUGCUCGUCUUUGGGAGACAUAUCAGCAUGCUUGGAAAGAGAUACACGCAAGACAAUCAACACAAGAUUUGCUUUAUUUCUAGGAUGCAUGGGCAUGCACUCUACUUAUAGAACUCC